AAUUGAAAUUCAAGAGUUGAAUAUUUUAAGUUGCGACUAUUUGAGAAACUUAGACGAUUGUAAUUCUUCCCUCAAAAAUGCGAUUGACUUGAGGAUUCGUGAAUGUGAAGGGAUAGAGUGUGUUGUUUCGUUGUCCUCUUUCGCCUCUUCUUUCGCUCAUCCAUGUCAGUGCCUCGAGAUGUUGUAUCUUCAAGAUCUGCCAAAGUUGAGUGCCCUUAUUAUGAAAGAUGAAGGAAUUGGUUCAGCAACAACAUCAACAUUGGUUCCGUCUGCCACCUUUUCCCAUCUUAAGGAAAUUACGAUAUACAGCUGCUCAAGUAUGAAGACGUUGCUUCCACAUUGGUUGCUUCCAAACCUCCAAAACUUGGAAAAAAUACACGUGGAGUAUUGUAGUCUGCUAGUAGAAAUAUUGGGAGCAGCAACAUCAGAAGUUGAAGAAAAUGGGAGUGAUGCAUUAAUCAAAUUCCAUCUUCCCAAAUUGAGAGAGUUGUCAUUCUUGGAUUUACCAAAUUUGAAGAGCAUAUGCAGCAAAAGUGGAGUGAUGGUUUGUAAUUUUUUCGAGUUAAUCGUUGUUGUUGAGUGUGAUAAAUUGAAGAGAAUUCCUCGAUUUGUUCCCCUUGUUGGCAAUGGGCAGCCAUUUGCAUAUGCUCCACCUUCUCUUACCAUCAGGUCAAGCACAGAAUGGUGGGAAUCGUUGGAGUGGGAUGACCAUCCAAACUUUAAAAAUGUUCUUCGCUUCAAACCCAUAGAAUAAUGAAAGGUAUAAAUCUAAUUGCUCCAUAUUAAUAAAAUUUGAAGUAUAUUUGUGAUGAUGAUGAAGAGAAAGAUAAAAGGGUUGGUGGGAAAGAAGGAUAGUGCAGAAGAGAGGAGAAAAGGAAUGAUGGAAGGAAGAGGUUAAGAGGCUCCACAUUGUAAACAUUGUCCCUCUCUUACCAUUCCUUCUUUUCUCUUUUUCUUAUGAUGUAAAAGCUGAAGAGGUAAAAAACAAAUAAUUUUGCUUCAUAUUUUGUCUAUGUUUGUUUUCCAAGAAUGAGUAUUGAAUAUAGAUAAUAUAGAGAAAUUUUGUAGGGUUUAAAAAUAAUUAUCCCUAAUUUUCUCACUUUUUUGUAUUUUUUUAAUUUUAUAAUGUUCUAAAAUUUUAAAAAUAUUUUUUAACAUUUUACCAUUUUAUAUAUUAUUAAAAUUAAAUUGACCGAAUAAUUAUAUCACUUAUUAUCAUUGAAUAAAACAAAACAUAGCUAAUAACCAUUGUUAAGUACCAGUUUCAGCUUUUAUGAAUUCUCAAUUCCUCCUUUUUUUUUUUUUUUUGAAGAUAAUCGAAUUCCAUUUAUGGUAUAUAUAUAAUUGUUAACAAGAAUAAAAAUGCAUAAUGCAUUUUAGGUUAUUGAGAGAAUUCCAUCUUCCCAAAUUCAGAGAAUUGAGACUAAGUUACCAAAUUUAGGUUAAAGUAUUCGAGAGGUUCAUGUAAUAUAAGGAUUGUAUUAAGUUAGUCUUUUUAUUAUUAAAUAGAUCAAUUUUGUUCUUAUACUAUUAAAAAAAUUAAAUAAGUCCAAAUCAUAAUGAAAUUAACAUUUAAUAAUGUAUAAAAAAUGUCUUGACAAACAAAAAGAUUUCAUUUACUUCAUCAUAAAAACUUUAAAAAUAUUAACUUUAUUAAACAUUAAAUGUUAACUCUAUUUCAAUUUGACCAUAUUUAAUUUUUUACAACAAUAUUAAAUUGAUCCACCUAAUAGUAAAAAAAUAUAAUCAAAUCCCUAUAAUAAAAACACGUCUCGAAUACAUUCACCCUUCAAUUAAACUAUUCAUCAUGAUACCUUAACAUCAUUAUCCGGCUCAAUUGCUUCACCAAAAUUUGUUAAUCCCAACAUUUUAUUUUCACUUAAGUAUCACUAUCCGAGAAGUAUUUGAACAUGAUCAUAAAAAUGCAAUCCUUUAAAUAAAUUUAAAAAAUACUUAUGCUCAACUCGAUAAAAAAAUUUUUAAAUUCUGAUAAUUUAAACGAAUUAAUUUUAAAUGUAAAGAUGCUAGCAAAGGAGAGAGUUCCAUGAGAUAGAUAGCUUAUAAUUUUGUUUAUAGUCGAUUGAGUCUUAAUUCAAUUGGCAUGAGUAUUAUUACCAGUACAAGAGAAUGUGGGUUCGAGUUCGCUGAAGAGCAGGUUUGAGUUCGCUGAAGAGCAUCAUCUUCCUAUUUAUGGGUUAUAAGUAAUUCUAAAUAUUGUCUCAAAAAGAGCAUAUAUAAUCAAAAUCUAUAAUAAAAUUAUUAAAAAACAAAAACUAUGUCUAUUAGAUAUUUAUAUUCAAAAUCGAAUAACACGGGUAACAUAAAGUUUUAUAUAUAGCAAGAAGAAGCUUUUUUUUUUUAAAUCAAGUCAUGGAUUCUGGGAUUGUUUGGCUUCAAGAGAUUUCUCAUAUUCUUCAAUGGAUUUGAAGAGCUCAGAAAAGUUGCCUUUCCCAAAACCACCACAUCCACCUUUUUGGUAUUGCUUUCCUUCUUCAUCCUUCACCAUGCACCCAAUUCCUUGUAUUAUCUCUAUGAAGAUGGUUGGACUCAAAAUAAAAGGUUCCCACUUUAGUUAACCAAACAAGAAAUAAUAUACAUAUAUGCCGAAGAGAAGUUUGAUUGAAUGACAAGGUUGAAGCUUUGAAAACUUUACAACAUAUGUAAAUGUAUGCGUGGUCAUCUAGAUUUAUUGUUGAUUGGUUAGUUUGUUAAGUUAAAUUAGUAGUCAAUUCUCAUUCCAUUAUAUGAAAUAUUGUUGAUAGGUUAGUUUGUUAAAUAUAUAGUGCAUGCUUGUAGUAAGCUAGUAGAAAUAUUGGGAGCAGCAACAAAAAUAAAUUUUGUGAUGUUGGUGAAGAGAAAGAUAAAAGUGUGGGUGGGAAAGAAGUAGGGGCCGGGGGAGGAUAGUGCAGAAGAGAGGAGAAAAGGAAUGAUGGAAGGAAGAGGUUAAGAGGCUCCACAUUGUAAACAUUGUCCCACUCUUACCAUUCCUUCUACUCUCUUUUUCUUAUAAUGUAAAAGCUGAAGAGGUAAAAAACAAAUAAAUUUGCUUCAUAAUUUUUCUAUGUUUGUUUUGAAAGAAUGAGUAUUGAAUAUAGAUAAUAUAGAGAAAUUUGGUAGGGUUUAAAAAUAUAAUAUAAUUUAAAUAUCAAUUAUUCAAAAUAAUGGUAUUUUAGAUAGCAAAGGUAUUGAAAAUUUAAAGUGAUAAAUUACCUUUUUAUCAUUAUAAAUAAAUACCAUAAUUUCUUUUUAAAUAAAAUAAAUAAAUAUCAUUAUUUCUUCUUUCAACAAUCAUUCUAUUCUAAAAUAAAUAAAAAUAAAAAUGAAACCAGUAACCCCAAAUAAAGUAUUAAUGAUAGUUUUAAAUAAAAUAACUUGAAAAAAUUUUAAAAAGUAAGACUUGAUGAAACACUAAAUAUAAAUUCCUUAGUCAUUUAAAAAGUAAGCUUUGGAGGUCUUAAAAAAAGGGCAAAUUACCAAAAAAGCCCUUUUUUAAAAUUUACUGAAAUGGGCCCGAUAUUUUAUUAUUUAUCGGAAUGGGCCAUUUUCCCCGAAUUCGGGUCCACGUCAGCGCGAUGUCAAGGGACGUGUCAGAACAUCGCGUCCACAUCAGCACGCUUUACUUACGUGGACACAAAUCGUGCCUACGAGGACGCGAUUUGCUGACGUGGAUGAACAGUUUAUGUUUUUUAGCUUGGAAAACUUUGAAAGGCCAUAAUUUUUCGCUCGGUUGUCCGAUUGAGACGAUUUUUUUAUUUCGAAUAACUUUUCGAGAUCUACGCGCUGACAAACAGCCGAAGGUGGUUUGCCGCAUUUUUCGUCAAAAAAGAUCCUUUUUUGCCCCUAAAUUUUGAUUUUUUUGGUUUAAAAUUAAAUUUUGAAACAUUCAAAUCAUUAUUUUCCUUAUUUAUUUGAAGUAACACCGGAUUUUUUUAUAGAAUUGUUGUAGUAUUUUUUCUGAUUUGACACGUGUAUGGAAUAGGUUCGAUAAAUCGUUAGAACGUAAGUAAUAUAAUUAAGAUAAUAACAGUUUUUCUAUAAUAUGUCAAUUAAUUAGUUUAGUUUAGUUGGUUAAGAUGCUUGCUCUUUUCCCUUAGUACCUUGGUUCAAAUCUUGUUACCAAAAAAGAUUCAAAAUUGUUACCAAAAAAAUCCAGUAUUUACUAAAACAAAAUUAAUCGGGGAAUAAUGUAAAUAAAACAAAAUAAGGGCCAAUGUGCAAUGCGCGAAUGACAUGGAGGGUUAAUUUGGAAAUAUUCCCAACCCUCCAGAACGCUGUGUUGCAACAUGGACUAAAAUAAAACGAAAAACGAAUUAAAGGGCGAAAUUUAAAAAAAGAAAAGAACUUAUUUGAACACGCCACUAAAGAGAGAGGACCACUUGCGCAAAUUUACCCCUGGGACAAAACACGUGGAUCCUCCCCUCGGGUUGGGUCACACGGGUCACUGAUUGGUGUGGCAGUAUAUGACGUUGUUUUGGGGCUACUGAAGUAGGCCCUAAACGACGUCGUUUUUAUUACCUUAUAAAAUCCCCCAAAUUAAACCCUAAUCAGAAUUUUCGCCACGUUUACAGAAAAUAAAACCAAAAAAAAAAAAUAAAACCCUAGGUUUUUUUCUCUCUGCCGCUUUGGAAAUUCAGGCCGUUUUGAGGCUUCUCGAACCUCGCAAGGGCUCCGAUCGUGACGGAGUAGGCAGAGAUUCAACACUUCAGGUAAUUUCUAUUUUCUAAUUGAUUUUAUUUUACACACAACGAAUAAACAAUAAUAAUAAAAAGAAACAGAGAAAUUGAAAGAGAAAAGAAAAUCACCUUAAAAACUCACUGCUAUAAUUUUUUAUUGAUUUUUAAUCGAUUUUCGUAUCCCCCUUUACAAAUCCAUGUUUGGCUUUAUAUAGCCAAAAAGAAAAAUCAAAAUCCCUCUUUUUCUAUUUUUUUAUGUUUUUAUCUCCCCUUACAAUUUUCGCUGUAAAUCUGUUAUUUUCUUUGUUGUAAGUUCGUUUCUUCUUUUUGCUGCUUUGGUUUAUCGUUUGUUGCAGGGAGAAUGUGCAUAGUGUGAAGGCGACGUGCUGCGAUGUGCGGGAAGGCGUGCGAGGGAGCCUUGCUGAAUUACGGUGCUCCCUAGGGUUUCUGCCUCCUUUGUUGCUGAAAACAUGUUGUGGGCGUAUUGGGCUAGGGUUUUUUGUAAUUUGGGAUGUUUGGAUUUGUAAUUAGGGCUGGACGCUUAUAGUUUUAAUUUAUUUUAAUUUGGUGUUGGGCCUGGGCUUAAAAUUGGGUAUUACAGUAUUAAUUUUAAAAUAUUGAAUUAAUUAUCACUAUAGUUUAGGGUAUAUGGUUUAGAGUUUAAGGCUUAUGAGUUAUUAUUUUAAGGUUUAUGGAUUAUGGGUUUAAGGGUUAUGGUUUAUGGUUUAAAGGUUGGGAUUUAAAGUUUAGAGGAUAUGUGUUAAGGGUCUAGGAUUUUAUGGUUUAGGUUUAGGGUUUAGGUUUAAGGUUUAGAUUAACUAGUGUUUUCUAAUUUAUAUAUUAAUUAAUUUAUUAUAUAAUUGUAAAAGAGACAAUAUUAAUUUGGUUCUUCAAAAUCUUGUGAAGAUUUGGUUCUCCAAAAUCGUUUCAGUGUAUUUAAAACUGUUAAAGCUGCAUUAUUUUUGUUGAGGGAAUAAGAAAACAGAAAUACUAUUAUUGAGUUUUUAAAUAUUUUCAAAGAAUUUGAUAUUAAAUAGUUUCACAAUAUUUUAAUAAGUACAGGGUUAAUUUUCAUUUUUAUUCUGCUCUAGGGAUAUUGUUGUUAUUUAAAUUGUUGUUGUAUGAACUUAUCGGUUUGCAUCAUCUACACCAAUUUAAAUUUUGACUUUUUACUAGUAUAUUUUUUUUCUCUAAAUUGUUAAUGGUUGCUUUUAGUUUUUUUACUAGUAUUUUUUUCUCUUGCGUCAAUGCUAGUUGGUAGUUGUUACUUUGUAUUAAGAAGAAAGUAUUCUCACAUUGAAUUUGAAAAUGCAGUCGAGCCUUUUUUGACAAGAGGAUCUCACAGGAAGUCAAUGGUGAUGCCUUCGAUGAGGUAUGUUUCCAAGUUACCUUUAGCUUUUCGUUCACUGCCUCAAGUUUCUGCUGGUGCAUCUGGACUUCAUAACUGCAAUUUGCUCACCCCUUAAUUAUCCUUCAACAGGAGUUUAAGGGCUAUGUAUUCAAGAUCAUAGGAGGCUGUGAUAAAUAAGGUUUUCCAAUGAAGCAAGGAGUUCUCACUCCUGGAUGUGUUCGUCUUUUGCUUCACAGAGGUCUGUGGACUCUGAAAUAUUUUUCCUUGUUCUUAUUUGUGUAGAAAUGUUUUUUUUUUGUUAAUUAAAUGUCUUCUUUUCUAAUCUUUGAAUAGGUACUCCCUGCUUCCGUGGAUAUGGUAGAAGAAACGGAGAGCGUAGGAGGAAGUCAGUUCGUGGAUGCAUUGUUAGUCAGGAUCUUUUAGUUUUGAACUUGGUUAUUGUGAAAAAGGGUGAAAAUGAUCUUCCUGGACUGACUGACACUGAGAAACUAUUGGAAAUUGGCCAACCAUGUUGCUGUUACAUUUUGUGGUUGAAGUGCAUGCAGCUUGAUGACAUGCUGCAGCACAUAUGCUUGCUGUAACAGCAAGGUUUCUCUUUAGUUUCAUUCUAAUUAAUCUAGUUUAAAAUGGACAAGUUGAUGACAACUUGAUGCAUUAGGUGUUGAAUGACUAGUUUAGGUGGCUUGUUUAUGUGUACAAGCAAUGUUUUAAUAGUCCCAAUGCUGAUUAGUGGGGUUAGUUGACUAUUUGGUGAUGUAUUUGACUAUAAAUGUAUGUUUCUUCUAGUUGAAUGAAUGAGCUGAAUGAGCUAUCAGCCAUUAGCUCCCUUGCUGUACAUUUGUGAGCAAGUAAAAAUGCUUCUUGCACCUUGUUUCAUGUUCUGUGCUCUUGUUCUCUCUUUUGUUGCUGCCUCUUGCACCAACAAUUGGUAUCGAGAGCUCUUGUCUUAGUGGACCUGUUGCUUCAAAACAAAGAACUUGAUGGCUUCUUCAGGAUUUUCACCAGCAGCCCCACCAGUCUUCAAUGGAGAAGGCUUUCACAUAUGGCUGGUCAAGAUGAAGACUUACCUACAGGCCUUCGAUCUGUGGGAAGUUGUCAACACAGAUACUGAGCCAGCACCACUGAGGGCUAAUCCCACAGUAGCUCAGAUUAGGCAACAUGCUGAUGAGAGGACCAAAAGGCACAAAGCCAUGUCCUGCAUCCAGAACUGUGUGUCAGAUGUCAUCUUCACCAGAAUUAUGGCCUGUGAGACUCCAAAACAGGCCUGGGAUAAGCUCAAGGAGGAGUUUCAAGGCACUGAGAGAACAAGGCAACAGCAACUGCUAAACUUGAGAAGGGAUUUCGAGAAUUUGAAGAUGAAGGAAGAAGAAACAGUGAAGCAGUACUCAGAUAGAAUUAUGGCAGUGGUUAACAGCAUAAGGCUCCUAGGUGAGCACUUUGAUGAGGCAAGAAUUGUGGAGAAAGUCCUCUCCACUUUGCCUGAGAGAUAUGAGGCCAAGAUAUCCUCUCUAGAGGACUCAAGAGACCUUGCUAGCAUCUCUUUGACUGAGCUAAUCAACACCUUUUAUGCUCAGGAACAAAGAAGAGCUAGCAGAGCUGAAGAUCACCAAGAAGGUGCAUUUCAAGCCAAGGCCAGAGAAACCUCGAGCACAAAUGCUCAAAGAGGCAAAAGGCCUUGGAAAAACAGGCCUAAGCUUGAUGCUGCAAGGAGCAAUGACCAGCCCUGUAGAUAUUGCAAGAAACCUGGCCAUCCAGAAGACAGAUGCUGGUUUAGGCCAGAUGCAGUAUGCCAACACUGCAAGAAGAAGGGCCAUGUUGAAAGAGUCUGCAAAAACAGAAGUAAGCCAAGGCAGAAUCAAUUUCAGCAGUCAAAGGUUGAAGCUCGAGUAGCUGAGGACAGUAGUGACCAAGAAGAACAGGUCUUUGCUGUUUCCUGUGUAGCUUCUGAGAAGAAAUGGUCUAAAGGCUGGUUGCUGGACAGUGGUUGCACUAACCACAUGUCACCAGAUGCCUCCUUGUUUAAAACCUUGGACAAAAGUUAUAAAACCAAGGUCAAGGUUGGAAAUGGUCAGUUUAUAAGGGCUGAAGGAAGAGGAGAAGUGUUGAUAUGUACUCCCACAGGCAACAAGAUCAUUCCAAAUGUGCUGUUGGUACCACAGAUUGACAGAAACCUUCUCAGCAUAGCUCAACUGCUCGAGAAAGGUUAUUCUGUUGUGUUCAAGGAUAAACAAUGCCAUAUUACUGAUCCAAGUGGAUCAAGCCUUAUGACAGUCACAAUGACUGAUAAAUGCUUUGAGGUUCACUGGGCAAAUGACUCAAACUCAGCAUACACAGCCUCUGUUGAAGACUCCAAGCUUUGGCAUCAAAGGCUUGGACAUGCCAACUUCAGAUCAAUGGCUCGAUUGGCCAAAGAGGGCUUGGCAGAGAACUUCAUCAGCUCAGUGGAGCAUGAUGAUGUGUGUGAAGUUUGCCAAAUGGGGAAACAGGCAAGACUACCAUUUCCUACAAAUUCAACCUGGAGAGCUACUGAAAGACUGCAGCUGGUGCACUCUGAUGUAUGUGGCCCGAUGAGGACUGAAUCACUCAGCAAAAACAGGUAUUUCAUCCUCUUUAUUGAUGACCUUACAAGGUUUUGCUGGAUUUUCUUUUUAAAACACAAGUCUGAGGUAGCUCAAGUGUUUGUGAAGUUUAAAAAUGCUGUAGAAACAGAAACAGGUUGCAAGCUGAAAUCGAUAAGGACUGAUAAUGGCACUGAGUACACUUCAGCUCAGUUUCAAGCCAUUUGCAAUGAUGCUGGUAUCAAACAUCAGCUUACAAAUGUCUACACACCUCAGCAGAAUGGGGUAGCUGAAAGAAAGAAUAGAAGUCUGAUGGAUAUGGCCAGAUGUCUGCUGUUUGAGAAGAAACUGCCCAAGACCAUGUGGGCUGAGGCAGUAAACACUGCUGUUUACCUUCAGAACAGGCUUCCUACUAAAGCUCUUGCAUCCGAGACACCUUUCGAGGCUUGGUCUGGUUUCAAACCUUCCUUGGCACAUCUGAAGGUGUUUGGUUGCCUGUGUUAUGCACAAAUACCAGCAGCAAAGAGAGACAAGCUCUCUAAAAGGGCUCAACCAGGUGUUCUAGUAGGCUACAGCUCAGUCAAGAAGGGCUACAGGGUCCUGGAUCCCUUGAUAAACAAAGUCCAAGUGAGCAGAGAUGUCAUCUUUGAUGAAAAAGCCUGCUGGAAUUGGGAGAAAAAUGAGCCAGAAGCAGUUUCAGAAGACCUAGUGCCUAAUCAAGCUGAACUUGAGCAGCUAGAACCUGAAAUGGAUGUUGAUGAUGUGCCUGUGAGAGGCACAAGGCCCCUAGAUGAUAUUUAUGAAAGGGCACAGGUUGCAAUAGCAGAACCUAGCAGUUUUGAAGAGGCUGAGGCAGAUGAAGGCUGGAAACUAGCUAUGGUCAAUGAAAUCAACAUGAUUGAAAAGAACCAGACAUGGGAGCUUGUUGAUAAACCUGCUGGAAAGAAGACCAUAGGAGUAAAAUGGGUCUAUCGAGUAAAACAGAAUGCAGAUGACAGUCUGAACAGGCUAAAAGCCAGGCUUGUUGUGAAAGGAUUUAGCCAAAGGUAUGGUCUGGACUACCUGGAGACAUUUGCACCAGUAGCCAGGCUUGACACAGUUAGAAUGAUAGUUGCCUUGGCUGCUCAACAUCAGUGGACCAUUUAUCAGCUUGAUGUUAAGUCUGCAUUUCUCAAUGGCUUCCUGGAAGAAGAGAUCUACAUCGAGCAGCCUCAAGGAUUUGUGAUCACUGGCAAAGAACACAUGGUGUACAGACUGAAAAAGGCUUUAUAUGGCCUGAAACAGGCUCCUCGAGCCUGGUAUGCUCGAAUUGACUCUUACUUGCUCAGUUUGGAAUUUGAGAGAAGUCCCAGUGAACCAACACUGUAUGUGAAGAAGAACCAAGCUCAAACUCAGCUUAUUCUGUCACUCUAUGUUGAUGAUCUACUGAUAACUGGAGGAGAUGGAAGAAUGCUGGAAGAUUUCAAAAGAAAAAUGAUGGAAAUGUUUGAAAUGUCUGAUUUAGGCAGAAUGAACUACUUCCUUGGAAUGGAAGUGAAUCAAACAGAAAAGGGAAUCUUUCUUUGUCAGAGUUCUUUUACUAUGAAGAUCCUGGACAAGUUCUCUAUGAAGAACUGCAAGCCAACAAGCACACCAAUGGCUGUUGGAGUGAAGCUUUCGAGGCAAGGGAGUGGUGAACCAAUUUGUGAGACCAUGUACAAGAGUCUCAUUGGUAGACUGUUGUAUUUGACUGCCACAAGGCCCGAUAUCAUGUUUGCUGUUAGUAUGCUAUCAAGAUACAUGAAUUGCUGCAAUGAUUAGCACUUUCGAGCAGCUAAAAGAGUGCUGAGAUACAUCAAAGGCACCAUUGGUCAUGGUGUAUUGUUCAAAAGGGCUGAAAACAUGAAGCUAAUAGGCUAUGUUGAUAGUGACUGGGCUGGAUCAAGUGAUGACAUGAGAAGCACAUCCGGAUAUGCAUUCAGUCUUGGCUCAGGCAUGUUUUGCUGGAGUUCUAAGAAACAAAGUCUGGUGGCACAAUCAACAGCAGAAGCUGAAUAUGUUGCUGCUGCAUCUGCUGUGAACCAAGCCAUAUGGCUUAGAAAAAUCUUGACUGAUUUAAACCAAAACCAAAAGGAGGCAACAGAGAUUUAUUGUGACAACAAAUCUGCUGUUGCAAUUGCAAAAAAUCCCAUUUUUCAUGGCAGAACCAAGCACUUCAAUAUUAAGUUGCAUGUUAUAAGGGAGAUGGAACAAGCUCAUGAAAUCGAGCUGAUUCACUGCAACUCAGAAGUGCAAAUUGCUGAUAUCUUCACAAAGGCACUCAAUGUGUCUAAAUUUGUUAAAUUCAAAAGGGAAUUAGGUGUUACUAGCAUGGAAACUAAGGAGGAGUGUUAAGUUUAGUUCCCAUGUAAAGGUGGCCAUGCACGACAUGCAAAGGUGGUCAUGCUUCUGGAUUCGCAGCAAGCAGUGGUGCCAUGGUGUGCAGCAACUGAAGUUUGAAGCUGCCAAUCUAUUUGCUGUUUUUAGUUCCAUUUUGAUUGUUUUUGUAAUCUAGUUCAUGUUGAACUAAGUAGGUAAAUGUUUUGAUUUUGAUUGACUGAAAAGUCAGCAAUGCAAGUUGUACAAGCUAAUCUUGUAAGUUUCAAUGCAAAUUAGUGGAGUUAGGUAGUUGAUUAGGUGAUUACUUGUUUGAUUUACUAGUUGACUGAUAUAUGUAAUGGCUUAAUGCCUUGUUGACAAUGUUAAUGAAAGUUAUCAGCUCAUUUUCAUUCAAUCUUUUUCUCUCUUUCUAUGUUUUCACUUGCUAGCUUCAUCUUUCUGUUUUUCUGCUUCCGAGUUUGCUUCUUCACCAAGCCUCGAGGCUUACUACUCAAGCAAGACUUGAAACAGCUUGCUGCUGCCUCUUGCACCAACAAUUGGUAUCAUGAGCCUAUGUCUUACGGGACCAUUGAUUUUGCUUCCCCUACUUGUUGAAAAGAAAGAAGCUGUCAAAGCACAAGCAAGUCAUUAAGGACUGCUUGUAGAGAAGAUAAUAUCGGCUCAAACUUAUAAGAUCCCCAAACUAGCUUGAAUAAGCUGAAGGAGGAGUUUAAAGGAAAGGUGUGAGCUUUCCAAAUGUGCAAGCUUAGCAAGAUGUCAAAGCUGCAAGCUUAGCAAAGUGCGAGCCUGAUGAAGACACCUGUUGAAGACAAUAUGCAAAGAUGUGAGUCUGUCAAAGGUGUGAGCUCAGCAACAUGUGGAAGCUCAAUGCGUGUUGUAUAGUUGCAAGCCUCUUGAAGACAGUAAGCAAAGUGUGAGCCUGUCGAAUUGCAAGCCAAAAUGGCAGAAUGAAGGCAAGCAACUAUACUCACGAACUGUUUGUGCAAGAAGAAAAUGAAUUGGUCAGCUUGAAUCAAAGCAUCUAAGAGCUGCCAAGUUCAAAAAACUUGAUGAAUGACUGGUAUUUGCAGCAUGGAGUCCAAGGAGGAGUAUUGGAAAUUGGCCAACCAUGCUGCUGUUACAUUUUGUGGUUGAAGUGCAUGCAGCUUGAUGACAUGCUGCAGCACAUAUGCUUGCUGUAACAACAAGGUUUCUCUUUAGUUUCAUUCUAAUUAAUCUAGUUUAAAAUGGACAAGUUGAUGACAACUUGAUGCAUUAGGUGUUGAAUGACUAGUUUAGGUGGCUUGUUUAUGUGUACAAGCAAUGUUUUAAUAGUCCCAAUGCUGAUUAGUGGGGUUAGUUGACUAUUUGGUGAUGUAUUUGACUAUAAAUGUAUGUUUCUUCUAGUUGAAUGAAUGAGCUGAAUGAGCUAUCAGCCAUUAGCUCCCUUGCUGCACAUUUGUGAGCAAGUAAAAAUGCUUCUUGCACCUUGCUUCAUGUUCUGUGCUCUUGUUCUCUCUUUUGUUGCUGCCUCUUGCACCAACAGAAACCAAGAAUAAGGGGUCCGAAGAGAGCAUCAAAAAUCAGGAAGUUGUUCAACCUGUCUAAGGAGGAUGGUGUUCGGAAGUAUGUUUAUUAAGCUGUGAGUUUAUUAAGCUGCUUUUAUGAUAAAAUUCAAUGCAUUUUCUGAGAGCCAUUUGUUCUUUCUUUGGUACAAAGUUUGCAACAAUUCUAAGCUACAAUUUUUGUUAAGCUUAUCAUGGAUUUCGUUAUUUGCAUUUCAUGGUAGCUCUUUUCUUCUUUGUUUGAUGCUUCACAUCUGUUUUGAACAUUUUCAGGAUGCAGUUGAUAACAGGAAUGCUGCAGUAAAUUCUAGGAAGCCAGAAGUUAAAAAUGAUGUAGAAAAAGAGAUGUCUGUGAAGCAUCUGACAAGGAAGAAAAGAGUCAUUUGUGAAUUGCAAAUUCAACAGGUUAACCCCAAACUUGUUGGCCAUUCAAAGAAGAAAUCCAAUCACUUUCGUGCUCGUAGCUGUAAAGCAGCAAUUGAGGGGUAUAGCCAGCUUUCUCUGCCAAAGAAGUUUGUACCCUUCAAUCUAAUAAUUGCUCAUUUAGUAACCAUGUGAUUUGUAUUUAUAUAUGCAAAGCUACAUGACUUGUUUUUAUCGAGUGAUAAGUUCAGUGGGACUAAUAAGCACCAGUUACUUUAAAUUUUCAUGAACCCAUGGUAUCAUAAUAAAGCGUACAUUCUGGAAAUGCUUAAAUGUGUACUAUUGAGUAUAUAUUCAGCGGCUUUGAUCACUGAACCUUAACAAAUUCAAUAUCUGAGACUUGUUAUGUAGCAUAGAAGAAUUGGAUGAUAGAAUUUGCGGUAGUCUAGUCUGGUCUGUUAUAAGAUCAAAAUCUGCAAUUAGAAUGAAACUCAAGGAAAAUUUUAUCAUAGAAUCUAACCUAUGAUUAAGAAGAAAAAUCAAGGUAAAAGCUUGUGGUUUUUUUGUCUUUCCGUUCCUUCUCUAUCCACUGUACGGGUUUCAGAAAAAGAGCUUCGCUCGCUCUUGCUAUUAAAGUCGGGUUAGUUUCAUCUUUGAUCUUCUAAUUUUCCUUCUUUGAUUCGUGUUUUUUUGUGUUAAAGUGCCUACAAUUUUGUUUGUUUUUGGAGAAAUCUGGGAUUAUUGUUGUAUUUUCUGAAACUGAUCUAUUAUUGAUGGAAGUCAACCCCUACAGUUGUUGGUGAUAAACACAUAAAUUUGAAUGUUGAUAAAUUAUUGAAUUAUUAAUUUCUGUUAAUUUAUUGCAUAUAAUCAUUGAAUUGUUUAUUUUUACUAAUUAAUUAUAUAUAAAUAAUUAGAUAGUUGAUUUUCGAGCAAUAUUCUUUGAUUGGCUCAUUUUUUGUAUGACAAUGUAAAGAGAUUAAUAAUUGUACUUUUUUUUUUAAAAAUGUCCCCUGACCAACUAUAAAAUUAAAGUUAAUCAAUUGAAAUAGAUGUAGAUCAUAAGCUAUUCAAGCUGCUGCAAUGAGUAGUAUGUUUAGUUUACUAGAGUUUCUUUGGACUUUGGUUUGAUUCAAUUAUCAAAUUUUUCGCUCAGCAUUUGAUUGGUCAGGACUCGAGUUUUCAAAGUUCCCCAAUCAUUUUCUUCCUUUUUUUUCAGAAUCAGAUUUGCUUUUUUGCUUGAAUCUUGACUUUAUAGUCAAUUUGGUGGGUCGGGUUUCUUGAAGCUUUAAGGUUGUAUGGUCGUGGCUAGCGCCAAAUAGAAGGUAAGUGCACAAUGAGUUGAACUGAUUUACUUAUCUUUGCCAUGUUCACUAUGGUUUGAACAAUUUAAGUUACUCUUAUUUUCAUGCAGAGCAUGUAGGCACUAAAUCUGCAGUUCAAAUUCGAAGCCAUGCUCAAAAGUUUUUCUCUAAGGCUCAUUGCUUUGAGUUCAUUACAAGAUUUCCUUGAUUAAGUAAAUGUAUUAUAUCUUUUAUUACCAAGAUUUACUUGAUUAAGAAAAUGCAUUGUAUGUUUUAUUACCUUGCAUAUGUAUUAUUUAUUUUAGUUUUGAUUCUAAAUUUUUAUUUUUACUUUAAUAUUUACGCUAACUUAGAGUUCUAACUUUUGAAUUUUAAUUGUGUUAUUAAUUUAUUAUUUUAAAUUCUAAAUUUAAAUUCAUUCUUUUUUAUAUUUAGUUUUAAAGUCAGAAUAUUUGUAGUAAAUUUAAUUUAAAUAAUAUUUUUUAUUUAUCCUUAAAACAUAAUAUAAUAUUUAUCAUAGAAAUAAAUAUUAUUUGAUAAAAAUGAUUUUUUUUAAAGAUAUGUUUUUAGCGGCGUUUGUGUGAAAAGCGUCGCUAAAGGUCUAUCCAUGUUCUUUAGCAGUGAUUGUGGUAAAGCACCACUAAAAGUCAUGAUCUAUAGUGGCACUUAUAAUAAAAACGUCGCUAAAGGUCAUGUUCUUUAGUGGCGUUUGUGGUAAAAUGCCGCUAAAGGUCAUGCUCUUUAGCGGCGUUUUUGUCAAAAGUCCCGCUAAAGGUCAUGUUCUUUAGCAGCAUUUUUUCAUAUAAACGCCACUAAAACUAGCGACGUUACAAGCACCGCUAAAAGUCUGUUUUGCUGUAGUGGUCUCGAUUCCUUCUUAAUGCUACAUCGGUUUGAAGAUCUACGUUAAUAGUCGAUCAACAAUAAUGAAUGUCACUAACCAAGCUAAGAGGGUUCGAUCAAGGGGUGAGAAAUAAUGAUGACAAGAUGAGACUUAGAUGGGGCAGCAAUGCAGAAAUUAUGAAGGCAACAAAAACUUCAAUGUGCAACAACAGGAGAAGGAGAAAUGGACAUCAAUGGAAAAUCAAAAAUGGCAGAAACUUCUAAACAAAAUAUUGAUAUUAAAAAGGCAAUGAUUCAGCCAAAUAAAUUGGAGAAGUGAUAGGCAAAGGGGCAGCACAAAUAGAAAAUAAAACUUGUGUUUUAGGUUGCAAUAAUGGUGGGUUAUGAGAGAAAAUUGAAGAAUAAUGGAGAGGAAAAAUGAAGGGGACGACAAUAGCUUGAGAAAAAUAAAUAAAAUAGGCUAAACAUAAAAUAAAAUGCAAUUUAUACCUAGGUUAAAAAGGGCUUGGAAGGCAACAAGAUUUUAAGGAGCAGAAACGUUGAAAAAAUAAAAAUUUACAAGGGAAAGGAAUCAAACUCAAGUCUUAAGGUCAAUUUCACUAACUCUUUACCACUAGGCCAAUUAAUCAUUCUAGGCCAAUUAAUCAUUCUUUUCAUAAACGCUCAAACAAAACCUUAAAAAUUAGGGCAAGACAACUCUCAGUUCACUAAAUCGAUUUCUUCUGACACAAUUUUUGGGACAUGACAAAACUAUUAGUAAGUUUAUGUUUAGUUUUAGUUACUUAACUUCAAAAGGUUACAAAAUGGUCAAUAAACUAUUCAAAAGUUUUCAUUUAAGUCAUUGGUUUGUUAAGGUUUUUUUUUAAGUUUGACUAAUGAGCUCCAAGCGAUGAUUCGACAAUUGAUGUAGUGAAUCUAUACCCAUUAAUGAGUGGAACAUAUCUUAGAUCCAAGUUAACAUUCCAUUUAGUGUAGGAGAUUGGAGAAAAAAAGUUGUUCGAAUUUUGGUUCACAGAUUUGUGACGUUCAAAACUGUUUCAUGAAUAUAAAUUAUGUUGUAAAAGAGAAUGGAUAUGUGAGCUUUCAGUUGAUACAAACGGUGCAAACAAAGGUCAUAUAGUAACAAUUUUAAAAGUCUGAUGACUUAAAUGAAAAUUUUUGUAUAGUUCAGUGAUCAUUUUAUAAUUUUAAUAAGCAUACUUACAUUUGUCUUUAGAAUUUGCAAAACAAAUAGAAAAUUCACUUUAAAUGUAUAAAAAUGAAUAAAGAAAACUCACCUUCAUUUCUGAUAGCAAAUAAUAAAUAUGAAAAAAAAAACUCUACCACUUUAAUAUUAACUCUACCACUUUUCCCUUAGAUAUGCAAUUGCAAUGGGUGAUUUUGGGAAACUAAACCAAAGGCCUAUCUUAAGGCUUGCUAAACUUCAUCAGAUACUAUAAAUCAACUGUACAAGGAAAGAUUUCUUAUGUGGAAUUAAUUAAUCAUCUAUAAGAAUUAACUCAACAUCUGUAGAAAAGAAAAUUAAAAUAUCUAAAUUUUUUUUCCCAAGAAACAAAUAGAAAAAAAUAAAUGGAAUAUAAGGGUUUUAAAGUUGAGGAAGGGAAAGAGUGGUGAAAAAAAUUGUUUACUGUUAGUGUCAAACAACAAAAAGAAAAUUGGGUUGAAGGAAGAAGAAGAAAAAGAAAGAAGGAAAAGAUAAGGAACAUCAAAAAAAUGUCGUAAAUUUAAAUGGGUUAAACUUAGGGAUCGGUUUAGUUGAUGGAAAAAAAAAAGUUCGAGACAAAAAAACAUAAAUAUCAAUUUGAGAGAAGUGGAUAAGUUCAGAUACUAAUUUAAUAUUUAAUUGUUAUAAAUAUUAUAGAUUAAGUUACUGGACCAGCAGUGGGCCUGACUUGCGAUUGGUAUGGAGGUGACCCACUUUGUUUGUCGAAAACCUACAUUUUCAGCUAUAGCAAGUCUCAACGGCACAACCAAGUCCAAACGUAUUAAAAUUAAAAUUUAAUAAUUUAAUAAUAUUUUUUCUCCCAAUAAAAUAAUAAAAUAAUAAAUACAUGUAUUAUCAUUCAAAAUGGAAGUAGGUAAUUGGAAAAAAAUAAGAGUGGGAACAUAUUUAUGAGAAAUGGGCAACCGCGUUUUGGGUUGGGUCCUAGACUUUUUCUUAAUUUGUUUGAACACUCCUAACAGGUAACAGCUCUUGAGGGGCCAAGCCAAUAGGCAUCGUGUUUGACCCAAUUCAAUUUCUGGCUUACAAAACUCAACCAAUUUUACUGAUUUAUGUAAAUUUACAAUCACUCAACUAAAUGAAGUUUUUUGGUUUAAUCAAUUUUUUAUAUGAUGAUCCAAGGCAUCGAAUUAGAGCCUUUGGUAAAAGUAAAGAAAAUUUCAAAGUAAAAAAUAAUUUUCAAGAAAUGGGGCCUUAAGAUGUGGACUGCAAAGCUGCGUAGGGGAUGGGAUAAUAAGGCAAAUUAGAGAGCAAAAGUUGGAAGCCCCUCAUUUUGGGCAUAUGUUUCAGCACUUAUCCAUUUUCAGACAAGGAAAUUAUUUAAUAAAGAAAAAGAAAAAUGCCCACCUUUGAGUUAUGAAAGACUGGGGUAGAUGGAAGUAAUUAUGAAAGAUUGGCUGGAAGGACGCGGAUUGGCAAGGACCACUUCACCCAUAUCUUCAUACUUGCUUGGUUAAUCAAUGGUUAAUAAUUAUUCCACCAUUUUAUUUUCGAGAUAUCUCAAUUAACUUUGUUAAAAGAAUAUCUACUUUGCUUGGUCGUUACAUUUCUUUAAGCGCGUUCUAUCUUCGUCCUUAAUAGCUCUUAUUUAUUCACAGUUUAAACCCCAGAUUCUGGUUCGAUUUUAGUAUCAUCCUUAGUCCAUUUAAUUUAUUUUUUUAUUAUUAUUUAUUUUAAAAACUCUUUUAUUAUUAUUUGUUUUAAGUUUUUUUAUUUAUCAUUUAUUGUAAACUGUUUUACAUGCUAUUUAUUUAAUUCUUUUAAUAUGUUAUUCAUUUUAAACCAUUAUAUUUAUAUAAUCUUUUAAAUUCCUAUAUAUGUAUUUUUUUUUAAAAAAAUGUUGUAUGUCUUUUAUUUAUUUGUUUUAAACUAUUAUUAUUCACUUUAAGUUUUUAUAUAAUGUUUAUUUGAAGCCUUUUAUUAUUUAUUUUUGAAUUGUUCUUGUAAAUUAUUUAUUUUAAAUUAUUAUUUGCUUUAAACUGUUUUGCAUAAUAUUUUGUUUUGUUUUCUUCGAUUGUUAAUGUUAGUAUUAAAAAUGAUAUACAUUGUGCGAUUAUUGCCGUCAUGUGUACUAUAAUUAGCUUCUUGGUGUUUUCAUAUUAUUGUCUUUCAUCAAUGUAACAUUUUAUUCAUAAAUCGUUAUUUCAUGUUAUACAUUAUCAUUCCAUUUCAUUUCAUCACUUCGAAAGUUGCAUUCAAUUUUUAUAUACCCAUAAUAAACCGUUCUAUUUUAUCACAAAUAAAACAAAUGCACCUCGUUCUAGUAUUGUACUCGCUAUGAUUCAAAAAAAGGGAAAAGUUUUUUAAUAAGGCAAUAUUUCACGCUUUGGAGAUUCAAGAAAUUGUACCCUAACUUACGGGGUUUCAAUUUUCUCGUUAAAUCUAAAUAGCAAAAUAUCUUUUUAAAUUUCAAGAUAUACGAGAUUUCAAUAAAAAUUAAAGGCAAGCUUUCUCUAAGGUUCCAAAUAUCGUGUCCUAACUUACGGGACAUGACAUUUCGUUACCUCGAGACAAGUGGGUCUUUAACUCUCUUUGCGAUUUAUUCAAGCGUUUUUUUAUUAACAUUAAUAAAAAAGGGAUCAUAUUUUAAAAUAUUUUUAAAAUUUUAACUUUCGACAUUAAGACAUUAAUUAAUCAACUAGGUACCAAUUUUGGGCAUAUCGAGGGUGCUAAUCAUUUCUCGUGCGUAACCGACUCCCGAACCCAUUUUCUGGAUUUUGUAGACUAAAAAUUACCGUUUUAGUAAAUUUAAACUUUUAUUAAAAUUAUUAAAUUAUAAGGUGAUCCGAUCACACCUAAAUAAAAAGGAUUGGUGGCGACUCCAUUUUUAUUUUUAAAUAAAAAGGUUACCCUUUUUUCAAAAAAAUGGUUUCGACUACCCUUAUGUCCGUUUUCGGAUCACAAGAAUUCUAUAAAUUAAAAAAAUAAUCUUACAUGAAGAUGAUAGUCCAUGGUCUAUUUCCUAAGAACCACAACAUUGACAAAGCAAACAAUUAGAUAACAAAUACAUAAUAUUGCAUUCAUUCCCAUAUAUACCACAAAAAUAUGUAUAAGAUCUAAAGAAUGUUACUUUCUAUGUAAUCAAAUCAUUCAAGAAGUGAAUUUUAUUUUGAUUAUCUGUUUAUACUUAUUGAUAGAGCAAAACUUGGUUAUGAUACUAAUUGUUCAAAAAUGAGUUUUUGAAAAUGCAGCAAAAAUCAAUAUAGGGAAAAGCCUAAGUUUAAAAAAAUUAUAAAAUAAGAAUUUAGUUAUAAUAUCUAGAGUAAUAAACACUUAAUAAAAAUUGUACCUUUUUGAUUCGUCUAUGAUGAAUGUUUCAUUGAGUAGUCUUUUCUAUUAUCCUCAAGCUCACGUUUGCCGAGUCACAAUAACAUUAAACAAGUGCAACAACUAAACCAAUGUUGAUAGCACUUAAAGGCAAUGGCUGAAGCAAACAACAAUUGAAAAAAAAAUGAAAGAAUCGAUGUUGCAAAUUUUUAAGAUUAGCACAAUGGCCACAAGGUAAUUGACGGCUAUAAUAAAGGGCUGAUCGACAAGUGCACAGCAGGCUAAAACAACAAGAAAUUGAAGCUAAUCAGCACCCAAAUAGCAGGUAGCACAUUUAGAUGGCAAACAGUACGAGGUUAAGCAACAAAAUUGAAGCAAAUUAAAUAGCAAGUCAGUAACAAAAGGAACCAGUAGCAGCUAAUUGGAAGUUGAUCGAUAAGUAUUUGGUAAAACAAUGUUAUUCGGCCAACAUGCAAAAUAGUACACAUGCAUACACCACUCACAAUUGAUUUGAAUCCCACACCUCAAUUACAAUCCAUAGAACAUUAACAAUUGACCUGAGCACCACUACAACUCGGAUUCGUCUGGAUUCCUUUUUAACGCUACACCGGUUUGAAGAUCUGCGUUAAUAGUCGAUCAACAUCAAUGAAUGUUCACUAACCAAGCUAAGAGGGUUCGGUCAAGGAGUGAGAAAUAAUGAUGACAAGAUGAGACUUAGAUGGGGCAGCAAUGCAAAAAUUAUGAGGGCAACAAAAACUUCAAUGUGUGACAACAGGAGAAGGAGAAAUGGACAUCAAUGGAGAAUAAAAAAUGACAGAAAAUUCUAAACAAAAUAUUGAUAUUAAAAAGGCAAGGAUUCAGCCAAAUAAAUUGGAGAAGUGAUAGGCAAAAGGGCAGCACAAACAGAAAAUAAAACUUGUGUUUUAGGUUGCAAUAAUGGUGGAUUAUGAGAGAAAAUUGGAGAAUAAUGAGAGGAAAAAUGAAGGGGAUGACAAUAGCUUGAGAAAAAUAAAUAAAAUAGGCUAAACAUAAAAUAAAAUGCAAUUUAUACCUAGGUUAAAAAGGGCUUGGAAGGCAACAAUAUUUUAGGGAGCAUAAACAUUGAAAAAAUAAAAAUUAGCAAGGGAAGGGAAUCAAACUCAAGUCUUAAGGUCAAUUUCACUAACUCUUUACCAGUAUGCCAAUUACUCAUUCUUUUCAUAAAUGCUCAAACAAAACCUUAAAAAUUAGGGCAAGACAACUCUCAGUUCACUAACCCGAUUUCUUCCGACUCAAUUCCUUCUGACCCAAUUUUUGGGACAUGACAAAACUAUUAGUAAGUUUAUGUUUCGUUUUAGUCACUUAACUUCAAAAUGUUACAAAAUGGUCAAUAAACUAUUUAAUUCAUUUAAGUCAUUGGUUUGUUAAAUUUUUUUUUAAGUUUGACUAAUGAGCUCUAAGCGAUGAUUUGACGAUUGAUGUAGUGAAUCUAUACCCAUUGACGAGUGAAACAUAUCUUAGAUCCAAGUUAACCUGCCAUUUAGUGUAGGAGAUUGGAGAAAAAAGUUGUUUGAAUUUUGGUUCACAGAUUUGUGACGUUCAAAACUGUUUCAUGAAUAUAAAUUAUGUUGUAAAAGAGAAGAGAAAUGUGAGCUUUCAAUUGAUACAAACGGUGCAAACAAAGGUCAUAUAGUAACAAUUUUAAAAGCCUGAUGACUUAAAUGAAAAUUUUUGUAUAAUUCAAUAAUCAUUUUAUAAUUUUUUGAAAUUAACUAAAAUGUAAACUUAUUAAUAACUCAAUAACCUUAAUUGCCAUUUACCCGUAAACUAUUGAGACCAUUCUAAAAAGUGAUGCAUUAAUUAUAUCUUUUAUCUUUUAUAUAUUGUUUCGAUUAAUACCUAAAUUAUUUGUACGAAAAAAAAAUCAAAAUGAAAUGCAACAUGUUCUGAACUUUUAUUAAAGCUCAUCUUUUUGUUGAAGAUACCCCAAUCCAUGAUUUCAACAUUGGAAUUUUUGAAAGUCCCAAGUAAUAGUAUGAAUUAUGAAAUUUCAAAAAAGCAUAUUCUUAUUUAUUGUUAAUUUCAAGCUAAUUUUAAUAGCUAUACUUACAUUUGUCUUUAGAAAAUAGAAAAUUCACUUUAAAUGUAUAAAAAUGAAUAAAGAAAACUCAUCUUCAUUUCUGACAGAAAAUAAGAAAUAUGAAAAAAAAAACUAAAAAAGAAAGACAUAUUUUCUUGAAAGACGCUUCAAAUGAAACAAAUAUGAAAAACAUAGUUGUAGGAGUGUUCAAUUACUUUAUUGAUCGUUAACCAAAUCAAAUUAGUAUUAACUAAAUCGAAAUUAUCAUGAAAAAGUGAAAAAGUCAUAAUUUAGGGGUGGUUGAUGCAAUUAACUCAUUUCUAAUGGUGCUAAUAAUUAAGUCUGCUAUAGGGAAAGCGAAGUUAAAAUAUGACCCAAAGACUCACCUUUUUCUAAGUCGUCUCCUAUCAAAAUUGCAAAAUAAAUGGAUAGCAGUAAACCAAAUACUUUGCUACUAAACCAAGAAAACCUUAAGAGUUCAUAUUUGUGAAGGUUUCUUAACAUUUUAGUGCAACCUUGAUUUUUAUUUUUAUUUAUUUCCUUUCCCUUAUAAAGAAGAAAAGACCUUCAACUUUUUUUCUUUUUUCUUCUUCAGUUUUGCUUACUUUCUUUUGCUCCCAAAAACCAAAAACAUAUCCCUUCAAAUCCCAUUUGAUCGUCUUGAAGUAGCAAGGAUCUUCUCAGCACCUAGUCUAGUUUGAUUUUGAAGUUCCCAAGUGAGGUCAAUGUAUUUAUGUAUCCUUAAUUUCUUUAUUUUUGAUUUUUUUAUAUAUAAAUUUGUUAUAUAUUUCUUCAUCUAAUAUUAUAUUUUUAUGUUUUGCUUGAACUAAAUCAGAGCAAAAUAGACUGUUUGGAUUUGCUCUUUUUUUUCACACUCAAAUUCUUGGAAUCAUUGCUUCAUUUUGAAGGGGUAAGUGGGUAUGUUUAUUAUGUUUUCCAUCAUUAUAUGCAUAAUAUUAAAUGGAUGGGGCCAUUACCAACAUCAAUAAUUUAGAUCCCGAUUUUGUAUAAAAUUAUUAAAAAAAACUCACAAUUAUUUAUAAAUAGAAAAAUGUAUAUAAAAAUUCUAGAAAAAUAAAAUCUUGAAUAUGUUGUUUCAUAACUAAAUUGUAUGAAAAAUAAAGAAAAUCAUCAUACAAUAACAUCCGAUAACAAAUUAAAAUAAAAACAAAACGAUUAUUAUAUGUUUCCUGAAUAUUUCUCGAAACCAAAUUAGUAGUAUUAUCAAGUUGAGUUUCAUGCCCUUGAAGAACAUCUAGAACUGAUAUUACAAAAACUUAUGAAAUUGACCUUGAUGCCAUAUUUUUAGUCAAAAUAAUACAAAAUAUACCAUAAAUUUUCUUUUCCAAACUCAAUUCGAAAUUUCAUUACAUUAGAAAUUAUAUUCAGAAUUUUAUCUUUUCUUAUAAAGUAAAAGCUAUGUCAAGUAACUGAAGAUGUAAAAAACAAAUGAAUUUGCUUAAUAUUUUUUCUAUGUUUGUUUUUAAAGAAUGAGUAUUGAAGUAAUAGAUAAUAUAGAGAAAUUUUCUUCCUUUUUUUCUGUGUCAGGACUCGGGUCUUUAAAGUUCCUCAAUCAUUUUCUUCUUUCUUUUCAGAAUCAGAUUUGCUUUUUUUGCUUGAAUCUUGACUUUAUAGUCAAUUUGGUGGGUAAGGUUUCUUGAAGCUUUAAGGUUGUAUGGUCGUGGCUAGCGCCAAAUAAAAGGUAAGUGCACAAUAAGUUUUUAUAAUUUUCUUUUUCAAACUCAAUUCAAAAUUCCAUUACAUUUUAUUUUUUUUUCAAAACCCAAAUUGUAAAAUGAAAAUAUAUUCAGAAUUUUAUCUUUUCUUAUAAUGUAAAAGCUUUGUCAAGUAAUUGAUGAGGUAAAAAAGCAUAGAGCAAAUAAAUUUGCUUCAUAGUUUUUUCUAUCUGUUUGUUUUAAAAUAAUGAGUGUUGAAUAUUUCAAUAUAGAUAAUAUAGAGAAAUUUUGCAGGGUUUAAAAAUAAUUAUCCCUAAUUUUCUCACUUUAUUUAUUUUUAAAAUUUUUAUUUUACUUUUAUUUAUUUUUUAAUUUUAUAAUGUUCCAAAAUUUUAAAAAUAAUUUCAACUUUUUAUCAUUUUAUAUAUUAUCAAAAUGAAAAUUCACCGAAAGUAUAAAAAUUUAGGACUAAAAUUUUUAUUAAAUCAUUUAAAAAGUUCCACUUAACAGUUGAGUGACAAAAAAAAAAUAAUUUCAACAGCAUUAGUGGUGAAAUUGUAACUUUUUUAAUUGAGUGAUUAAAAAAAUAUUAGCAAUAGUUUAGUGACUAAUAAUGUAACUUUUUUUUUGGUACAAUGAUAAUUCGAAAUUUGGCUAUUCCUAAAAAGGGUGAACAUCCGAUCAUAUUUAUUCACAUAUUACAAACAUCCAUAUGUAAGCAAUUCUCCCAAAUUGAAAUCAAAUUUUAAUAUCAACAACUUCAACAACUCAUAAAUAGGAAGAUAAUAUGUUUCGGUACACUUGAAACAAUAUCCUUCUACAUUGACAACAAUUACUAUGACAAUGAAGCUAAGACUCAAUUCACAAUACCUAUAUAUUUUUGUUAUACCUAAUACAAGUCAUUUACCAGUAUAUUAGACAUUCUUAUACCCUACUUUCCUAUACUUUCCCAUUAUUAUCUUGAUGAUGAUGAUGAUGGUCUUACAAUUCAGCACUAAGAUCACUGUAAUACUUGUUUUAAUUAGUAUAAUAAUAAUUUUAGUCUUUUUUUAUAUUUUCUAUCAAUUUGACUCUGAUUUUGUAUAAAAUUAUUUAAAAAAAACUCAAAAUUUUAAAAAUAGAAAAAUGUUUAUAAAAUUUCUAGAAAAAUAAAAUCCUGAAUAUGUUGUUGAAUAACUAAAUUGUACGAGAAAUAAAGCAAAUCACCAUUCAAUAAAAUCUGAUAACAAAUUGAAAACAGAACAAAACCAAAAAAAGCUUCAUCAAUGUUUCUUGAAACCAAAUUAGUAAUAUUAUCAAGUUGAGUUUCAUCCCCUUGAAGAACAACUAGAACUCAUAUUACCAAGGCUUAUGAAAUUGACGCUAAUGCUAUUUUUUAGUCAAGAUAUAUAACAAAAUUUCCUUUUUCAAACUUAAUUCAAUUUUUCAUUACAUUUAAAUUAUUUUUCAAAACUCAAAUUAUAAAAAUAAAUUAUAUUUAGAAAAAAAAUUUAUAACAUAAAAGCUAUGUCAAGGAACAGAGAACAAAUAAUUUUACUUAAUGUUUUUUCUACGUUUUUUACUAAAGAAUGUGUAUUGGAUACUUCGAUACAAAUAACAUAGAGAAAUUUUGUAGGGCCCAAAAAUAAUUAUCUCUCAUUUUCUCACUUUAUUUAUUUUUGAAAUUUUUAUCUAAUUUUAUUUAAUUUUUUAUUUUAUAAUGUUCUAAAAUUUUAAAAAUAAUUUUAAUUUUUUUACAUUUUAUAUAUUUUCAAGAUCAGAUUGACUGAAAGUAUAAAAUUUGAGGAUUAAAAUUGUUAUUAUAUCGAUUAAAAAAGUAUCACUUAACAUUUGAGUGACAAAAAAAAAACAAUUUCAAAAGCAUUAGUGAUGAAAUUGUAACUUUUUUAAUUAAGUGACCAAAACAAAAAUACCCAUAGUUUAGUGACUAAUAGUGUAGUCUUUUUUUGGUAAAAUGAAAAUUUGACCCUGAUUUUGUAUAAAAAAAACUCAAAAUUAUUUAUAAAAUAGAAAAAUGUAUAUUAUUCAACAUAGUGAUUUUUUACCCAAAUCAUAUAAAAAAUAAUUAAUUAUGAAAAUGGUAUGGAAAAUAAAUUAAUUACAAAAAUAAGGCAUUUGGUACAAUGUUUUGCUGGUGUUGCCUGACAUAUUGGUAGCACUAAAUUAAAAUGUGAUGACCUAAAAAUAUUCAAGGACUUAAUGUAACGCCCAAAAUUUUAAUUUUGGGUAUUGUGAUUGUGUAACAUAAAUAUCUAUCAACUUUAGUGGUUAUGUGUUCUGAAAGUCUUUGAGAGGUCCUAAGUUUAAGUCAAGAUUUGGGCAAAUUUUAAUAUGUAAAUUUCAAAAAUAUUCAAAGACUUGAUAUGUAAAUCUCUCAUUUUGAUUGGCUGUUGAAAAUAAACUCUAAAGAUGUUGUGUGACAGUGUGGUGGCACAAAAUCUUAAAUAGGCUCUAAAGAUUGUUUAUUAUUAUUUUUUAUCCCCUUCAACACCAAAAUUACAAAGGUUUCCUACCUAUUAAUCAAGUUCAAAUUAUGUAUAGCAUAACCGUUAACAUUGUUGAUAGUAAUUUUCUUUGGCUCAUAUAUAUAUAUAUAAUAAAAUUUUUCUAAAAUUUUUAUAAUUAUAAUUUAUACAAUACCGUAAAUUAAAUUGAUAAUAAGAAUAAUUAUAAUGCUAUCUGUAAUGGCAGACAGCAAAGAAAAAGGCUAAAAGAAACAGUAAUAAAAAUAGGAUUCCUUACUAAUAAUUCUGCCUCUGUGGAUCCUACCAGAGACUUCAUAAUUUCCCUGUUUUUAUCUUCACUUUCUUCUUACUUCUUCUUCACUGCUUUUAAUUUGUUUCGAUGUCCAAGGUCUAUCACCAAUUUUCAAGCAUCCAGUCAACGUAAUUUUCUUUCAUUUGCUUAAUUCAUCACAUGCUUUUCUUUGCUUUUGAUUAUCUGCUACUGUUAUGGCAGCUAGCUUUGUAAGAUUGUCAAGGAACUCAACUUCACUGCUUCCUUCUCAGUUCUAAUCUCUCAACACUUUUCAGCCACUAAGUCAGGUAAUAUGAUCUGAAGCAAUGAUUUCCUCUACUAAUUAUCAACAGUUUUAGAUUUUAAGAGUGGAUGACCAGCAGACAUAAUCUACUAUAGAUAGAAAUUAAUACAAAAACAGCUACCCAGAAGCAAUAUAAUGUUGAAAUCUCAAACUGUCAACAUUUUAACUCUUAAUAUUCUGUAAUGAACUCUUGCACACUUGAAUCUAGCAUUUUAUAUACAUCGAGAGCUUGAUUCUGGUGACCAGAACUUCAUCAUGUUUCUGUCUGCCACCCAUCCAUAGCUCCAUCUAAUAGACGCCAUUGCUUGAAACUUGCAUUCAUGUUUUCCUUUUCAUGCUUACACUGACAUAUCAAUACUUCAUAAAAUAUCCAAUUCAUUCACAGAUUUUCAUUCUCUGCUACUGUUAUAUAUGAUUGCAUUGCAGGGACAUAGCAAUGGAGUACGUAGAGCCUGUUGUCAGCAUUGCAAAUUGUCUCGGAAUUCCUGUUUGUGAAUAUUUACAAUAUCACAGAAAGCUGAACGAUUAUGUGAGAAAAUUCAAGACGAUCAGAGAUGAAUUGAAUUGCAAAAUGUUAGAUAUAGAGCUGCAAUUGAAUGCAGAGCUUCUUCGUCCUCUGGGGAAGAUACCGAAGAAGGGAGUUGAAAAUUGGUUGAAAGCUGUGAAAGAGAUGAUUAGGGAAGCACAAGUUGUUGAAAACAAAGUCAGUAACGGGAGAUAUUUCUGUCGUGCUUGCAACGGGAAGCUUGUUGAUGAAAAGACUCGAGAAAUGAAGGAAUUUCUUGAUAACGCUCCUAAUGCCUCUGAAGGUCUUGCCAUGGAUGGCCCAAGUGCUAGGUUGCUACUGCCAACAUCAGAACUAGUUGGAGAAGAUAUUGGUGUAAGACGCAGUAGCAAGCUGCUUUGCACUUGCUUGGACAACAAGUGUCGAGCCUUGCUGAAGAAACUAUCGAAGAAGAAGAAGAAGAAAGUUUUGCAAUGGAAAAACAGAAAAGAAAGAGAUCAUUUUGAAUGAAAAUGAGCUGAAUUUUUUCAUUAACAUUACAAAAGGCAUAAAAGCCAUUACAUAUAGGAGUUAACAAUCUUAAAACAAACAAGUUACUACCUAAACUCAUACCUAACACCACUAGUUUACCUGGUAACUUGAUAAACUUGCUUGAGUAUCAUAACAAGCUACCUAAACUUGUUUUAUUUUAUAAAUUUUUAUUAGUUACUGAUUGAUUGAAAUAUUGUGUGAAAAUAUGGAUAAAAAAAUUUUAAUGCUUUAGUGCUUAAUUGAAUUUUUAGGACUAAAUUGAGAAAAAUGCAAAGUGUGUCUAAUUAGUGAUUAAAUGACUUAAUUGAAUUAUUGCAUGAAAUUGGAAGUUUUUAUGUGGCAAUUAGACCAUGAAUUAGUGUUAUGGACACAAAAGGGUAUUUCUAGAAAAAUAUCUAAGUAAUGGGUCAAGGGCAUUUUUGUCCAAAUUGAAUAAAAGACAAAAUAAAGAUGAAAACAAGUGUUCAUCUUCUUAAAAUCAGACGUUUGCUGCCAAAAAAAUUCAUGUCACCAUAGCUAGGGUUCUUGAACUUUCUAAGCUCAAUUGUAAGUGAUUUCUUGCCCCGUUUUUAAUUAUUUUCGUAUUUUUAUGCUUAUUGAAGCUUGAAUUUCAUGUUUCUACCAUUUAAUUUAAAUGAAAUUAAAGUUUAAAAAUUGAUCCAUUCAUGAUAUAAUUGUAAAUUGAUUAGUGAUGUUAGAUAAUGAAUGUUUGAAGUGUUAAUUACAAGUUUUACUAGAUGAAUUUUGAUGAAAAUGUUGAAAAAGGGCUAAAUUGUGAAAGAUGGUAAAGUAUGCAUAAAGUUGUGAUUUUGUGAAAUUGAGGGCUGUUAUGAGCAUGAAAUAUGAUUUAGUGAAGUUUGAAAUUUAAAAAUUUAGUGAAUUUUAUUUUUACGAGCUUAGGGACAAAAGUGGAAUUUUUGAAAAGUUUCGGGGAAAAAUGUAAAUUUGCCAAAAUGUUGUGUAUGAAUUGUAUUUGAAUGAAAUGUUGAUAAAAUGUAUUAAAUUGUGUUAAUAUAGAUCAAGAAAGAAGAAAUAGUGGAAAUGAUCGGGGAAAAGAGAAAGUUAUCGACUAAAUUACAAAAAUAGUCGUUUUGCAUCCGAGGUAAGUUACGUGUAAAUAAUAGUUAUAUUUUUAUAAAUUAUGAAUUAUAUUUGAUAUGUGAAUUAAUAUUCAACGUGGAACGAAAAUUAUUCAUGAAUUAUUCAAGUGUUAAAGUGUUAAAAAUAAAGUGUUAAGUGUAAAUUCCCGGUUGAACUUAGGAAUAGAAGUGGAUACAAGUGACAUGUCACUAGAGAUCAGUGUUACAGUGUUACAGUGAGUCCCGGGUGCUGGGUGAUCUAGCAUGUGUUGCAGACACCUGACAGCUUGUGUGAGCAGGCCCGUGGACAUUUCCAGUGUUAUUGAUCAGUGGUAGCUUCGGCUACGUUUCAGUGGUAGCUUCGGCUACAUAACAGUGGUAGCUUCGGCUACAUAUCAGUGUUGCACUUAUGUGCUAAAUCUCUACGUAUCUGUGUAUAUUCCGAGUGUUCAACGGGAUUAAUAAUGAGUUAAAGUGAAUAUGAAAUGAAGUGUGUAUGCAGGUACAUUUGAAAAGAAUGAGCAUAAGUGAUAAAGGUUAAGUGUGAAAAUGUAUAUGCAAGUGAAUUUGGUAAGAUUGUGCAUGUGUAAGUGAUUGAAAUUGCUAAGAAAUGUUUUGAUUAGUUAUAUGUUAAAAGUGUUAAUUAUUAAAUGAGUAAUUAUUGUUUACAUGUAACUUACUAAGCUAUUAGUAGCUUACACCUUCCUUCUUUUCCUUUGUUUUAUAGUGAUUUGAACUUGAUCGAAUUGGGGAUCGUCGGAGCUCGUAUCACACUAUCAUAAUCAUCUCGGUAUUGUGUGAUUUUCAAAAUAUUUAAAACUAUGGCAUGUAUAGAGUCUUAAUCAUUUUGAGUAUGUUCAUAUGAUAUGGCUAAGAUUAGCUAUUGAAAUGGUUAGUAAAGAUUAUGUUUUGGUAUUAUGUAUGUGUAAAUGGUAACUAAUUCAAAGAAGCAGUUUCUUUGACAGCAGUAGUGACGUGAAUGUAAAAAUUCACCAUAAAUAGUAGAAAUGGAAUUAGAGAGUGAAUUAUAUAUGGAAUUAAAGCUUAUCAAGUCUAUUUUUAUAUGAAAGAAACGGUGUAGGCAAAGGAAUUCUGUAUUUUGAGAUAUUUUAAUUUUAGUGAGACAGGGUCAGAAUGGUUUUUGAAGUCCCCUGUUUUGACUUUAGAAAAUCACUAUAAAUUGUACAGAAAUAAUUAUAGGUCAUAAUUUAUAUGUGUAGAUUCCUUAGUGAGUCUAUUUUCAAAAUAAAUAAACAGUAACCUUAUAUGAAUUCUGUCCAAUGAUAUAAUUGAUUUCUAGUGCCAAGAGGUCAGACCUGUCGAGCAGUGAAACAGGGGAUACUUUAAUGAAUAAACUGUACUAAUUGGCUAAGUCAAAAAUUCUUAAAAUUUUAUGGUAAGUAUUAAUAUGAGUCUAGUUUCAUGGAAAAUUUACAGAUUUAAAUUUCGAGUCUCGUAACUCGAGUUAUAAUUAAAUUAGUGACAGUUGCGCAGGUAGACAGUUUUGCUGUGAGUAGUGAAUUUAAUUUUAAAAGCAAAUUUUUAUGCUCCGAAUUGGUAAGUUAAAUUGGAUGACAUCUCGUACUCGAUUCCGGCAACGGUCUCGGGUAAGGGGUGUUACAAGUUUGGCGUUGUGUACAAGGGUAAACUACAAAAAUAGUCACUUUUUGUUUACAUCAGGUUACAUUUUAGUCAUUUAUGUUUAAAAUAUUACAUUUUAGUCACUUAUGUUAUUAUUUUGUUACGAAGUGAUCACUCUUCCGUUAAGUUCUGUUAUCUCACUAACGAUAAUCUUACGUGGCAGUCCAACUAGAUUUUAAGUGCCAACUUAAAUUUUCUAAUGGAAUGAGAAUAAAUUUUUUAAUUAAAUAAAUUUAAUUAAUUAAAAAUUUUAAACUCUAAAUCUUAGUUAAAAAAAAUUCAUCUCCCCCUUUUUUUAGUUUUCUUUUUCAGUAUACCCUUCCUCGGAACUAUUGUGACUGUGUUCCUCCUCAUGCCCGGUUGUUUCAGAUGUUAAAAAAAUCAGAACUUAAACUACUUUCCCUACCCUUGUCUUCAAGCAACUCGGCAAAUAUUCCCAUUUGAACCCCAUUCUCACUAAAGCUUUCAUUUUUCUCUUUAAUGAGUCCUCCUUUCUCAACCAAACCCUCCAUUUCAAUUUGCUGUUCUUCAAAAGGACCAGGUGAAGGACAAAACACAGAGUGAUUUACUAUCAUACCACUAUACUCUAACCUCUGUGAGCAACACACAUUGGACUCCAUAGCUUUGUAACACAAGCUUCUAAAAGAUUUUGAAACCCAAAAGCUCUUAGCUUUUAGCUUUGGCGCAGGCAUUCAAAGCUUCAACUGGUGAUAUUGUUGUUGUUGCUGCUGUUUGGUAGAGCUAUUUACUCUUGGUUGGUGAAAGCUCCUCCAUCCAUAAGGUCGCCAACAUGUCUACUUCAAUGGGUUAAAGUGGAAGCAAAAAAAAAAAAAAAAAUGCAGAGAAAUUUGGUGUGGGGUUUUCCUUCUUUUUCCUUUUAUCUUUUUUAUGUUACAGAAAAAAGGCAGAAGCUUUAUGUUCUUAAAUAUAUGGAGUCAAGCUAUUGAUGAUUACUGAGGCCUGCUCAAAGACAUGACUGCUUUCUUAGUCAACCGAAAAAUAAAACUUAAAAAAAAAAGAGAUGAACUGUUUUUUAAUUAAGAUUUAGGGUUUAAAAUUUUUAAUUAAUUAAAUUUAUUUAAUUAAAAAUCUAUUCUUAUCCUAUUAGGAAAUUUAAGUUGACACUUAAAAUCUAGUUGGACUGCCACGUAGGAUUACCGUUAAGGAGAUAACAGAACUUAACGGAAGAGUGAUCACUUCGUAACAAAAUAAUAACAUAAAUGACUAAAACGUAACAUUUCAAACAUAGGUGACUAAAAUGUAACCUGAGGCAAACAAAAGUGACUAUUUUUAUAGUUUACCUUUGUGUACAAUGGUACGGCUCUGGUAAAAGUGAGAAUUCUGAAAUUUUGAGAAAGAAAGUAAUUAAAACGAUUCGUUAGUAACAUCAUGCACAGAAAUAUUGGAAGUAGACAUAAUAUGUAUCAUUUAAUAUCUUAAGUGACACUAGUUAUUCAUGCAUAAAUGAAAAUGUUCCGACAUGGUCAAGUAUAUAUACGAAACAGAUAUCUUAAGAGUUGAAGCAAAGAAAAGGCGAUACCCCCUGAUCACUUUGUUUCCUCAGCUCCCGAAUGUUUUCAAAAGCUUUGUCCCUCUUCAGGGUCACAGCUUUCAGCUCAUUUUGUAAAGACUCGAUUUUAGUUUCAGUUUCAUCCAAUUUAUCUUUAAUUUGCUUUUUUUUGGACCAGACUGCAUGCUGCUCCUUCCUUACUCCAUUCAAAUCGACACCCAUAAGCUACAAUAAACAAAUAUAGCUCUUUUUUUUUUUUUAGUGUAACACAAUGGUGCUCUAUAUUCACAGAUAAGAAGAGGAGCAAACUCCAAUGGAUAAAGGCAGAAAAUAGAAUCAUCUUACUUUAACUUGAUCUUGAAUGUCUUCUUUCUGGCCUAAUGAAUCUUGAAUCUUUGUUCUCAUUGCAGCAUUAGCAAUAACUUUCUCACGGGUUCCCUCCAGGUGUUUGAUUUCUUUAAGGAUUCGCUUCUCCUCACUCAACGAGAUGCUUUCGUGCUGAAUGCGAUAUUGCAAGCUGUGAAUCUGCAAUUCAUAAAUUCCAUUGAAGUGACUAAAGGAGAAAAAGAAAAGCAUUAACUGCGGCAGAAAACAAUGAAUAAAUCUAAAUGCAGUCAAAGUUUAUAGAAGUAUCAUACAAUAAAAUCGAGCUCUUCCUCAGAUGCACAUAAACUAUGUCGAUUAUAAACAUCUUUAUUAUUGUGAAGCUUGCCUAAAGCCUGCUGCAGUGGUUCUAUUUCCUUUUUUUUCUCAUCUAAAAUCGUCUUAAAUUGCUCAAAAUCAACAUUCAGCGCUCUCACUUGCGAAAGCAUCUCUGAUCGUUCUGCCUGCAUUAGCAUAAAGAUAAUCACUAUUUAGCCAACUGACAGCGCCAUUAUUCUUUACUUCUUUCACAUUUUUUCUCAAAUUCUGAAGGCAAACAUAACAUUAAUGAAUCAUUAUACCAAUAGCAUAUCUGUAAGUGUCAUUACAUUUCAAGGACAUAAAUUUCGAACAUUCAAAUAAAUGCUUCCGGGUUUAAUUCCCCUACAUUCAUCAUAUUACAAUAAGCACACCAUAAUGACAUAAUGAUAGGGCUAAUAAUUAUCUUAAAAGUAUGACAAUUAAUGGCUAUCAUGCUAUACAUCUAAUUGAAAUUAAUAACUUUUCACUCACCCUUUUUGCUUUUAAUUCAUCGGUAAGCUUAAACCUGGCUUUAUUCCACUUUUGCAUCUCUUUAUCAGCCUGAUCAAGUUUGGCUUUUAUAGCCUGAUCUUCGUAGAAGCGAUACCUAAUAAAAUGAAAAGAGUGGAUCUGCUUAGGUGCAGGCCACUCGACGACCGCAUCCUUCGGAAAGUCGGGAUCGGAUGCACCAUUCUGUUCUUCCUUAUCAGGUUCCUCACUAUGUGAAUCAACUUCAAUGGGGUUAUUAUAAACUGGAUCCUUUUCCAGUUUCCCAUUUUCAUGAAGAAAUGAUUUGUCUACUUCAGUCACUUUAUCAAUAGACAAUUGUGCCAGGUCUAAAUCAACAACCUCAACACCCACUAAACAUAAAAUUGAGCUACCUGAAAACAUCCAAAAACAAAGAUUAUGAUACCAUAUAACAACAAAUAUAAAUAUAAAAUAUUAUUUCAUUCAUAAAAUAAAAAUUUUAAAACCAGACACCUGAUAGACAUGUAUAAAACAAUAUAUAUUAAAUAAAUAAAUUUUAAAGAACAGUAUAGCCAAUACAAUUUGAAAUGGUGCAAUCUAAAGCCAUUCCUUUAGCUAGUUUUCUCAUUAAUCAGAUCAAAAGAGUGAACAAACAGUAGAAUUGCAAAAUUAUAUGUAUAUAUUCUAAAUAAAUGAUAAACUAUAAUGGAGAAAAACAAUAAUCAGAUAAAAUCUAGAUCAAAAACUAAAUUAUAAGUACAUUAGCUCAUGCUAUAACAAAAGAUCAAGCCUUUAUCCGUCAAGAAAAUUAACAUGCAAAAUCAUAUGACACUAAUGGAAAAGACUCGGAAAUUUACAAACAUGAGAUAAAUGAAAAACAAAAAAACCCCAGAAAUAAAAACAUGAGAAAUAAUUAUGUAGUUUGCAAGGCUAGAAAGUUUACAUUUUUAAAAAGAAAAAGUCAAAAUAAGAUGUUAUUGUUGUCGAGAGAGGCAUAGAUACAGAGAUUCUGGAUAAAAAAAAACUUUCUAACUUUUUUAUUUUAUAUUCGCGUAAUGCCCCAAAUUUUAUAAAUUUUAGGUGUUAAACAUGUCAAGUAAUUUGAUUUGGUGUGGUGAUUAAGUGUAUUGAAUGUUUGCUUUGGGUCUUGAGUUCAAUUUUUUUGUUAAAUUUGUCUUAUUUAUUAUGGUAUUUGUUAAAUUUUUCCUAUUUAUUAUGGUAUUAUGUUCAACUUGAGCCUUAAGUCUUAUCCCUUAUUUUCAACGAUGAAUCUACUGAUUCAAUGGUAAGACUUUAGCUUAUCACCAAUUUAAAUUUUAUAAAAUCUGAUAAGUGAGAUUUAAAUUAACUUAAAUCUUUUUAUUUAUUUAUUUUUAUUUAAUUUUACUAAAUCUCUAUUUUCACUUAUUGUUUCAACCGUCCACACUCUCACCCCACUCUGUACGCUACUUUCUUUUGUUUCCCUAUUCUACGGUUUUAUCUUCUUUUCUCUUCCUUCUUUCUCCUCUUUUGAUUAUUCCUGAAUACUACCAUUUAUUUUGUGAGUUUUGUCACUUGGAUCGUAUUCUGUUUGCAGUGUAAGUUUCAUUUGGUUACUUUUGUUCUCUUCCCAUUAAUAGUUUAGUUUUAUUUCGUUUCUUGAACAAGUUAAGUUUAUGUUGGUAUUUUCUGUUCAUUAUCAUGAUUAGUAUUUUUGUGGUUCUCGAUUAGGCAAAAGGUGUGAGAAUCCUAACCCUCUAGCAAAGUAGUCACAAUUUUCGACGUUGUUUUGGAGAACUAAGUAUUCGUAUUCUAUUUUAGGGGUUGAAAUUUUGAUUCAACGAUGUUAUUUUGGAUAAGUAUUGUUAGUUCAUCCGUGUGGUUUGACGAACGUUUAUAGGAUUCGUGAGUUCCAAUUGAGCGGUUGAUCAAAUCAGCAAUAGGUGUAUGAAAUUAACCUAAAAACUCAAUCGAAACUCGAGAAAAUUAAGGGCCACACGACUAUGUGGGUAUUUUGGCCAAUUUUAAGCCCCAAUUAGGGGCCGAUUAAAGGACUGAAAUAUUGGGUCCAUAGCCAUCAUAUAAGCCCAAAAAAUGUAAGUUUUAGUACGUAUAUAUACAUGGCUAAGCUUAGAGGUAUGUUAAGUAGGUUGUAUAUAAAUCAUAUGCAAUGUUAUGUUCCUUAUAAAAAUAUGUGUAUGCUUGUCAUACGACUUAUGAUAUAAGUAUUUAUGAUAUUAUAAUUAUGAUUAUGCAUGUCAUAUAUGAUUGUUGUCAUGAUAUACAAGCAUUUAAUUAAUAUUUUAAAGUUUUAAAAAAAUAAUAAAUGUUUUUAAAUAAUUUUAAAAUUUUAAAAAUAAGUUAUAUAUAUUUUUAAAACCUUAAAAAUUAUUUAAAAACUAAUGUAUCAUCCAUAAUAAAUCAUACAUCAUUAACACAUACUGGGGCAUGGGAAAGCUUUUAAAAACUGAACUCAAAAAGUGGUCUACAUGGUUCAUCAAGGCAUGGCAAGUAAGUGAGUUGAAGCAAUUUGUGUCAUGAUUGCCUGUAUUUCUCUCAUAAUUUCUUUGCCACUCUGCACCCGUGAGACACUGCAAAAUGUCCUACAUUUCAAAUAAACUGAUGUCAGGUAAAACAUUAAAGCAGAAGAGGAUCAACUAUUACCCUCACUAUCUAUUUCAAUGCUAAAUUUCCACCUCUCCUCUCCAACACCUCAUUGGUAGCCUUACUCAUCUUAACCAACACAACCCUUUCUUUUUCCAAUACAUUUCCAGAAUGUACACUUUUAUUAGAAGAAAAUAUCCAAAAACAUUUUACCAGAAAGCUGGGCUGUGGGGUUGGAAAUGAAGGAUUUUACACCUUCAUCUUGGGGAAGCCCAUAUUUCUUCACUUUGGCAAAACUCUCUUCUGGGUCGAUUCUACAAAAUAUUUAUUAGCUCAUUUUGUGAAAGAGGUAAUUGUGAGAUGAUUGAUCAUUUUGUUUCUACAUUAUAAGAAAAAACUGUAAUAUAUAUCAUGAACUUGAGUUGUCAUAUUCUAAUAUUUCUUUGCUCAAUAUUUACUUGAUUGUAUACAUUAGAUUUGCACCCGAAGCAAUAGUUUUAGAACACUUACAGUAAUAGUUUUAGUCUUUCAACUUCAUCAACUAAUUUUUCAAAGUUAUGUGUAUUGAUUGCGGUCGUAAACCAACUAAAAAUCUGAUUAAGGUAAAUGUACUUAUCAAUUAAUAGUAUAGUUACGAUGAACAAAGAUAUCAUUCCCACAAGGGCUAAAAGUAUUAGUAAUUAUUGUCUUUCUAUUAUUUAACCGACAAAUUGGAAUGAUUGAUUAAAACUAAAAUUAACUAAAUAAAUUAACUAAAGAACACGGCAAAGAACAAAUCAGAAAAAUAAAUGAUUAACAACCAAAAAGCGAGACAAUACUCGGGAAAGAAUCCACCUAGACUUCAUCUGUCAUUAUCAAUCUAAAUCACACAAUUUCUUCACUUACUAUCUUGAUCCGUAGAAAUCCCUAAAUUAUUGUAAUAUCUCUCUUCAAGACUAAGAGUAACUGACUCUAGAUUGAUUAAUUGAAAUUUCUUUCUAAUUAAAACCUCUAUUAUCACAUUAACUUGAUUUAUGGAUUAUUCUAUUAGAUUUGACUCUAAUCCGGUAGAAUUAUGUAAUCCUAUUUUUAGGAUUGCAUGCAACUCCACUCAAUUACGCUAGAUCUACUCUUAAACAGGGUCUACUCCUCCUCUGAUUUAAGCACAUAAAACAUGAAUCAAUAGUCUAAAAAAAUUAAACUAUGAAUUAAGCACACAUAAAUGAGAACAAGAUCUAAGUAUUUAUUCCGUAAAAAUAGAAAUCAAAUAAUAGAAUUCAUCCUAAGGUUUAUCUCCCUAGGUAUUUGGAAAAUUAGUACAUAUAGUAAAUAAAAACAUCCCAAAAAUAGUAUAACCAUAAGAAAUAAAGAAACUCAUAAUAAACUUCAAAAAAAUCAAAAGGAGAACUUCAAUAUUGAUGGAAAUCUACUUCAAAGUCGGCUUUAAUAGUAUUUUCUGAGUUGCUUUCUUCAAUAUAUGACAACUCACUGAUCCCCUCCUCUUAUCUUUGUCAUAUAUAUUUUAGAAUGCUCAAAAAACUUAAAAAUUACGCUUUUUGCGUGUUUAGAGUGCAAUUUACGAUUUCCACAUGGUCUAGCACAUGGUCGUUUUGUAAUGACCCAAAAUUCACGGGCAUCGGAAAAGUAUAAUAUCAGGUCUCUGUCUUAGUAAAUUGAGUUUGAAAAUAAUUAUUAGAAAUAUUUACUAGACUAGUUGUGUGUUUAAUUAGGAUUUAGAUAGGUGAAUUUAGCUUAAUUAAGAGUAAUUAGCAAAAAAGAUUAAAUUACAAUAGAAGUGAAAGUUUAAUUAUAGAUUAAAAUAAAAUAAAGGGGAUUAAACAGGAAAUUAUGCCAAUUGCCAAAUUUGAGGCGGCAUUGUUAAAAUAUGUUAUUAAAUUAUUAUUAUUAUUAUUAUUAUAUUAUGAAAUAAAUAAGAUGGUGACAAAUGUAUGGCAAUAAAAUUAGUACAUGUGUAAAACAUGUAUUUAAACACUUGUAUUAUAAUGAUAUAUUUUCUUAAAUUUUAAGUAAAGGUAUUGUCGAAACCAUUUUUUUUUGAAAACAAAAAUUUAGUUGUAGACUUUAAAAACAAAAAUUAGAGUCCCCACCGAUCUUUUAUUAAGGUGCGAUCGGCUCACCGUAAAAUUUUAGUCUACGAAGUCUUAGAAAAACAGGUUCGGGAGUCAAUUACGCACGAGGAAGGGUUAGUGCCCUCGUAACGCCUAAAAUCGGUACCAAAUUAAUUAUUUUAUGUCUUGGUGUCGAAAAUUUGAAAAGAUUUUAAAAGAAAACUUUUUUACUCGAGAAUGAAUUAAAAUAAUACAAACAUUCCUAUUUUAAAGAAACAAAAUAUCACACCCAGUUAGUUAGGGCACAAUAUUUUUAAAUUUUCAAAAUUAAGUUUGUCUUUUGAUUUUAAAACUCACACGGUUAAAUCUAAGAAGGGUAUUCGAUUAUUUAGAUCAAAUAAAGAAAAAUCGAAACCUAGUAAGCUAGGGCACAAUUUCUCAAAAUUUCAAAUACAGAAUAGCACCUUUUGUUUUAAAAAAUCUUAUUUCGAGAAGUCAAAAUAUCAGGACCAGUAAGUUAGGACCCGUAAUUUUAGAUUCCCGGGAACAAGCCUUUAUUUGAAAUUUGUGUGAAUUUAUUGCAAAAUAAAUACUCGACUUUCUAAAUUCGUCGAAAAAUAAUCGCGAUCCAGUAAGUUAGGACACGAUCUUUCUCGAGAAUCAUGAAUGCCAAAUAUUUUGAAAAUUUAUAAAUUAUGAUGAUUUUUAAUGCUUUGAUAAAGCCAAAAUAUAUUUUUCUUUAAAAGUAUGAUAAAAUGUUAAUGCAUAACAUGAAAUCAUUACUUUAAUUUAAAAUAUACCUAUAUAUGUAUACAAAAAUUAUAAAAAGAACAUAAUCAUAAAAUAUAUAAAGUUGACAUAAAAAUAAAAAUGUAAGCAUAAUAUAUUAAUAAUUACGAAAAUAUGGGUAUAUAUGUAUAUAUAAAAAUAUAUGAAAAAUGUAUUUAUAAAAGUUUUGAAUAGUAUAUGAAUAUAUUAUAAAAAAAACAUGUAUAAACAUAUAUAGAUUAUAAAAUAUGGAAAGCAUAAAUAUAAAAUAAAAAUGUAUAUACGAAUAAAUAUAUGUAUAUAUAUAUAAAAUAAUAAUAAAGUAUAUAAAAUGUAUAUGAAUUUAAAAAUGUUUAAAAUAUAAAUAUUAAUAUUAUCAUACAUAUCCGCAUAUAAUGUAGGUAUAAUAAUAAUUAUAUAAUAUAAUAAUAAUAAAUACUAAUAAUAAUACAGUAAUAAUAACAAUUUAACAGUAUAUAAAAAAAUUAAAAAUAACAAAUUAAGGAUUAAAUAGAAUUUAAAGGCUAAAUUUGAAAAUUGAAAACGUGAAAAAGAGCAAAUUAAAACGCGCAUAACAGGAGGAGGAUCUAAGAAGAAAUUUACCCAAACCUCCUGAAACGCUGCGCAGCAUUGGAUUAAAUUGUAGCAAAAGUAAUGUUUCAGGGAAAAAUUUAAAAAUAGCAGAACAGUAAUUUUGAAAUGAUGAAAACAUGAAGGGACUAAAUAAUAAAUAACCCAUCAAUACUUAAAACACGCGGAUCUGAUCAGGUUUUGGGUCGGGUCACGCUGGCAUUCGGGUUAUACCAAUACGCUGCCGUUUUGGGCCCUAUAAAAUCCCAUUUUAAAAACCCUAAAAUCGUUUUCCUUCUGCCCUUUGAAGUUGUGUCGUAGCCUCCCCUCCUCUCAGCCAUUCAAGCCCCAUUUCCGACCAUCAACGGCGAUGUGAGGGCACUCCGACGACAGCCCAACGAUAAGUCCUCUUUCCCUUACCCCUUUUGUUUAUUUUGUCUUUUAUAAAAUACCAGAAUGAAGGGAAAAAAACAAAUAGUAAAAUAAAAAUAGCAAAAAUAAACCCAAAGAACAAACCUUCAAAAUUGUUUUUGUUAUUUCUUGUUCCUGUCUUUUUUAAUCUCUGAUUGUGUGUGUAGUCUCUUUUACAAAAUAUAUUUGGCCUUUAUAUCCAAAUCCUUACAGGAAAAACCAAAAUAAACUUUUACAAUUUUUUCCUUUUCUUUUCGGUCCCUCUCACUGUUAAUGGUUUAUUGCAGGCGAGGAGAACGUGGAAACGAGUGUUGUGCUGGGUUGCUGAACGUGCGAGCAACGACGUUGGUAGUGGGACGAUUGCUGCGGCGCUCUGCUUAGGGUUUCUGUUACCUUAGGCCAAUUGGGCCUUGUAAUUGGGUCAAGAUUGACCCAAGUUUUAAUGGGUUUGGUUGUAUUUAAUUUGGGCCCCGAGCAACAAUUGGGUAUUACAGGUAUUUAUAUAUAUUAUAUGUGAAAUUAUUAUAUUAUUAUAUUAUAUUAAUAAAAAUAUCUAUAUUAGUUAAAUGUUAAAAUAAUAAAAAGUAAAUAAUAAAAGGAAAUAAAAACAAAAGAAAAGAAAAAAGAGAGAAGGAAGAAACAGAGGCAUUCGAAACAGAGCAGGAAAAAGAAAGAAAGAAAAGAAAAAGGAAAAAUUCAAGGUUUAAGGUUUAAAGCUUUGAUUGGUAAGUCAAUUGAGCCUUUUUUAUUUAGUUUUGAUGAUUUAGAAGCUUUAAAACAAAGUUUUGAUGAAAUUAAGUUGAUAUUUUGUAAGUUCAUAGGUUUUUAAGCACGGUUCAUGUUGAAUAAAUUGUUAAAUUAGGGAUUUAAUUGAAUGAAUUUUAAGUUAGAAUUGAUAAAAGAAUUAAAUUGUAAAAGAAACUAUAAGUUUUAUGUUUUAGGGACUACAUUGAGGGAAAUUAGAAAUUAGGAAAAGAUGCUGAAAUUUUAAUAGUUACAUUUGAGUUUGGAUGAAAUUUGAAUAGAAAUAGAGUGUGAAUUGAAUUAGGAAAGUAAGUGAACUUAGUUAGGAUUAAAUUGAGAAUAAGGAAGAAAUUGAAUAGAAAUUCAAUUAUUUAUCAUAAUUAGUGCUGAAAUUAAUAGUAUAAAUUAUUAUUAUUAUUUUCGUAGCUAGCAAAGAACCAGAAGCACCGGCACAGAAGGGAAAAGAGAAGAUUUUCGAGAAGUAAACUCGAGAAAAUUGCAGUUUGUAUUACUAUAAUUCAAGUUAUUUAUUAUUAAAUGUUAAAUUUUAAUUUAUGUGUUUGGUAAAUGAAAUGUGAGGUAAGUAUUAGUAUUAUUAUUGUCAUUAUUAUUAUUAUUAUUAUUAUUAUUAUUAUUAUUAUUAUUAAGAUGAGUGAGAAUUAAAUUGAAUAGUUGAUAUGAAUUAAUAUUUGAAUUGUUUGUUGAUUGAAAGUGGGAAGUGAAUUUGAAUCGAAUUGUGAUUGAUAUUAAAUUGAAUGGAAAUGUAUUGAGUUGUGAAAAUGUGUGAAUUUGUGGAUUAAUUAUUGAUUGAAAGGUGGAAAAAUGAUUGAAUUGAAAAUGUGAGAAAUUGUGAUUGAAUUGGGGUUAUAUGUGAUUUAAAUGCCCUAUUAACUAGUUGGGCUGAGUCAGAUAUAGUUGGCAUACCAUAGGAUUGGAAGAGUUCACGGAUGCUUCGACCUCGAGUCGAUGAGACACUGGGUGUCACUAUAUUUCUUCGGAUAGAUUCGAUGAGGUACUGGGUAACAACUUUCUUCGGCUUUGCCGAUGAGACACUGGGUGUCAACUAUUGCUUCGAACUAUCCGAUGAGGCACUGGGUGCCAAUCUGGUGUGUUUGGUUGGAUCCGUGUAUCUGACAAAGUCCGAGUUUUGUUAAUAGGGGUAAAUAAUGAAAUGAUAAACCGAAUGAGUUUGGUUAAUCGAGCUACUGAAAUGAGAUGAAAAAGUUGAAUUGUGAAUUGAAAUGUGAUACGAGAUUGAAGAAUGAACCUAAGGUUCAUGAUGUGUUCAAAGCUCAAAUUGUGGAUACAUGAUAUUAAUUGAUAAUUUUUUAUUGUUGUAUUAUGAAAUUUGAGUUUAAACUUGUAUGUAUGAUUUGUGCAUGAUAUGUUUGAUGAUUAUGUUUUAUUUUUAUUAUUAUAAUUUGAAUUAUGGUAAUACCACUGAGUUCGGAUACUCAGCGUAUGGUUGUUUCCGUGUGCAGGUCGAUAGAAGUCGAAGGUUUUCUGAUUUUCGCUCCUUUUGCUUCCAAAUGCUCUUCAAAGUAUAGAAACAUGAAUUUAAAGUAUUAGGAGCAAAAAAUUCACCGUUAACACAUUUUCUCUGUAUAUUUAGCAUAUAUUCGAACUUUGAAUUUCUGCUUUGCAGUUUAUAUAGGUUCAAAAAUAUGAACCCAUGUUUUCAAAGGUCUAAUUUUUCCAUGAACUGCCAGAAAUGAAAAGAAAAAAAAUAUUUAAAAAAAUGAAAGAAAAUAAAAAUGAAAAUAUAGUUUAAUGAGACUUACAUAAAUGUCGGGAUUGAGAAAAUGAUUGUCUAAAAAGAAGCAGAAAUUUGGCUGUCCAAGCCAUCUUAUUCAGUUCACCGAUGCAAGUUUCUCCGCUUAGCCGUCGCUGCUCUGAAAAUGACGAAGGCCUAACUAGUUUAACAACAGUACCAGUACGAUGUCAUAAGAAUGUAUCCUACGUGGCAUUCGUGUCAUCUAGCUAAGUCAAACUACGAAGCUACGGUUGGACUUCGAUUUCGGUUGGGUUUGGUUUCUUAGCUGGAGUUCUAUUUAAACUUGGGUUUUGUUUUCGGUUAAAUUACCCUAUUAGUUACUAAAUUAUAUGUUGCUUUUGUUUUGUUCACUUAACUAAAAAAAAAGUUAAAAUUUUGUUAUUGAAGUAUUCGAAUACUUUCAUUUAAGUCACUAAAACAAGAUCUUUUUAAAUAAGAAAUAAAUAUUUUUUAUACAGAAAUUUUAUAUAUAAAAAAUAAAAUACUUCAAUUUAAAAGGACAUUUUGUUUAAUCACUUUAAUAGCUUUUGGAGUGAUGAAAAGUCUAAUUUCACUUUGCACCAAAAAUGAUUUUUUUGUUAAUUUUCUUACCGAGCUGGGACUCAAUUGAUGGUUGACGACAACUAAAUAAAAGGCUUUAACACAGUAUAGAUAAAAAAAGUUUUAAACUAAAAUUUUUAAAAGAAUUUAGGGCAAACUACACCAGUCAUUCAACUAUAGGUAAGUUUACGUUUUAAUCACUUAACUAAAAAAAUUACAAUUUGAUUACUAAUGCUUUCGAAAUUAUUUUUCUUUUUUGUCACCCAAUUGUUAAGUCAUACUUGUUUUAGUUGGUAUAAUAAUAAUUUUAGUCCUCGGUUUUUAUAUUUUCUGUCUAUUUGACUCUGAUUUUGUAUAAAAAUAUAAAAAAAAUCACAAUUAUUUAUAAAAUAGAAAAAUGUGUAUAAAAAUUCUAGAAAAAUAAAAUCUUGAAUAUAUUGUUUCAUAACUAAAUUGUAUGAGAAAUAAAGAAAAUCAUCAUUCAAUAACAUCCGAUAACAAAUGAAAAUCAAAACAAAACAAAAAAAAAGUUAGAUUAUUAUAUGUUUCUUAUAUUUCUCGAAACCAAAUUAGUAGUAUUAUCAAACACAUUAAGAAUGAGAUUAAAAUAUGUUACUUUUAUAGCUUAUCAUACCCCUAAACCACAACUAAAAAGUUUAAUCUGAUAUGGUGGCAUCCACCAUUAGUAAUUGACUCUCAAUUUUGGUUCUUUUUGUCUUGUUUUCUCUUUGCACUCGUUGUUUUAGAUCAUCAGAGUCUUCAUGGUGGACCCUAGAGCUUAAAGGAGGCUAAAGAUGGUGGAAUCCAAGGUAGUGUGAAACAACAUGGUCUUGACUAGAGGUGUCUAUGGGCCGGGCCCAAAAAAAAAUUUCAACUCGCUUCCUAGGCCCGGGCCCGGCCCAGCCCGAAAUAUGGGCCUGAGAUUUUGUCCAAGCCCGGCCCGGGGAAAAAUAUGGAACCUGAGCCCGGCCCGGCCCGGCCCGUCCCAUGGACACCUCUAGUCUUGACCUACAACACUAAAAUUGCUUUAGCUUAAAUGAAAAUGAAAAUAUUUUGUAUGCAUGAUAUCUCUAGUUUAAAUCUUAUUAUCAACAAAUUUUUAUUGAUUUAUGAAAAGAUGAAAAUACCUUUGUAAUUAUAUAUCUUACUUUACAAAUAAAAUGUUUUUUUUAGUAAUUUUCUUACUGCGUUCGGACUAAUUGAUGGUUGACACUAUGGCAGUAAAAGGCCUAAUACAUAAUAUAGAUUAAAAAAAAAGUUUUAAACUAAAAUUUUUCAAACAAUUUAAUGUAAAUUAAACCAUUAGUCAUUCAACCAUGAGUAAGUUUUCGUCUUGAUCAUUUAACUAAAAGAAGUUACAAUUUAGUCACUAAUAUUUUUGAAAUUGUUUUUUUAUCACCUAACUGUUAAGUGGCACUUGUUUUAAUUGGUAUAAUAAUAAUUUUAGUCCUUUUUUAUAUUUUCUAUCAAUUUGACUCUAAUUUUGUAUAAAAUUAUAAAAAAAACUCAAAAUUUUAAAAAUAGAAAAAUGUUUAUAAAAAUUCUAAAAAAAAUCUUGAAUAUGUUGUUUCAUAACUAAAUUGUAUGAGAAAUAAAGCAAAUUACUAUUCAAUAAAAUCUGAUAACAAAUUAAAAACAGAACAAAACCAAAAAAAAUCUUCCUCAACGUUUCUCGAAACAAAAAAAAAAUAAUAUUAUUAAGUUGAGUUUCAUGCCAUUGAAGAACAUCUAGAACUCAUAUUACUAAGGCUUAUGAAAUCGACCCUAAUGCCAUUUUUUUAGUCAAAAGAAUACAAUAUAUAUAACAAAAUUUCCUUUUUCAAACUUAAUUCAAUUUUUCAUUACAUUUAAAUUAUGUUUCAAAACUCAAAUUAUAAAAAUAAAUUAUAUUUAGAAAAAAAAUUAUAACAUAAAAGCUAUGUCAAGAAACAGAGAACAAAUAAUUUUACUUAAUGUUUUUCUAUUUUUUACUAAAGAAUGUGUAUUGGAUAUUUCGAUAUAGAUAAUAUAGAGAAAAUUUGUACGGCUUAAAAACAAUUAUCUCUCAUUUUCACUCACUUUAUUUAUUUUUGAAAUUUGUAUCUACUUUUAUUUAAUUUUUAUUUUAUAAUGUUCUAAAAUUUUAAAAAUAAUUUUAAUUUUUUACCAUUUUAUAUAUUAUCAAGAUCAAAUUGACUGAAAGUAUAAAAUUUGAGGAUUAAAAUUGUUAUUAUAUCAAUUAAAAAAGUGUCACUUAACAUUUGAGUGACAAAAAAAAACAAUUUUAAAAACAUUAGUGAUGAAAUUGUAACUUUUUUAAUUAAGUGACCAAAACAAAAAUAGCCAUAGUUUAGUGACUAAUAGUGUAACCUUUUUUUGGUAAAAUGAAAAUUUGACCCUGAUUUUGUAUAAAAAAAAUUAAAAUUAUUUAUAAAAUAAAAAAAUGUAUAUUAUUCAACAUAGGGAUUUUUUACCGAAAUCAUAUAAAAAUAAUUAAUUAUAAAAAUGGUAUAGAAAAUAAAUUAAUUACAAAAAUAAGGCAUUUGGUACAAUGUUCUGUUGGUGUCGCCAGACAUAUUGGUAGCACCAGAUUAAAAUGUGAUGACAAAAAAUAUUCAAGGACUUAAUAUGGAAAUUUCUCAUUUUGAUUGGUUGUUGAAAAUAAGAUAUAAGAGUGUUGUGUGACAUUGUAAGCGGCACAAAAUCUUAAAUAGGGUUAAUUUCUUUGUAAACCGUUAUUAUUUAUUAUUUUGUUUUUAUUCUCCUUCAACACCAAAAUCAGAAAGGCUUCUUACGAAUUAAUUCAAGUCAAAUAAUGUCUAGCAUAACAGUUAAUACUAUUGACAGAAAUUUUUUUUGGCUCAUAUUAUAUCUAAGAAACUAUAGAUUUAACUAAUAAUUAUAAUUUAUAUAUAGUAAAUAUUUUUUAAAGUUUUUCUAAUUAUAAUUUUAUAUGUGCCCGUAAAUUAAAUUGAUAAUAAGAAUAUCUGUAAUGGCAGACAGCAAAGAAAAACCUAAAAGCAAAAGUAAUAAAAAUAGGAUUUCUUGCUAAUAAUUCUACCUUUGUGGAUCCUACCAGAGACUUCAUAAUUUGCCUGUUUUUAUCUUCACUUUCUUCUUAUUUCUUCUUCACUGCUUUUAAUUUGUUUCGAUGUCACAAAUUUUGAAGCAUCCAGUCAAGGUAAUUUUCUUUCAUUUGCUUUUGAUUAAUUCAUGACAUGCUUUUCUUUGCUUUUGAUUAUCUGCUACUGUUAUAGCAGCUAGCUUUGUACGAUAGUCAAGGAAGUCAACUUCAGUACUUCACUGCUUCAUUUUCAGUUCUAAUCUCUCAACACUUUUCAGCCACUAAGUCAGGUAAUAAGACCUGAAGCAAUGAUUUCCUCUACUGAUUACCAACAGUUUUAGAUUUUAAGAGUGGAUGACCAGCAGACAUAAUCCACUAUAGAUAGAAAUUAAUACAAAAACAGCUACCCAGAAGCAAUAUAAUGUUGAAAUCUCAAACUGUCAACAUUUUAACUCUUAAUAUUCUGUAUUGAACUCUUGCACACUUGAAUCUAGCAUUUUAUAUACAUCUAGAGCUUGAUUCUGGUGACCAGAAUUUCAUCAUGUUUCUGUCUGCCACCCAUCCAUAGCUCCAUCUAAUAGACGCCAUUGCUUGAAACUUGCAUUCAUGUUUUCCUUUUCGUGCUUACACUGACAUAUCAAUACUUCAUAAAAUAUCCAAUUCAUUCACAGAUUUUCAUUCUCUGCUACUGUUAUAUAUGAUUGCAUUGCAGGGACAUAGCAAUGGAGUACGUAGAGCCUGUUGUCGGCAUUGCAAAUUGUCUUGGAACUCCUGUUUGUAAAUAUUUGCAAUAUCACAGAAAGCUGAACGAUUAUGUGAGAAACUUCAAGAGGAUCAGAUAUGAAUUGAAUUGCAAAAUGGAAGAUAUAGAGCUGCAAUAGAAAGCAGAGCUUCUUCGUCCUCUGGGAAGAUAUCGAAGAAGGGAGUUGAAAUUUGGUUGAAAGCUGUGAAAGAGAUGAUUAGGGAAGCACAAGCUGUUGAAAACAAAGUCAGUAACGGGAGAUAUCUCUGUCGUGCUUGCAACGGGAAGCUGGUUGAUGAAAAGACUCGAGAAAUGAAGGAAUUUCUUGAUAACGCUCCUAAAGCCUCUGAACGUCUUGCCAUGGAUGGUCCAAGUGCUGGGUUGCCACUGGAAACAUCAGAACUAGUUGGAGAGGAAGCUGUCAGAAAAGAGAUUUGGGCAUGUUUGAUGCAGGAGGAGGUAAGCAAGAUUGGGGCUUGGGGGAUGGGCGGCGUGGGUAAAUCGACCAUAAUGAAGCACAUCCACAAUGAUCUUUUGAAAGAACAACGAUUUGAAAGGGUGGUUUGGGUUGCUAUAUCAAAGGAGUUCAAUAUUGUGAAGUUACAAAAUGAUAUUGCAAGUGCAUUGAAUGGAAAGAUGCCCGAAGAAGCAAACAAGGUCAGACGAGCAGCAAUCUUGUCCGAAAAGCUGAAGAGAGCAGGAAAACAUGUUCUAAUCCUAGAUGAUGUGUGGAGUGAAGUCUCGUUGGAAGAAAUUGGGAUCCCUAAGCCAAGUAGCAGCAAUGGGUACAAGUUGGUGUUGACAACCCGUGUGGAGCAAGUUUGUAAGUCUAUGGGCUGUAAGGUGAUAAAAGUGAAGCCCCUUUCAAAAGAAGAGGCAUUGAUACUAUUCUUGAGUGAAGUUGGACCUAACAUAGUGCAAAAUCAAACUUUAAUGCCAACUUUGAAGCUUGUUGUCAAGGAAUGUGCAGGUCUGCCUCUUACAAAUUGUUGUCAUAGCUGGUACAUUGAGAGGAGAAGAUGACCCUCUUAUUUGGAAAAACACACUCAGGGAAUUGAAAGAGAGAAUAGGGAAAGUGAAAGAAGGGGAAGAUAAAGUGAUCGAGAGUUUGAAAGUUAGCUUCAAUCACUUAAAAGACGAGAAAAUGAAGCAUUGUUUCAUACAUUGCGCAUUAUAUCCUGAAGAUUUUCAAAUUGGGAAGGAUGGGCUAAUUGAGUGCUGGAUUGAAGAGGGAUUCAUAGAUGAUAUGAGUACAAGACAAGAAAUGAAAGAUAAGGGCCAUGUUAUUUUGAAGAAAUUAGAAGAUAAUUGCUUGCUGGAAAAUGUCUCGAGUGAAACAGUAAAAAUGCAUGAUGCAGUGAGAGACAUGGCAUUGUCGAUCACAAGAAUGAAUCCUCGAUAUAUGAUACAAGCAGGUUCGCAAUUAGAAGAGUUACCAGAAAAGGAGCAAUGGAGUCCGGAUAUUGAGAAAGUGUCACUUAUGUAUAACUCCAUAUCAGAAAUUUCCAUAGAUGUGUUGCCCACAAAAUGUCAACUGCUCACAACCUUGUUAUUGCAGCAUAACCCUAUAAAGAAGAUCCCAUAUUCUUUCUUCACAAACAUGCCCUGUCUUAGUGUUCUCAAUUUGUCCUCUACGAAGAUCAAAAGUUUACCAAAUUCCAUCUCUGAACUAAAGAACCUCACAACAUUGUUGCUUUGUUGCUGUGUAGAAUUAAGAGAUCUGCCAUGUCUUUCGAUGCUUCAAGAAUUGAAUAAGUUGGAUCUUUAUGGGACUAACAUUGAGGAAGUCCCUGAAGGAAUGGAUAUGCUGAUAAAGCUAAGCUAUCUUGAUCUUACAGUGUUCACUCUGAAAGAGAUACCCGCUGGACUUUUACCAAAACUCGUUCACCUUCAGCACUUGAGUUUUGCUGGGAACAAUGAAAAAACAAGUCUAAAAGCAGAGGAGAUGGAACCAUUGAAGAAGUUGGAGCGCUUUACUGGGUGUUUCGAAGACACAAGUGAAUUCAAUAAGUUCAUCUCUUCAAUGCAACAAAGUAAGAAAAGUCUCAUCAAGUACCAUUUACGGGUGGGCUCAUAUUUUAUUCCUAUGUGGAGGACUCCUAAAAGAGAUAAAACAAUAGUAAUUGGAGGAGUGGACAAUUGGGAAGGUGAGUUAAUUAUGCACCCAAUUGAAAUUCAAGAGUUGCAUAUUAUUGAGUGCGACUAUGUGAGAAGCCUAGUCGAUGACAAUUCUUCCUUCAAAAAUGCGAUUGACUUGAGGGUUUGUAGGAUUUGGGGGUGUGAAGGGAUAGAGUGUGUUGUUUCCCUGUCCUUUUUUGCCUCUUCUUCCGCUCAUCCAUUUCAGAGCCUCGAGAUGUUGGAUCUUGAACAUCUGCCAAAGUUUAGUGCCCUUAUUAUGAAUGAUACAGGAAUUGGUUCAGCAACAUCAACAGUGGCUCCGUCUGCCAGCUUUUCCCAUCUUAAGGAAAUUAAGAUAAUGAACUGCUCAAGUAUGAAGACGUUGCUUCCACAUUGGUUGCUUCCAAACCUCCAAAACCUGGAAGAAAUUUGGGUGUCACACUGUGAUGAGUUAGAAGAAAUAUUGGGAGCAGCAACAUCAGAAGUUGAAGAAAAAGGGAGUGAUGCAUUAAUCAAAUUCCAUCAUCCCAAAUUGAGAAAGUUGGACUUGUGGGUAUUACCAAAUUUGAAGAGCAUUUGCAGCAAAAGUGGAGUGAUGGUUUGCGAUUCUCUCCAACUUAUCCAAGUUCUAGACUAUUAUAAACUGAAGAGAAUUUCUCUAUUUGUUCCCCUUGUUGGCAAUGGGCAGCCAUUUGCAUAUGCUCCACCUUCUCUUAUCAUCAGGUCAAUCACAGAAUGGUGGGAAUCGUUGGAGUGGGAUGACCAUCCAAACUUUAAAAAUGUUCUUCAACCCCUUUGGAAGGAUAAGAGGUGUGAACUAUUUAUGGUUUAGUUUAUUUUUUUAGUUUGAUAAAUCUAAUUUCUCCAACUCGAAUUUACUUUAAAUUAUAGAACUUGUAGUAAAAUUAUAUUUUAGUUUAUAAAAUAGGGUAUGUAAUCAAUAAAUUAUUUUUAUGCUAUCAGUCAUUACUAUUAUAUCAUAUUUACAUACAGUUAUCUAUUUUAUAUAUUUGAAUUUGAUGACCCAAAUAUUAAAAUUAUAUAUUUAGACAUCAAUACUAAUGAUUAGCCACCCAAUAGUUACUAAGAUGACAUGGCAUUGCUAAUCACUUGUCAAUAACUUGUGAAAUUGCCAUGUCAUCUUAUACGUUACAUAGCAUUUUAUUAUUUUUAAAUUAAAAAAAAGAUAAACUAUAAUUUUAACCAUUAAUUUUUCAAGAAGUUAUAUUUUAGUUAUCAAACUUUGAAAUUCAAAUUUUAGCUUAGCAGUUUUUUAGGUUUCUCAACUUUUCAUAUUCAAGUACCUUUGAGGCCCUCGGUGAACCAUUCAAUGGUUCUUCUUGGAGGUAAAACAUAUCUCCAAAAAUUGAUAGUUGGGUCUUUCCGUUAACCGUUCUACGACUUUCCACGAAUGUGAGACAUAUCUCUAAAAAUUAAUAGUCGAGGCCCUUCAUGAACCAUCCAGCGGCUCUCCAUAAAGGUGAUGCAUAACACCAAAAAUCGACAAUCAAGCCUCCCAUAAACUGUUUAGUCACUCUCCAUGAAGAUGAGGCAUAUCUCCAAAAAACGACAGUGAGAUGUAUAUAUCUCUAAAAAUAUAACUCUAGACCGUUCAAUCAACAAUUAUACAACUCGUGAUAAUAUGCAUUAUAAAUUCCUCGAUUUUUGGGCUAAUAGAUACACUACUCACCAAAUCACAAAGUGAAAUUUAUACAAGUCAGCUACGAAUAAAAACACUAUCGCUAACACAUUGUUAAAAUAGAUAAAAGGCAUGAAUUUCAAUAAUCUCAUAAGUCAUUGUACAUUCUCAAGUCAAUGACUACCAUCCAUCAAACUACAAAGUGAAUUUCAUAUAAGCCAGACGAAAGCACUAUCCAUCAAUAUACCAAUAAAAAAAAUUAAGUCAAGACUUGGAUUCAGUUCAGUAGUGCAAUCCACGGUGUGAUUCAUAAAGGUAUUUAUCCACAGUAAAGGCACCCUUCCAGCAAUGGUUCAUUUUCAUUUCACUAAAGAUCAUUUAUCGAAUGGUAGCUCGCUUUAUUACAAUUCUAAAUAUUUGUAAAUUACCACAAUUUUUAUAAGAAAAAAAAAAGCAAAUAGUUCUCGUCCAGGACGCAUGUAAGAUCAUUUAUCGAACGGUAGCUCGCUUUAUUAUAUUAGCAUAGUCUUAAAUAGUUUCUAUUGCCUCCGAAAUUAGUUUGAUUUCAAACGAUUGCUUUACCUUCAACGUUAGCAUAAUUUAAAUGCUAAUGAACAAUUACAAUACGCCAACACAAUUCUAAAUAUUUGUAAAUUAUCACAAUUUUUAUAUGAAAAAUACAAGCAAAUUGACCUCGUCCACAACACAUGUAAGAUCUGAUUUUACCUCAGAUUUUUGAAAAACAGAGAAUGAUUUAAACUAAAUGAAAAAAAAAACCUGGAGAUAAUGAUUUUUUGUAUUUAAGAUGAGAGGAAGUAAUUAGCCGAUAACUUAAAAACACUAAUAGUUAAUUAAGAAUUUAGGUAUAGGUAUAGGUAGUUGACUGUUAGGAUUUGUUAAAUUAAUGUUCUCUUACAUCUGUUUCUUUUUGGAUUAAAUCCUGAACUGCAUAAAGCAAAAACGUGAGACAAAUUAAUGUUAGCUUGUGCUCCUUCAACUUUUUCGACUUCCAUCUUACUCUGAUUUCAACAUUUCAUUACCACUCUCCAUUAUUUAUAUCUCCUUCUCCUGCAAUGGAAGCUGCAGGUUUCAGAGCUGCCAUAAAUAAGGAUUUCAUAGCUCAAGAACUAGACAAUGACAGGGAAGAUGACCAAGAAGAAGAAGGGGUUGCUAUGAGAAGGUAGGGUUCAGUGAUGGCUUGUCACAGCUUAUGCUACCAAUCUUAAGAACCAAAACAUCAACUUACUAUACUAUGAUGAAGGAUUUUAUAAAAACGUCAGGUAUCAGAAUUAAAAUUCAAUUAUCCAAGGGAACCUAAGGGAUAACAUCUGAAGGAAAUUCAGAUUGUUCAAGAACAAAUUUGAAAUUUAAUGGCAGAUUAGGUAUCCAAUCAGCUGAACCGCUAAAGCGAUUGAAAGCUUGGUAGAAUAUUAUGUUCCAAUGCUACAAAUUCAACUUUAGUUUCCUUCAUUAUAGUUUUCCUAUGUAUAGAAAGCUUAGGAUACCACACAAAAUAUGCAUAACAUUCUAUCCAACAUAAGAAAGGUACAAAAAAGAGUUCGUUAUCAUACGGAAACAGGUGAAGUUGCCACACUUACAGAUCACUAAAAUUUUACAACAAUGAUGGAAAUGUCAUCCUUGCUCUUUCUCUUUACAGCUUCCUCAGUUAGGUGCUUUGCAGCAGAUCGAGCAUCCUUAAUGCCUUUGAUAGCAUCGACAGCUUCUUGGUUUGACAUUACCUGGAAUUUAAGGAACGGACCAUUAAAUCUCAGGUUAAUGUGAUUGGAUAGGGCUUACCUUCCAUAAACCAUCACUAGCCAAUAUUAUGAGGUCAGUAUCAUCGUCGAUUGUUUCAAUGCUCACAUCUGGCUCCGAAGUAAGAUGUUUCCUUAAACUCUUGUCACCAAAUGCUCUCGCCACCACAAGCUGGCCGUCAACACGUGCGACAUCCCCUGAAACAAAAACAAUAUAUAUCAGGAAAAGCUGGUGUAACCUUGAGCGUCAUCCCCAAAAGAUCAGGCACCCAUUACCUGGAAAGUUCGAAACAAAACCACCUCUAUUUUCAAUGCUCUCCUUUCAGAAGCGGGCUCAUGAUCAACUGAAAGCUGCUUAGGCACACCGUUCUUAGAAAUCACAGCCCGGGAAUCGCCAACAUUUGCUAUUACCAGCUUCUGGCAGUUGAUCAAUAUUGCUGUCACUGCCCCAAAUCAAUGGCUUGUUCCAAUAUAUUUGUAUCCGUUAAACGAUACGCUUUCCUAAUCGCAUUCUCUGGUUCCGACCAAAAGUCGGGCUGCUCGCAUAAAAAGAAACAGAGGCGCUUAGUUAAAACUACAAGCAAAACACAGUCAAUGCAUAGGAAAAAGAUACCGUAAGAUCCAGCUUAUUAUAGUUUACCUCAUUCAAGAUAUAGUUAAACAAGUUCGCCUUCAAAUAACCGGGAAUUACAUGGCUCAAAUGGCCAUCGAAUAUGGCAAAUAAACCGAGCUCACUGCCAUUGACUUGCUUAAACUCCGGGAAAACAUAGUCCCCCAUUGGAUGAUUCGCUUUCCCCUUCACUAAAUGAUAACCAUGCGUUAUAUUCUUCGACAUCUUACUCUUCCCUUUUCCAGAUUCAGCAUUAUUAGAAGGGUUUAAGCCAACUUUUUCUUGAACUUUCUCCUGCAGUGAAUCAAUAUAAACAGCUCAAUAAGCAGUAAAUUUACACGUUUCCUAGAAAUCGCCAUUGAUGAAGAAAAACAUGCCAUCACCCGUAAAGCAUUGUGGUGGAAAUGGGUUAAUUCCUUUCCAAAAUGCAGUUAAUUGAUUCAAAACUUUUUAACAAUUUCAUUUUCUUGGGAAAUUAUUGAGGUCAAAUCAUCCAAAAACAUCCAAUUCUUCCCACAAACUAGUUCUUGGAAACAAUUUACUCCAAUUUCCAAAUUUCCAAGAAAAAACAAUCAUAAUCAAACCCCAUAUAUAAUAAAUCCAAAAUCAAUCACUUUAAGAUGCUGCAAAUGGGUGCAAAUGGGUUAUUUCAAAGAAAAAUCAUAACCCAUUUUUUCAGGAUUUUGCUUUGCUCAGUUGGAUUUAGUAAUUAUUACUUAAAACUACAAGAUUUUGGGUUUUACAAAUUAAGUAAUGGUUUUCAAAUUUUAGUACUCUAAAAUUUUCACUCCAAAAUAAAGUAAUCACUUAAAGUGUUUUUUUAUAACAAAAUAAAUAGUUUUAAUGAUUGUUUUCUUAAAAAUUGAAAAGUGAUUUGUCAGAAUUAAUAUUAUCAAAACACACAAUUUCAAUUUUAUUUUUUAGGUUUUUAAACAAGUCAAUAUAAUUCUUCUAGAUUCAACCAUAAUAAACCAGGUUUGUGGCGUUACAAUUUUUUUCCUUAAUUUAUAAAUAUAUUAUCAAUUUUUCUUUGAUUUUAUAUAAAAAAUUAAAAUCAUUUAUAUAAUAGAAAAAUGUAUAUAAAAAUCUAGAAAAAUAAAAUCUUGAAUAUGUUGUUGAAGAACUAAAAUGUAUGAGCAAUAAAGAAAAGUAUCAUUCAAUAGAAUCCAAUAACAAAUUAGAAACAAAACAAAAUAAAGAAAGUUUAGUUUCAUGCUCUUGAAGAACAUCUAGGACUGGUAUUACAUAGUGCAAAAUCAAACUUUAAUGCCAAUUUUGAGGCUCGUUGUUGAAGAAUGUGCGGGUCUACCUCUUACAGUUGUCGUCAUAGCUGGUACAUUGAGAGGAGAAGAUGACCCUCUUAUUUGGAAAAAUACACUAAGGGAAUUGAAAGAGAGAAUAGGGAAAGUGCAAGAAGGGGAAGAUAAAGUGAUCGAGAGUUUGAAAGUUAGCUUCAAUCACUUAAAAGACGAGAAAAUGAAGCAUUGUUUCUUACAUUGCGCAUUAUAUCCCGAAGAUUUUGGAAUUGAAAAGCAUGGGCUAAUUUGUUGGAACAAUGGCAGCAGCAAACAUCAAAACAAAGUUGCAACUCAGUGUUUGCAAGACUGAAGCAAGAAGAAUCGAGGCAAAGCAAAGCAAAAAUUUGGUAAAAAAAAAUCAAAAUACUCAGCAAUGUUGUGACUGAACAUACAUCAUUUUUCAUUCAACUUGAAAUAUAUAAAAGAGUUACAUUGUACAUUGACAGUUACCUAAUGUAUUUAACUGCCCCAACUAAUACAAACCUAAUCACUAGCCAAAAAAAUAAUCAAACAUAGCUGACCAAUCAGCCAUUACAUCAAAAGAUCUUGUCACUAACUUAAGUUUAACUAGUAUUACAAACAAACUAAAGUUGAACUGAACCAAAUUACAUCAAAACAAAGCAGCAAAGUUGGUUGCUUCAUUCGGUUCAAAAACCAUUCGUGCGCACCAAGCAAAAUGAGCUGAGCUCGAUAGCUGCUGGUCUCGACAGUAGCAAGCUUUUGGCUCCAUGUUGCAUUGCAGUCCAGCUUUCAACACUCCUCCUUGGACUGUAUGCAACACAUUCCAAUUGCACUUCUCAAAGAUUCAAAUCGAGCAGCCCCUAAGGGCUUGGUCAUUAUGUUAGCCAAUUGUGCUCCUGAGCUGCAAUGCACAAGGCUGACUUCCUUUGCUUGUUCAGCCUCUCUAACAAAAUGCAAUUUGAUCUUAAAAUGCUUAGUCUUGCAAUGGAACACAGGGUUCUUGGCUAUUGCAACUGCAGACUGAUUGUCCACCCAGAUUUCAGUUGCUUCAUCUUGAGUUUCAUUAAGGUCAUAAAGCAGCUUUCUUAGCCAAAUGGCCUGAUUAACUGCUCCUGCUGCAGCAAUGUACUCUACUUCAGCUGUGGACUGAGCAACAGUUUGUUGCUUCUUAGAACUCCAGCAAAACAUGCCCGAUCCAAUUGUGAAGAAGUAUCCAGAGGUACUCUUCAUGUCAUCGAGAGAUCCUGCCCAGUCGCUGUCAGAGUAGCCUUCUAGUUUCAGUUGGUUCUGACUUUCAAACAUUACACCAAAACUAGCAGUGCCCUUGAUGUAUCUAAGGAUCCUCUUUGCUGCCUUCAAAUGUGCCUCAUUGCAACAAUGCAUAAAUCUCGAUAACAGGCUGACACCAAACAUGAUAUCUGGCCUGGUUGCUGUUAGAUACAACAGACAACCAACUAGGCUUCGAUAGUGCCUCUCAUCAACCCUCUGCUGAUCACCACUGCUAGUCAGCUUUUCUCCUUGAGCCACAGGUGUGCUGACUGCUUUACAGUUAUGCAUGCAAAAUUUGUCUAGGAUCUUCAAAGCAAAUGAGUGUUGGCUGAUGAAGAUACCUCGAUCAGAUUGGUGCACUUCCAUGCCAAGGAAGUAAGUCAUGAUCCCCAAAUCUGUCAUCUCAAACACUUGCUGCAUUUGGACCUUGAACUGAUCAAUGAGCUCGAUUUUGCUCCCUGUCACAAGCAAAUCAUCCACAUACAAGGAGACUAUCAGCAAGGUUUCAUGUUCUGACUUUUUAACAUAUAGAGUAGGCUCACUAAGACUCUUUACAAAUCCAAGUUUGGUCAGGUAGGCAUCAACUCUGUCAUACCAGGCCCUUGGUGCCUGUUUCAGGCCAUAGAGGGCCUUUCUCAACUUAUACACUUUGUCUUCAUGUCCAACAACUUCAAAACCUUCAAGUUGCUCGAUGAAGAUCUCCUCCUUGAGAAAACCAUUCAGGAAUGCUGAUUUGACAUCCAAUUGGUGAACUCUCCACUGCUUCUGAGCUGCUAAAGCAAACAGCAGCUUAAUUGUAUCCAGUCUUGCCACUGGAGCAAAAGUUUCUAGGUAGUCAACACCAUACUGCUGACUGUAGCCCUUCACCACAAGCCUGGCCUUGUGCUUGUUCAGUGAGCCAUCAGCAUUGUACUUGGCCCGAUACACCCAUUUAACUCCUAUGACCCUCUUGUGUUCUGGUCUGCUCACCAACUCCCAAGUCUGAUUUUUGUUGAUCAUUUCCAACUCAGCUUCCAUAGCUUUCAUCCAGCUUCUGUUUUUAGCAGCCUCUUCAAAGUCUGAGGGCUCAAUCACAGCAACAUUGCACCUCUGAUAAACAUCAACCAAAGUUCUGGUGCCCCUCACUGGUAUAUCAUCGACAGCAUCAUUACUUGGUCCUUCUUCUGCAGGUUCAGCAACCAAGUUUAACUGGUCCAAUUCAGACAAGUCAGCCACAACACCAUUCCAAUUCCACACCUUUUCCUCAUCAAACUUUACAUCCCUGCUGACUAAAACCUUCUUUGCUGUAGGAUCAUACACUCUAUAGCCCUUCUUGUUGCUGCUGUAGCCAACAAAGAUUCCUGGAGUUGCUCUGCUCUCAAGCUUGGUCCUUUUCUCUACUGGAAUAAGUGCAUAACAUACACAGCCAAACACUUUUAAGUGUGUUACCACAGGUUUGACUCCAUGCCAAGCCUCAAAAGGAGUCUUAUCCUUGACUGCUCUAGUUGGCAGUCUGUUGAGCAGAUACACUGAGGUGUUGACUGCCUCAGCCCAAAACUGACUUGGAAGCUUGCCUUGAAACAAGAGGCACCUGGCCAUGUUCAGUACAGUCCUAUUCUUUCUCUCACAGACUCCAUUCUGUUGAGGAGUAUAGACUGUUGUGAGCUGAUGGUGAAUCCCAGCACUGUCACAAAGCUUCUGAAAUCUCUCAGACACAUAUUCAGAUCCAUUAUCAGUCCUCAAGGCUCUAAUUUUGCAGCCUGACUGAUUUUCAGCAUAAGCCUUGAAUUUGCAGAAGGCUUCAAACACUUCUGACUUUUGCUUCAAGAAGUAGACCCAGCACAACCUUGUUAAAUCAUCUAUAAACAAGGCAAAGUACCUGUUCUCACUGAUUGAAGGUGUUCUCAUAGGGCCACAAACAUCAGAGUGCACCAAUUCGAGCUUGUCUUGAGCUCUCCAAGCACUGUCAGCAGGAAAAGGUAGUCUAGCCUGCUUACCAAGCUGACAAACCUCACAAACAUUCCCACUAGCUUCAAUUUUUGAAAUGUCAUCAACCAGAUUCAGCCUAUGUAACAGAUCGAUGGAUCUAAAAUUUGCAUGGCCUAGUCUCCUAUGCCACAAGUCAGUGCUUUCAACAAGGCUGGUGUAUGCCUUUCUUUCUAUUUGGCUAACAUCCAGCAUGAAGCACCUAUCAGUCAUAGAGACUGUGACUAACUCCAGACCAUUCAUGUCUUGAACAAUACAGCAACCAUCCUUAAAAACCAAUGUAUAGCCCUUUUCAACUAAUUGGCCUACACUAAGCAAAUUCUGGUCUAAGUCAGGUACAAAAAACACAUCUGAGAUCAGCUUGUACCUGAACCAGUGCUAAUCAACACACUGCCCUUGCCUUUAGCCUCAAUCAGCCUACCAUCUCCAAUUUUAAUCCUCGAGUGGAAGCUUCUGUCUAGGCUUUUGAACAGCUUCUCAUCUGCUGCCAUAUGGUGUGAGCAGCCACUGUCUAGUAGCCAAUCAUUGCUGGCCUUGGUUGUGCCAACAAAACAAGUUGCUGUGAACACUUGCUCCUCCUGAGCUUGAAUGUCCUCAGCAGGUCUAGCUUGUUGCAGAGUAGCCUCCCUUGGUUUGCCCUUGCACACCUUCUCCACAUGGCCAAACUGUUUGCAUUUUCUACACUGAAUAUCUGGCCUAAACCAGCAAUACUUUUCUGAAUGUGUUGUCUUCUUGCAAUGAACACAUGGUGGGAACACCCUUUUUGCUUCAUCUCUUCCUGACUUGACCCUUCUAUUGUGCCAAGGCUUCUUGCCUUUUGCACUCACACUCGAGCCUUCACUGGCUUUAGCCUGGAAAGCAGCUUCAGGAUUCUCCUCCUGCCUAUUUGCCCUCCUUUGCUCAAGUGCAUAUAGGGAAUUUAUCAGCUCAGACAAUGAAAUGGCUGAUAAGUCCCUCGAGUCCUCAAGUGAAGAGAUUUUAGACUCAAAUUUCUCAGGGAGAGUUGUAAUAACCUUUUCAACAACUCUGCUCUCUGUGAAGUCCACUCCCAGGAGCCUAAUGCUGUUGACAAUGGCCAUUAUCCUGUCUGAGUACUGCUUGAUGGUCUCAGACUCCUUCAUCCUCAAAUUUUCAAAGUCUCUCCUGAGGUUGAUUACUUGCUGUUGCCUUGUCUUAUCAGUCCCCAUGAACUCCUCCUUCAGCUUCUCCCAAGCCUGCUUAGGUGAGCCACAGGCCAUGAUGCGAGUAAAUAUCACAUCAGAGACUCCAUUUUGCAAGCAGGCCAUAGCCUUAUGCUUCUUGGCUCGCUCCUCAGUAUGUUGCCUCAUCUGUGCAAUGGUGGGAUAGGCUCUCAAUGGAGGUGGUUCAGCAUCAUUCUCGAUCACACUCCAAAGAUCAUGUGCCUGGAGAUAAGUCUUCAUUUUAACUAUCCAAAUGUGAUAGUUUUCUCCAGUGAACACUGGUGGAGGUGGUGGAGUGAAACUCAUUCUGCUAAACUGAUUUUAAAUGCUUCAAUCUUACCAAAUUUUGAACUUGUUGUUGGUUUUGAUUCGAACACAACAGAUUGCAUACAAAAGCCCCUUAAAGACUCGGGCUCAUGAUACCAUUUGUUGGAACAAUGGCAGCAGCAAACAUCAAAACAAAGUUGCAACUCAGUGUUUGCAAGACUGAAGCAAGAAGAAUCGAGGCCAAGCAAAGCAAAAAUUUGGUAAAAAAAAAAUCAAAAUACUCAGCAAUGUUGUGACUGAACAUACAUCAUUUUUCAUUCAACUUGAAAUAUAUAAAAGAGUUACAUUGUACAUUGACAGUUACCUAAUGUAUUUAACUGCCCCAACUAAUACAAACCUAAUCACUAGCCAAAAAAAUAAUCAAACAUAGCUGACCAAUCAGCCAUUACAUCAAAAGAUCUUGUCACUAACUUAAGUUUAACUAGUAUUACAAACAAACUAAAGUUGAACUGAACCAAAUUACAUCAAAACAAAGCAGCAAAGUUGGUUGCUUCAUUCGGUUCAAAAACCAUUUGUGCGCACCAAGCAAAAUGAGCUGAGCUCGAUAGCUGCUGGUCUCGACAGUAGCAAGCUUUUGGCUCCAUGUUGCAUUGCAGUCCAGCUUUCAACAUAAUUGAUAGCUGGAUUAAAGAGGGAUUCAUAGAUGACAUGAGUACAAGACAAGAAACGAAAGAUAAGGGCCAUCUUGAGUGUAACAGUGAAAAUUCAUGAUGCAGUGAGAGACAUGGCAUUGUCGAUAACAAGAAUGAAUCCUCGAUAUAUGAUACAAGUAGGUUCGCAAUUAGAAGAGUUACCAGAAAAGGAGCAAUGGAGUCCGGAUAUUGAGAAAGUGUCACUUAUGUAUAACUCCAUAUCAGAAAUUUCCAUAGAUGUGCUGCCCACAAAAUGUCAACUGCUCACAACCUUGUUAUUGCAGGAGAACCCUAUAAAGAAGAUCUCAAGUUCUUUCUUCACAAACAUGCCUUGUCUUAGUGUUCUCAAUUUGUCCUCUACGAAGAUCAAAAGUUUACCAAAUUCCAUCUCUGAACUAAAGAACCUCACAACAUUGUUGCUUUGUGGUUGUGAAGAAUUAAGAGAUCUGCCAUGUCUUUCGAUGCUUCAAGAAUUGAAGAAGUUGGACCUUUCUGGGACUAAAAUUGAGGAAGUCCCUGAAGGAAUGGAUAUGCUGAUAAAGCUAAGAUAUCUUGAUCUUAGAGUGCGCACUCUGAAAGAGAUACCCGCUGGAGUUUUACCAAAACUCGUUCACCUUCAGCACUAGGGUUUUCAUGAGAACAAUGAAAAAACAAGUCUAAAAGCAGAGGAGAUGGAACCAUUGAAGAAGUUGGAGUACUUAACCAGACAUUUCGAAGACAUCAGUGGAUUCAAUAAGUUCAUCUCCUCAAUGCAACAAAGUAAGAAAAAUCUCAUCAAGUACUUUUUACAGGUGGGCUCAUAUAAUGUGUGUAUUGGAAGGGAGAAAACAGUAACAAUUGGAGGAGUCCAGAAUUGGGAAGGUGAGUUAAUUAUGCACCCAAUUGAAAUUCGAGAUUUGACUAUUACAAGGUGCGACUAUUUCAGAAACUUAGUCGAUGAUGAUUCUUCCUUCAAAAAUGCGAUUGACUUGAGGGUUUGUAGGAUUUGGGGGUGUGAAGGGAUAGAGUGUGUUGUUUCCCUGUCCUCUUUUGCCUCUUCUUCCGCUCAUCUAUUUCAGAGCCUCGAGGUGUUGUAUCUUCGUGAUCUGCCAAAGCUGAGUGCCCUUAUUAUGAAUGAUGCAGGAAUUGGUUCAGGAACAACAUCAACAUUGGCUCCGUCUGCCACCUUUUCCCAUCUCAAGGAAAUUAUGAUAGUGAACUGCUCAAGUAUGAAGACGCUGCUUCCACAUUAGUUGCUUCCAAACCUCCAAAACCUGGAAGAAAUAGAUGUGGAUGCUUGUAGUCAGCUAGUAGAAAUAUUGGGAGCAGCAACAUCAGAAGUUGAAGAAAAAGGGAGUGAUGCAUUAAUCAAAUUCCAUCUUCCUAAACUGAGAGUGCUGUCAUUCUGGGAAUUACCAAAUUUGAAGAGCAUAUGCAGCAAAAGUGGAGUGAUGGUUUGUGAUUCUUUCCAACUUAUCCAAGUUGCUGGAGACUGUUAUAAACUGAAGAGAAUUCCUCCAUUUGUUCCUCUUGUUGGCAAUGGGCAGCCAUUUGCAUAUGCUCCACCUUCUCUUACCAUCUUCUCAAGCACAGCAUGGUGGGAAUCGUUGGAGUGGGAUGACCAUCCAAACUAUAAAAAUGUUCUUUGCUUCAACCCCCGUUGAGGAUAAGAGGUAUGAACCAUUUAUGGUUUAGUUUAUUUUUUUUUAUUUUGAUAAAUCUAAUUUCUCCAUAUUAAUAAAAUUUGAAGUAUAUUUGUGAAGAUGUUGAAGAGAAAGAUAAAAGGGUUGGUGGGAAAGAAGUAGGGGAGAGGAUAGUGCAAAAGAGAGGAGAAAAGGAAUAAUGGAAGGAAGAGGUUAAGAGCAUGGAGACUGAGAGGCAAAGGUAAAUAAGAAAUCAAACUGCCUCCACUUUUUAAGCAUUUUCCCUCUCUUGCCAUUCCUUCUAUUCUCUUAUAUAUUCUUCUCUAGUAUAUAAUAUAUAUACUUCCCAAAAUAACCUUCUAAAUAUUUAUUAUUAAAAUAUUUAUAUUAAUCAAAAUGACUUAAGGUGAGACAAAACUAUGAUCAUAGUUUUAUUUCCAAUAAAAGUUAGGAAAGUAUUGUAAAAAGACAUAAUAUUUUUUAAUUUCCAUGUAAAAUUUCUGGAAACAUUAAGAUUUAAAAAAUAAUAAUAUAGUUAGAAAUUAAUACCAAGAUAGCUACCCAGAAGCAAUAUAAUGUUGAAAUCCCAAACUGUUGAACAUUUUACCUCUUAAUAUUCUAUUGCACACUUGAAUCCAGCAUUUUCUAUACAUUGAGAGGUUAAUUCUGGAUAUACAAAUUUCAUCAUGUUUCUGUCUGCCACCCAUCCAUGGCUCCAUCUAAUAAACGCCAUUGCUUCAAACUUGCAUUCAUGCUUACACUGACAUAUCAAAAAGCCAAUACAUUCACAGAUUUUCAUUAUCUGCUACUAUUAUAUAUGAUUGCGUUGCAUGGACAUAGCAAUGGAGUACGUAGAGCCUGUUCUUGGCAUUGCAAAUUGUCUCGGAACCCCGGCUUAUAAAUACUUGCUGUAUCACAGAAAGCUCAAUGAUUAUGUGAGAAACUUCAAGAGGACGAGAGAUGAGUUGAAUUGCAAAAUGGAAGAUAUAGAGUUGCAAUUGAAAGCAGAGCUUCUUCGUCCUCUGGGGAAGAUACCGAAGAAGGGAGUUGAAAAUUGGUUGAAAGCUGUGAAAGAGAUGAUUAGGGAAGCACAAGUUGUUGAAAACAAAGUCGGUAACGGGAGAUAUCUCUGUCGUGCUUGCAACGGGAAGCUGGUUGAUGAAAAGACUCGAGAAAUGAAGGAAUUUCUUGAUAACGCUCCUAAUGCCUCUGAAGGUCUUACCAUGGAUGGUCCAAGUGCUGGGUUGCUACUGCCAACAUCAGAACUAGAUGGAGAAGAAGCUGUCAGAAAUGAGAUUUGGGCAUGUUUGAUGCAGGAGGAGGUGAGGAAGAUUGGGGUUUGGGGGAUGGGCAUAAAAAAUUAUUAAAAUAGAUCAUUGCUAAUUCUCUCUUUUCUUAAUCGGUAAGUUUCUCUCUUCAAAUCCUUUUAUUUCUUUAUUGAAUCCAUCGCAUAUCAUUUGCAAACCCAUUUCUGUACAGUUUGUUUGUUCAAUUUUUCUUUUUCCAGUUUUUUUCUUGAUUUAGAUGGAAGAUUCUUUUUGUAGCAUUUGAAGAGUUUCUAAAAAUUUUAGGGUUUUCCUAAAUCUAACUUUCUUGACACCACGUGCACGUAUAAAUUCCUUUCGUGGAGAUUAUUUAUCAUGUUUGUGUGUUUCGUCUUUUGAGGUUGAGCUAUUUUUAUUUUCAAAAAUAAAUAUUUAUUUUCUUUUGCAUUUAUUUCUAAGAUCACCAUAAAUUGUUUAGGGUUGUCGAUUUUGGGGAUUUUAUGGAUAAAUUUUUUUUCAUAUCAGAUGCUCCAACUUUGUGCUUAUGAGUGAUCUUCAAACCUAGGUUAAUGCUGCUCUGACGAAUGAAGAUACUUGCAUGGAUGGAUUCUUAAGCAGGGCUAUGAAUGGGUAUGCAAAGAUGAUGGUGAGGAAACGAAUUAUUAAGAUUACACAAUUGACGAGCAAUGUUUUGGCUCUCACCAAUGACUAUUCUUCAUCUCAGAUCCUUCAUUGAUUUUCUUGAGAAAAUUUUGAUGGCAAGGAAAGCAUUGUGUUUCAUGGAUUUAUGUUCAGUAUGGGAUUUUACGAUUUUCGAACAGGACUUAAGUUUUUAAGGUAUUGUAGAUUGUGUUCUCAAUUCUAUGUUUGUGGUUCUUGAGUUUUGCAAUUGUAUCAGUUUGAAUAUGAAAUUUGUGUUAGUGUAUGUUUAGGGUUUUUUUAUUGUUCUUUUAAUAAUUUUAAAACCAUUUACUAACGUGGUAAAUAAGAGAAAAUAAUGUUAUGUUAGUAUCUAAAUUUAUUUGGACCGUCAUGUCAGAGGUUAAUGUUGACCGUUAAACAACUAACGGUCACAUCAGCCUCUAUGUUAAAAACGAACCAAUUUGUUAGAAAUUUAAAUUUUACACUAUAAAAUUAAUUUUUAAAAUUAACUAUUCAAUUUGUAAUUGAUUUUAUUAAAUUAAAAUAUUCACUAAUGUUUAAAAAUAUUCUCCAUGUUAAUUAAAAAAAUAUUUAAGAAUUCAGUUAAAUGGUAAUCAAUUUAUAUUAAAAUAUCAGCUUUAUUAGUUGUAUUAUUUCAUUAAUGUUCUUAUAAUAUUAUUUCAUUUUUAUUUAUAGACACCAACUUUAAAAUUAGAAGAGAAUUAAUUUACGAGAAGACAUGAUUCAUACUGUAAAUGAUAAAUAAGAUAUUAUAAAUUAAUAUGAUUAAAAUUUAAAUAAUACACAAAGAGUAGCAAAAUAAAUUGAAAACAUUUGAUAUGGUCUAAAUGAACUAUUUAAUAAAAGGAUUAUAUAUUUUGAAAUGGUGAUUUGAGAGACAACUAUAUAAUAAAAGGAUUAUAUAUUUUGUCUUUUAUAAAUAAUUUGUGAUCAAAGAUGACUCACAUAUGUUUUCCAAAGUUGUGGUAAAUAUAUAUAUAUAUUCCUAUCAAGCAAGUUGACAGCUGAAGGGUGCAAAUUUGACUUUGCUAAAUUCUCUAGCAUCAAAGAGGCAAGAUAUGCUGCAAACAAGACAUAAACCAAUAUCAACAUGGUGAUUCCAAAAUUCAGAAGACACUAAACCCCUACUUUUGUAUGAUAGAUGAAAUAUGAUGUACAAAUUUACAGUCAUGGAAUUAGGUGCACUGAAGAUAAUUCAGUGUUAAAAUCAAAGAAAUUUAUCAUUAUUUUUGUUAAUUGUAAAAUUGUGCAUAAACUGGAAAAAAUGUUUCAUUGCCAUUACAAGAAUUUCUUUAAAGUUAAUAGUUUGAGAGAUAAUUUUAAGUAAGAAUUGGAAGGCAUUGUUAUAAAGAGAAUCUGAAGAAAGUAAUUUCGUUUUGAGUUUCAAGUGAAAGGAAUGAAAGAAAGGUUGCUUAAAUAAAUACGGGAUUGGAUAUCGAGCUGUUUUGAAUAGUUGGAGCGAAGGACACAUGGACCAUAUGGAAUUCAAGUCUACUAAAGUAAUGCUAAUCAGGUUCCUCUUUAGAAAUGACAACUUUUCAAAACAUUAUCAAUCUACCUUGAAAGGUGGCAUCAGUGAAAGAAUCAAUCAUGAAAUAUUAAAAUUAUACUAAAAUUACUACAAAGAUUUAUUUCCCUAUAAAUAAACAUUUUCUUAUUCUUCCUUAAAAAUUAUUAACAUGAUUUUAUCUUAAUAUACAUGUGUUUAUAUAUAUUUACGUCCCAAAAUAGCCUUCUAAAAUAUUUAUUUUAAAAAAUAAUUUAUAUAAUACAUAUAACAAUUAAUUAUAAACUUAUUUUGAUAUGAUGUCAAAAUUAAAUAUUAUAACGGUCCUUUACCACAUUCAACACUAACUUUUAUUUUAUAAUUUUUGUUUAAAAAAUAAACUUUAAAUUUUAUAUAUAUAUAAAAAAGCAUGCAUAGGCUUCAAAUUUUAAGUUAAAAAUAUGGGAUAAUAGUUUACUAUAGACCCAUCCAUGGGCCCUCGACCAGAGUCGGGUCUAUAUAGAUAAAGUUUUUUAUAAUUCGGGUCAGCCCAACUCAAAUUUAAUUUAAAUAAUAAAAAAUAUUUUAAAAUUUAAAUUUAAUUAUAAAAACAUACUUUUAUUUUUUUUGAACAUUGAAAUGAGCUUUUUAAGUAGAUCGAGUUGGGUCGAAAACGGGCCCCUUUUACAAAAAUCGAUUGGCUUCUUUAUAGCCGAAUCUUUACAACCCAAAUAAUAUUUUUUUCAAUUUUUUCUCUAUUUCCCCCCCUUUUUUGCUUGAUGUUCGUGGUUUACUUGUUGCAGGUACAUGGAAACAGCAUGGGGGUUGCUACGACGUGGGGCGUGCACGGCGCUGGGGGUUGCUGUGACGUGGGGUGUGCACGACGCUGGGAGAGAAGGGGUUUCUAGAAUUAGGCUAACUGGGCUAGGCUAGAUUUGAGUUUGGGUUAUUGGUUGGGUCAAUUUUAAGUGGGCUGAGGCGAUUUGGGUAUUACAAACGCCACUAAAAAUUAAAGUUCUAAUAAAAAACGGCGCCGUUUUAUUAAGCUUUAAUGCAUAGUUCUGGCGUUUUUUGUAAAAACGCCACUAAAAAUUGAUUUACUUAAGUCAAACGGUUACGUUUUAAAAAAAUAAUUCUAAUCUUUUUAAGUAAUAUUUAUAAGAAUUAUAUAAAAUUAUAAAUUUUAGGUUUUUUUUUGUUUUUUGUUUAUUUCAUUUCUUAUAAUUUGGUCAUAUAUUUCCUAAAUAAAUAGUUAUACAUAAAUAUAUAUCCAUCCAUAUAUAUAUCAAUACUUUUUUUAACUUAUUUAUUAAUUCUAUUUAAACUAAUAUUUAAAUAUAUCAAAUCGCUUAGAUUAAAUUUUUAUAUUAUAAUUUUAAAAAAUAAUUAAUCUAAACCCAAAACCCUGAUCCGACCCUUGAAUUCCUAAACCCUAAACUAUUAACCUUUAACCCCUAACCCCUAAACUUUAAAUCUCAAACCCUAAGUCCAUACCCCCUAAUCCUUAAAAUAGUAAGCCCAUCCAAAAAAUCCCUAAAUCUUUAAUAAUCAUAAAUUAGUUAAAAUCGAUUAAACAUUAAUUAAUAGUUAAAAAUUUUGUAUAAAGUAGCAAUAAACAAUAUUAUCUUUAUAAUAUUUAUUUUUUCAUAUAAAGUUUGAAAUUUAUAAUAUUUUAUUUUAUUGAUAAAUGAAUAAAUUUCUCUAAUUAAGUAAUUUAUUAUAUUCUUUGUCAAAUAGAUAAAUGAAAACAACAAGGAGUAACAAGUAUAUGGGAUUUUUUUUAUUGAAGUGAUAAAAAUAGGAAUGAUAGCGAGUCAGGUAUAUGCAUAUUUUUGAAUGAUUUCAAUUUAAAUUCACAAAUUUAUUUAAGUAUUUAAAUGUUAUUCAUGAAUAAUUUGAGUAUUACUAUUCAAAUUCAAAUUUAAAUUAAAUAAUAUUAUCCAUCGAAUAUUUCAAUCCUAAAAAAAACCUAAAUUUAAAUUUUUAAUUUUUUUGUGGAUAUUUUCAAGUCCACAAAAACCUGAAUUUGAAUAUGGUAAAAUUAUUUUAAUAUAUAUAAUCACAAUUGUAAGAAUUUAGUAACUACUAGAUUUAUAUAUUUGAAAUUACAUUUGUUAUCUGAAUAAGAAAUGCAGAUUUAAAUAAUGGAUAUUCAAGGUAUCUUAUACCCACAUCCACUUCGAAUUCAUAUAGCAUAUAGCAAUUUUAAAAUCUGAAUCUAACUAUUAUUCCAACCUAAAAAAAAAAGUCUUAGAUCAUCAAUCUGAAUUUUCAUCUUUAACUAAAAUAUUCUUUAUUCCAUUAACAUAUGUAAGUGUCCACCGAGCUUUGUUCUUUAUUGUAAUAUUUAUUGAUUUUUUUCUAUUUCUUCAAGGAUUAUUUUUUUAUCGUGCUUUUAAUGUGGUGUUUUAUUAAUUUUUUUAGAUUUUGUUGGUUAAUAAUUUUUAUUUAUGUUGAAAAAUAAUGAAAAAAUAGUUGAUAUAUAUUGUUCGGAACCAAGAUAACUUGGUUGAAGAAAUGAAAGUGGGAGUGAAAGUGCAUUAUGAAGAAGCGUACUAUCUUUUACAAAUUUAUUAUCUCUUUUACAAUUAUAUACACAAACCAAAUCAUAUACCGAAACUAAAAACCCUAAACAAAUUUAUUAUUAUCUUUUUUACAAUUGUACAACCCAAUUUUGCCCAAAACCGGGCCCAUUACAAAACUCAAACAGACCAGCCCAAACCCGAACAACCCAGCAAACUCGGAGCCCAAUAGCUCAGGCCCAACAUCCUAAAAAAGUUGCUUAGGGUUUCAAAAAGUCUGAAACCCUAGCGCCGCAUCUAGGGUCUUUGACCCCUAGAUUUCAGCCGCCGCCGCCAUCGCCUUGCACCGCCACUGUCCCAUCGUCCCACUUGCGCCGUCACCUGCAAGGAAGAAAACAAAGAAAGCCACAGCAACCAAAGAGAGAGAAAUAAUAGAAUAUAAAAUACAUGUAAUUUUUGGGCUAUAAAAAGCUAGUGAUUAUCAUUGUAAGGGGUUCGGAUUCCCCUCUUUUACAAAUAUUUUCAAAAAUCAAAAGCAAACAAAGCGAUUGAAGGUGAUUUUCGCCUUUCACUUCUCUGUUUUUCUUACACUUUUCAUAAAAAUAUCAUUAUUUUUCGAUUUAUUUCUUUAAAAAACAAAAAAGGAGUAAAAAAUACCUUUUAGCGCCGCGCCGGAGGAAGAGGAGACGGACGGUUACUCCUCGUUUUGUGGGGUUAGGCUCGCCUUUUACAAGAUUCGGUGUUGGAUCCGUGUUUAGGAGGCCUUCGGCAUCAAAAAGGAACCGAAAAGGUUCCAUUUUGUACCUCCGGCCACCGCCUGCGGUGAGGAUACGACGGAGGUACGCCGGAGCGUUUGAUCGGAUCCAAGCCGGAGCCUUGAGAGGAGGAGGGGAGCUCUGUUGUUUUUUUAAAGAUGGGGGGGUUGAAAUGAGUUUUUAGAAAAUUUUUGGGCAUAAAUAGCCCUUUUAAAACGACGCCGUUUUGCCCUUAGGGGUCAGGUGACAAAACAACGCCGUUUUGGCCUUGACCCGCGCGGUGACCCGACCCAGGGGGAGGAUCCGCGUGUUUUCUUUAAAGGGUAUAAUUGCGCGCGCAGUCCUUCGACUCUGCAGCGCGUUUCAAUCAAGCCCCUUUUCGCUAUUUUCUUUUAUUUUCAAUCUAGCCCUAUAAUUUUAUUUUUGUUUCAAUUUAGUCCAAUGCAACGCCGCGUUUUUAGAACUCCGUCUAUUUACUAUUUUGGUCCCUCUCUGUUUGGCGCGAGUUACAAUUUAAUCCUUAUUUGUUUUUUUAUUUCGAUUUCGCCCAGUACUUUCGUUUUUAUUUCGAUUAAGUCCAUAUUUAGCAAUUUUAUUAUUAUUAUUAUUAUUAUUGUUAUUAGUAUAUUUAUUAAUAUUAUUGUCAUUAUUGUUAUGUUUUUUUAUUUCUAUUUUCUUAUGAAAGUUUUAGAUAUAUAUGUUUUAUUAUAUUAUUUUUAUUAUAUAAUUGUUUAUAUAUAUGCGUAUAUAUAUAUCUUCUUUUUUUAACUUAUUUAAUACAAAUACUCAUUUUUAUAUACAUAUCUAUCUUACAAUCUAUAUAUAUGCAUGUAUUUUUAUUAUCUUAAUAUAUACGUACAUGUUUUAGGAUAUAUAUAUAUAUACAAGUGUACAUUUAUCCCUUUGUUAGUAUUCAUGUACAUAUUUAUGUAUUUAUAUAUUUCCCUAAUAUAUACUAUAUUUUAUAUAAUAUGUUAUGUAUGUCCUAUAUACGUUCUAAUUUUCAUAUAUAUAUGUUUAAUAAUCUUAUAUAUGCAUAUUUUUAAUUUUCACAAAUACAUGCUUACAUAUUCUUAUAUGCACAUACGUAUAUUUUUAUGCUUUAUAAUUCUAAUACACACACAUACACAUACACAUAUAUAUAUAUACUAUAAUGUUAUCCAUUACUAUUGUUUCAUUUGGUGUUAAUUAAUUUAUUUAUCUACAUGCUUAUUAUUAUUAUUUGCUUAGGUGCUUUAAUUUUUAUUUGUUCAUUUACUUUUAUUUAUUGAUUUCUUUUUAUUAUAUGUUUGCCAUCUUAUUUAUUUAUCAAAAAAAACGGAAAAUUCAAAAAUAAAAACAACACUCGGUAUUUGGGAUCUUCGAGAGAAUCGAGCCCUAACGUAUUGGGUUUUGAUUUUCUUUGUUGAAUCUAAAUAAUCGAGAUUACCUUUUUUAUAAAAAAGACAUAAACGAAAACUCUUUACCGAGAAUUCAAUACGUCGUGUCCUAAUGCAUUGGACAUGAUACAUCGAUUUCUCGAGACGAGGAUUUUUCAAAAUAAUUGCAAUAUUCAAUGUUUAAUAUUUGAAGAAAUUGUACCCUAACGUAUUGGGUUGCAAUUUUUUCAUAUGACUUAAACAAUUAAACACUCUUUUAAACUUUUCUAUGCGAGUUUAGACUUGCUCAUUUCUGAAAAGGUAAGAUAUCGUACCCUAACGUAUUGGGUAUGACAUUUUCUCUUUCUGAAACGAAAAAGUCUUAAUAAGCAGCUCGAUUUUUAUAAAUUUUAUUUCAAAAUAAGGAUUGUAUUUUUAAAUUUCUUUAAAGUUCUCAGUUUUUCGACAUUAAGACAUUAACUAAUCAACUAGGUACCAAUUUUUGGGCGCUACGAGGGUGCUAAUCCUUCCUCGUACGUAACCGACUCCCGGACCCAUUUUCUGAAUUUCAUGGACCAAACUCGUUGUUUUUAAUAAAAUUAAAUUGUUUAUUAAAAACAACCAUUUUUCAAGGUGACCCGAUCACACCUCAUCAAAAAGAUCGGUGGCGACUCCCAUUUUUUUUCGUUUUUGUCAAAACCCAAGUUGACCCCGUUUUCAUCCCAAAAAAUGGUGUCAACAACAGUUAUAUAAGAACAUAUUUAAAAUAUAAAUUAAAAAACUAAUUAAUCUAAACCCAAUACCCUAACCCGACCCCUAAACCCUAGCUAAACCCUAAAUCCCUAACUCCCAACUCCCAACAUCUAACCCCGGCCCUAACCCCUAAACAUUAAAUCUCAGCCCUUAAACCAUAAUCCCUAAAUCCAUAUAUAUAUAUACUCCUGAUCAAUUAUAAUAACCUUAAAAUAGUAAUCCCUAAACCAACCUAAAAUAUUAAAUUAAUAAUUAUAUACCCUAAACCUAAAACCCUAAAUCAACAAUAGUGAUACUUAAUUCAAUAUUUUAAAUUUAAAUUAAUACUAUCUCUUUUACGAUUAUAUAAGAAUUUUUUUAAUAUAUAAAUUAAAAAAUAAUUAGGAAUCAUGUAACCAAAAAACUUUAAAAUUAUUUUAAAUAAUAGUCUUUUAAUUUUUCCAUGUGUUUUAUUUCAAAUUAAUUCUACGUGUUCUUUUUUUUCUGAAGAUUUUAAAUAUUCAAUUAGAAAUAAGUUGAAUUUUAUUUAAUUAAUAUAAAUAAUUAACCAAUUAAGGUAGAAUGUUUUUUGCGGCGCUUUCACAAAAACGUCGCUAAAAACACGAGCAUUAGCGGCACUUUUUCAAAUUGACCCUUAUUUUAUAUAAAAUUAUAAAAAAAAACUCAAAAUCAUUUAUAAAAUAGAAAAAUGUAUAUAAAAUUCUAGAAAAAUAAAAUAUUGAAUAUGUUGUUGAAGAACAAAAUUGUAUAAGAAAUAAAGAAAAAUAUCAUUCAAUAGAAUCCAAUAACAAACUUGGCAAAUAACAAAAUAAAAAAGUUAGAUCAUUACAUACUUCCUCAACGUGUCUCGAAACCAAAUUAGUAGUAUUAUCUAGUUGAGUUUCAUGCUCUUGAAGAACAUUUAGAACCGGUAUUACAGAGGCUUAUGAAAUCGACCCGGAAGUCAUUUUUUUUUAGUCAAAAGAUUACAAAAUAUACCACAAAAUUUUUUUUCAAACUCAAUUCAAGAUUUAAUUAUAUUUAAAUUAUUUUCCAUAACCCAAAUUGUAAAAACAAAUUAUGUUUCUUCUUCCAUGGUCGAGUUGGGCUUGGACAAGGUUUUUAUGUCUUGAGCCGUUACAACUUGAAUUCAAUUUAAAUAAUAAAAUUUAUUUUUAAAAUUCAAAUUUAAUUAAAAAUAUAAAAAUAUUUUUUAAUAUUUUAUUAUUUUCUAAACUCGCAAAUAGACUUUUUGGAUUGACCAAGCUAGGCUAAAAAUGGGUUAGGCUUGAAAAAAUAUUAGAUUAUUUAUAAGAGUAUAUCAAGGAGUCUAAUAAUUACAAUUUUUUUUGGAAGGUCUUAAUAACACUAGAAAUCUUAUCACACGCGUAUGCAUGUGGAAAUCACAUAUUUAUAACAUAGACUAUGUUUAAAAAUAACAUACAAUGAAUACUGAAAAGUAUAAUUUGGAACUAAUUAAUAAUAACACGUGAAAUAUGUAUGAUAUUAAAAUAAAAUUAGAUUAAAUUGAGAGUAAAACAAAAUCUAAACACAAAAACACAUCAUAUUAAGAAUACUAAAUAAAUACAAAUGUUUAUCAUUGUUUUUUCUUCAAUCUCGAGUUGGUGAUGCUAAAUCAAUAACAUUAUUUACAUACACAAAUAUAUAAAAACCUAGAACACAAAUGUUUAUCUGUUAUAAAGCAUGUAUGACAUGGACAUUUCUGACAUUUGUUAAUUCUGCAUGUGCAUUAGGGUGAGAUUUGUGUUUAUGGAGGAAGUGUGGGAGUUUAAUUCAUUUGCCAUAUUUAGUGGCUCAACCACACGUAUUUCUGCAUUUGGCGAUGAAUCACCUAAUGAUCUGGCAGUUAGACUGCGAAUAUUUUGAAAAGUUUCAUAUUGCAACUAAGUGGUGUGUAGGGUUUGAUAGGUAUUUAAUACCCUAUAUGGUGCGUAGGAAUGGUCGAAGAUGGUGUGUAACGAAUUGGAUUAAGAUUGUAAUCUACACAUGAUAUGUUCUGAUUCUGUUUCUGUAUAUAUGAUAUAUGUCUAAUUGACUUCCGAAAGCAUGUUUGAAAAUUAUAUCCAAUAUUUUUACUCUUAUAAGUUACACAUUUAGUUUGUAAGCUCACUCUCAAUUUCUCUUAUUCUUAGGUAAUCCUUAGACUUAGGUGGGUCGGUGCAACUGGAGUUCGAUUAAUUAUCUACUUGUUAUAUUUGUUAUUUUAAUAUGGUUUAUUCUGUUUUGGUUUUGGACUGUUUUUAAGUUUAGGUUUAGUUUUGUUUUAUUUAUUUAUUUAAACAUUUUUGGUUGGUUUAAAUUUGAUCUACAAAAUGUUAAAUUAUAUAGCAACAAAUCGUGUUUUCAAAAUCGGAUUCAACUAAGAAUUUUCGCUGCAAACGUAAGUGUUUUAUGAGUAAACAAUCAACAAAUUUAUCGAAAUGGUUAAGAAGGAUAUUUUCCUCAAAUAAACUCAAAUUUUACUUAAUAAGAGGUAGCAUUGUUUUAUAAGUCGACAGAUUCUGGGUUUUUAAAUAAAUUGUAGUAAUAUCUCCAGAUUUGGCCAUAACGUCUAGGCUAGGUUUGGGGUGUUACAGAGCCUAUAAGCUCACCCAAUGUUUCUAACUUCUCAAUUAAUCAACAUAUUUAGGACCAAACGACGUGCAAGAGAUCAGAUUGAGUUCUCAAUUAUUUAAAUAUGAUGGUUCAUGUUUUUAAAUUAUUCUGGACAUUCUGAUUUUUUUGGGGGGGGGUUGUAAAUCUUUUUUUGGAUUUUGCUUUGCUUAGUUGGAUUUAGUAAUUAUUACUUAAAACUACAAGAUUUUGUGUUUUACAAAUUAAGUCAUGGUUUUCAAAUUUUAGUACUCUAAAAUUUCCACUACAAAAUAAAGUAAUCACUUAAAUGUUUUUCUAUAACAAAAUAAAUAGUUUUAAUGAUUGUUUUCUUAAAAACUGAAAAGCGAUUUUCCAGAAUUAAUAUUGUCAAAGCACACAAUUUUAAAUUUAUUUUCUGGGUUUUUAAACAAGUUAAUGUAAUUCCUCCAGAUUCGACCAUAACGUAUAAACCAAGUUUGUGGUGUUACAAUUUUUGUCCUCAAUUUAUAUAUAUUUUUAUCAAUCUGACCCUGAUUUUAUAUAAAAAAAAUUAAAAUCAUUUAUAAAAUAGAAAAUGUGUAUAAAAUUCUAGAAAAAUAAAAUCUUGAAUAUGUUGUUGAAGAAUUAAAAUGUAUGAGAAAUAAAGAAAAGUAUCAUUCAAUAGAAUCCAAUAACAAAUUAGAAACAAAACGAAAUAAAAAAGUUAAGUUUCAUGCUCUUGAAGAACAUCUAGGACUGAUAUUAUAGAGACUUAUAAAAUCGACUCGACUGUCAUUUUUUUGGUCAAAAGAUUACAAAAUAUACCACAAAUUUUUUUUUCAAACUCAGUUCAAAUUUUAAUUACAUUUAAAUUAUUUUUCAAAACCCAAAUUGUAAAAACAAAAUUUGUUUCUUUUUCCAUGUUGAGUUGAGCUUAGACAAGGUUUUUAUGUCACGAGCUGUUCCAACUCCAAUUCAAUUUAAAUAAUAAAAAAUAUUUUUAAAUUUUAAAUUUAAUUAAGAGUAUAAAAAUAUUUUUUAACAUUUUAUUAUUUUUUUGAACUCUUAAAAGGUUGACUGAGCUCGGCUAAAAAUGAGUUUUGCUUGAAAAAAAUGUAGAUUAUUUUUAAGAGUAUAUCAAGGAGUCUAAUAAUUACAAUUUUUUUAAAAGGUUUUAAUAACACUAGAAAUCUUAUCACACGCAUAUUUCUUACUUUGCAAAUAAAAUAGUAUUUUUGGUAAUUUUCUUAUUGAGUUGGAACCCGAUUGAUGAGUGACACCAACUCAGUAAAAUGUUUAAUACAUAGUAUAGGUAAAACAAUUCUAAACUAAAAUUUUUAAAAGAAUUUAGGGUAAAAUUCAACUAUGGUUAAGUUUUCAUUUUGGUCACUUAAUUAAAAAAUGUUACAAUUUGAUCACUAAUAUUUUCAAAAUUAUUUUCUUUUUGUCACCCAACUGUUAAGUGGCACUUGUUUCAGUUGGUAUAAUAAUAAUUCUAGUCAUCAGUUUUUAUAUUUUCUAUCAAUUUGACUCUGAUUGUGUAUAAAAAAUUAUUAAAAAACUCAAAAUAUUUAUAAAAUAGAAAAAUGUAGAUAAGAUUUCUAGAAAAAUAAAAUCUUGAAGUUGUUGAAUAACUAAACUGUAUGAAAAAUAAAGAAAAUUAUGAUUUAAUAAAAUCCAAUAAUAAAUUAAAAACAAAACAAAGUUACAUUUUGCACCUUAUGCUUGUUCAUAAUAGCUAAUAUUCACAUAGUUUUUCAAUUCAGCCCAUUUUAGUGAUGAAUUCACUAAAUUCCAGUUAUACCAUGAAAGGAGAAGAUAACCCUCGUAUUUGGAAAAAUGCACUCGGGGAAUUGAAAGAGAGAAUAGGGAAAGUGGAAGGAGUGGAAGCUGAGGUAAUCGAGCGCUUGAAAUUUAGCUUCGAUCACUUAAAGGACGAGAAAGUGAAAUAUUGUUUCUUACAUUGCGCAUUAUAUCCCGAAGAUUUUGGAAUUGAAAAGGAUGAACUAAUUGAGUGCUGGAUUGAGGAGGGAUUCAUAGAUGAUAUGGGUACAAGACAAGAAAUGAAAGACAAGGGCCGUGUUAUUUUGAAGAAGUUAGCAGAGAAUUGCUUGCUGGAAAAUAUUACCAAUAAACGUGGUCAACCUUGCAUAAAGAUGCAUGAUGCAGUGAGAGAGAUGGCAUUGUCGAUCACAAGAAUGAAUCCUCGACAUAUGAUACAAGCAGGUUUGCAAUUAGAAGAGUUACCAGAAAAGGAGCAGUGGAGUCCGGAUAUUGAGAAAGUGUCACUUAUGUGUAACUCCAUAUCAGAAAUUUCCAUAGAUGUGCUGCCCACAAAAUGUCAACUGCUCACAACCUUGUUAUUGCAGGAGAACUCUAUAAAGAAGAUCUCAAUUUCUUUCUUCACAAACAUGCCUUGUCUUAGUGUUCUCAAUUUGUCUUUUACAAAGAUCGAGAGUUUACCAAAUUCCAUCUCUGAACUAAAGAACCUCACAACAUUGUUGCUUCGUGGCUGUUAUGAAUUAAGACAUCUGCCAUGUCUUUCGAUGCUUCAAGAAUUGAAGAAGUUGGAUCUUUCUGCGACUAAAAUUGAGGAAGUCCCUGAAGGAAUGGAUAUGCUGAUAAAGCUAAGAUAUCUUGAUCUUGGAGUGUUCACUCAGAAAGAGAUACCCGCUGGACUUUUACCAAAACUCGUUCGCCUUUAGCACUUGGGUUUUCAUGAGGACAAUGAAAAUACAAGUCUAAAAGCAGAGGAGAUGGAACCAUUGAAGAAGUUGGAGUGCUUAACUGGACAUUUCGAAGACAUCAGUGAAUUCAAUAAGUUCAUCUCCUCAAUGCAACAAAGUAAGAAAAAUCUCAUCAAGUACAAAUUACAGGUGGGCUCAUCUUUUAUGCCUGCUAGAAGAGAUAAAACAGUAACAAUUGGAGGAGUCCAGAAUUGGGAAGGUGAGUUAAUUAUGCACCCAAUUGAAAUUCAAGAGUUGCAUAUUAUUGAGUGCGACUAUUUGAGAAGCUUAGUCGAUGAUAAAUCUUCCUUCAAAAAUGCGAUUGACUUGAAGGUUUGUAGUAUUUGGGGGUGUGAAGGGAUAGAGUGUGUUGGUUCCCUGUCCUCUUUUGCCUCUUCAUCCGCUCAUCCAUUUCAAAGCUUCGAGGUGUUGGAUCUUCGAUUUCUGCCAAAGUUGAGUGCCCUUAUUAUGAAAGAUGAAGGAAUUUGUUCAGCAACAACAUCAACAUUGGCUCCGUCUGCCACCUUUUCCCAUCUCAAGGAAAUUAAGAUAGUGAGCUGCUCAAGUAUGAAGUCGUUGAUUCCACAUUGGUUGCUACCAAACCUCCAAAACCUGGAAGAAAUAUUAGUGGAUCAUUGUGAUGAGUUCGUAGAAAUAUUGGGAGCAGAAACAUCAGAAGUUGAAGAAAAAGGGUGUGAUGCAUUAAUCAAAUUCCAUCUUCCCAAAUUGAGAGAAUUGAGUCUACGUAGGUUACCAAAUUUGAAGAGCAUUUGCAGCAAAAGUGGAGUGAUGGUUUGCGAUUCUCUCCAACUUAUCCAAGUUGCUAGAGACUGUUAUAAACUGAAGAGAAUUCCUCCAUUUGUUCCCCUUGUUGGCAAUGGGCAACCAUUUGCAUAUGCUCCACCUUCUCUUACCAUCAAGUCAAGGAAAGAAUGGUGGGAAUCGUUGGAGUGGGAUGGCCAUCCAAACUUUAAAAAUGUUCUUCAACCCCUUUGGAAGGAUGAAAGGUAUGAACCAUUUAUAGUGUAGUUCAUUUUUUUAUUUUGAUAAAUCUAAUUUCUCCAUAUUAAUAAAAUUUGAAGUAUAUUUGUGAUGUUGAUGAAGAGAAAGAGAAAAGGGUUGGUGGGAAAGAAGUAGGGGGGAGGAUAAUGCAAAAGAGAGGAGAAAAGGAAUGAUGGAAGGAAGAGGUUAAGAGCAUAAAUAAAUAAGAAAUCAAACUGCCUCCACUUUUUAAGCAUUGUCCCUCUCACCAUUCCUUCUAUUCUCUUAUUCUUCUCUAAUAUAUAUAUACUUCCCAAAAUAACCUUCUAAAUAUUUAUGAUUAAAAUAUUUAUAUUAAUCAAAAUGAUUUAAGGUGAGACAAAACUAUAAUCAUAGUUUUUUCUUUUUCCAAUAAAAGUUCGGAAAGUAAUGUAAAAAGACAUAAUAAUUUUUAAUUUCGAUGUAAAAUUUCUGGAAACAUUAAGAUUUAAAAAAUAAUAAAUGCUUUUUUUUUAGAACAUAAUAUUUAUUAAACAAUAUAAUUGGAUUCAUUCAUAUGUAAACGUAAUCAUAAAGAGUAAAACAAUAAUGUACGUACUUUCAUAAAAGUAUGAUUUUAGAAAUUAAAAGUGGAAAUUAAAUAAGACAAAUUCUUUUUCUUAAGUAAUAUAAAAAUGGUAGGGAUUAACAUAGUUAAUCCACGUUUCCCAUAUAUAAAAGACAUUUUCCUUUUUCUUUUAAUUUGUGAUGGAUAAGUUGGAAAAUAAAAAUAAAAAAAACUUAGUUUCCUUCUUUUUUUUUUUUUCUUGCUUCAUUUUGUUGUCCGACUUUUAUUUUGAAGCUGAAGGUUUAAUUUUUUUUUAUUCUAAAUACCGAAAAUAUCAUAAGUUCUCAAUAAUUGUGUAGUUUGUAACGCUAGAAAGUUUACAUUUUUAAAAAAGAAAAAGUCAAAAUAGGAUGUUUUUGUUGUCAAGAGAGGCAUAGAUAUAGAGAUUCUGAAUAAAAAAAAAAACUUCGACUUUUUUUAUUUUACAUUGGCGUAAUGCCCCAAAUUUUAUGAAUUCUAGUUGUUAAGCAUGUUAAGUAAUUUGAUUGGGUGUGGUGGUUAAGUGCCUUGAAUGUUUGUUUUAAGUCUUGAGUUCAAUUUUUUUUUAAUUUUUCCUAUUUAUUUUGGUAUUAUGUUCAACUUAAGCCUUAGGGCUUAUCUCUUAUUUUGAAUGAUGAGUAGUGAUAAGGCUUUAGGUUAUCACCAAUUUAAAUUCUAUAAAAUCUGGUAAGUUGGAUUUGGAUUAACUUAAAUCUUUUUAUUUAUUUAUUUUAGUUUAAUUUUACUAAAUCUCUAUUUUCACUCAUUGUUUCAACCGUCCACGCUCUCACCCCACUUUGUACGCUACUUUCUUUUGUUUCCUUAUUCGGCCGUUUAUCUUCUUUUCUCAUCCUUCUUUCUCCUCUUUGAUUAUUCCUAAAUACUACAGUUUAUUUUGUGAGUUCUGUCACUUGAAUCGUAUUCUGUUUGCAAUGUUAGUUUUAUUUGGUUACUUUUGUUAUAUUUCCAUUAAUAGUUUUGUUUUGUUUUGUUUCUUGAACAAGUUGAGUUUGUGUUGGUAUUUUCUGUUCGUUGUCAUGAUUAGUAUUUUUGUGGUUCUCGAUUAGGCGAAAGGUGUGAGAAUCCUAACAUUCCAGCAAAGUAGACACAAUUUUCGAUGUUGUUUUGGAUAACUAAGUAUUCAAAAUCUAUUUUAGGGGCUGAAAUUUUGAUUCAACGAUGUUAUUUUGGAUAAGUAUUGUUAGUUAAUCGGUGUGGUUUGAUGAACGUUUAUAGGAUUCGUGAGUUUCAAUUGAGCGGUUGAUCAAAUCAGCAAUGGGUUGAUGAAAUUAACCCGAAAACUCAAUUGAAACUCGAGAAAUCUAGGGGCCACGCGACUAUGUGGGAAUUUUGGCCAAUUUUAAGCCCUAAUUAGGGGCCGAUUAAAGGACUCAAUUAUUGGGCAUCAUAUAAGCCCAAAAAACUAUAAGUUUUAGUACGUAUAUAUACUUGGCUAAGCUUAGAAGGUAUGUUAAGUAGGUGGUAUAUAAAUCAUAUGCUACGUUAUGUUUCUUAUAAAAAUAUAUGUAUGCAUGUCAUACAAAUUAUGAUAUAUGUAUUUAUGGUAUUAUAAUUAUGAUUAUGCCUAUGUUUUGGGAUGGGUUAUGAUAUGAUGGAGGAAACGUUAUAUGAUAGUUUUUACCGCAACUAUGACGAUAAUACUAUAAAAUUUUUAUCUGAUAGCUCAGUUGCAUAUUUAUGAGUGACAUACUGCCACAUAUUGGUGUGAUUGGAUGGAUGGAUUCUUGGAGUCGUAAUUGGUGAUAUUGCUUGGACGGAGAUGAUAUGUAGCAAUUGGGGGUAUGAUAUGAUAUGAUGUGGGAUAUGAUAUGAUAAGAUAAGAUAUGAAACAUGCUAUAACAUGAUAUGAAAACUGAUAUGAUAUAAGAUAUGCUCCGAUAUGCUAUGAUACAUUAUGAUUUAUAUAUGUACUGCAAUGUGUGGGUCAAAUCACACGUUGGAUGUUAAGCUCACAUGUUUGUUUAUUUUGUUUCAGGUGAUCUUCAGACUUAGGAUUGGACAAUGACUCUAAAGCUCAUAUUUCACUCUUUCGGUUUAAGUAUGCAUUAGACUCUCUUUUGUUUAUGUAGACUUUUUGGGCUUUUGGAUAUUUUAAAUUUAUUUGGGACACUAAAAAUUAUUUUAGCAUUUAUUUUUCAGAAGUUUUAACUUUUACCCAUACUUAAAUCAAGACAACUAAAAAUAAACUAUAGUUAUAAGGUAAAUUUGCUAUAAUGCUUUCUGCUAUAAUGUUGUCCUCCGCAAGUUUUAUUUCAAUUUGCUAUAAUGUUGUCCUCCGCAAGUUUUAUUGAAAUUUGCUAUAAUGUUUUAUCUCACAAACAAAGUAAAUAAAUUAAAUGCAUUUUGAUAAAAUUAAUAAAUAUGGCUUUCUUCAAUGUACUCACGGGUUUUCAAAAAUGAUACGUCUUCAAUAGGUUUUCACUUGAGUUAAAUAGUUUUUUGCCAAAAUGAAGUAAAAUUGUUCUUUUAAUAAUUUUAAAACCAUUUAUUGGUGGUAUAUAAGAGAAAAUAAUGUUAUGUUAGUAUCUAAAUUCAUUUGGGCCGUCAUGUCAGAGGUUAAUGUUGACCGUUAAACAAAUAACAGCCACAUCAGCCUCUAUGUUAAAAACAAACCAAUUUGCUAGAAAUUUAAAUUUUACACUAUAAAAUUAAUUUUUAAAAUUAACUAUUCAAUUUGUAAUUGAUUUUAUUAAAUUAAAAUAUUCACUAAUGUUUAAAAAUGUUCUCCAUGUUUAUUAUACCCUUGUUUGUUCUUUUUUUUUUUAAUUAUUUAAGAUUUCAGUUAAAUGGUAAUCAAUAUAUAUUAAAAUAUUAGUUUUAUUGGUUGUAUUAUUUCAUUAAUGUUCUUAUAAUAUUAUUUCAUUUUUAUUUAUAGACACCAACUUUAAAAUUAGAAGAGGAUUAAUUUACGAGAAAAUAUGGCUCAUACUGUAAACAAUAAAUAAGAUAUUAUAAAUUGAUAUGAUUAAAAUUUAAAUAAUAUAGAAAGAGUAGCAAAAUAAAUUGAAAACAUUUGAUAUGGUCUAUAUGAACUAUAAUAAAAUGAUUAUAUAUUUUGAAAUGGUGAUUUGAGAGACAACUAAUCAAUCCUACUAUUUUGUCUUUUAUAAAUAAUUUGUGAUCAAAGAGCCAUCAAAGAUGACUCACAUAUGUUUUCCAAAGAUAUGAUAAAUAUAUAUAUAUAUAUUCCUAUCAAGCAAGUUGACAGCUAAAGGGUGCAAAUUUGACUUUGCUAAAUUCUCUAGCAUCAAAGAGGGAAGAUAUGUUGCAAACAAGACAUAAACCAAUAUCAACAUGGUGAUUCCAAAAUUCAAGACAGUAAACCCCUACUUUUGUAUGAUAGAGAUAAUAUGAUGUACAAAUUUACAGUCAUGGAAUGUAUUAGGUGCAUUGAAGAUAACUCAAUGUUAGAAUCAAAGAAAUUUAUCAUCAUUUUUGUUAAUUGUAAAAUUGUGCAUAAACUGGAAAAAAAUGUUUUGAUUGCCAUUAUAAGAAUUUCUUUGAAGUUAAUAGUUUGAGAGAUAAUUUUAAGGAGGAAUUGGAAGGCAUUGCUAUAAAGAGAAUCUCAAGAAAGUAAUUUCAUUUUGAGUUUCAAGUGAAAUGAAUGAAAGGAAAGGUUGCUUAAAUAAAUAUAGGAUUGGAUAUUGAGCUGUUUUGAAUAGUUAGAGCGAAGGACACAUAGACCAUAUGAAAUUCAAGUCUACCAAAAUAAUGCUAAUCAGAUUCCUCUUUGGAAAUGACAACUUUUCAAAAAAUUGUCAAUCUACCUUGAAAGGUGGCAUCGGUAAAAGAAUCAAUCAUGAAAUAUUAAAAUUAUACUAAAAUAACUAUAAAGAUUUAUUUCCCCUAUAAAUAAACAUUUUCUUAUUCUUCCUUAAAAAUUAACAUGAUUUUAUCUUAAUAUACAUGUAUAUAUAUAUGUCUCAGAAUAGCCUUCUAAAAUAUUUAUUUUAAAAAAUAAUUUAUAUAAUACAUAUAACAAUUAAUUAUAAACUUAUUUUGAUAUGAUGUCAAAAUUAAAUAUUAUAAUGGUCCUUUAUCACAUUCAACACUAACUUUUAUUUUAUAAUUUUUUAAAAAUAAACUUUAAAUUUUAUAAUAAAAAGGCUUCAAAUUUUAAAUUAAAAAUUUUAAGUCAAAUUUUAAGUUAAAAGAACAUGUUCUUUAGCGGCGCUUUUAAAAAUAAACGCCGCAAAUGUUUGUGGCGUUGUCAUGAAGCGCCGCAAAUACUUUUAGUGGCGCUAAAAAGCGCCGCUAAAGGCUUAAAAAAAUGCCGCUAAAAACCUGUUUUGGUGUAGUGCCUUGACCAGAGUCGGGUCUAUAUAGAUAAAGUUUUUUAUAAUUCAUGUCGGUCCAACUCAAAUUUAAUUUAAAUAAUACAAAAUUAUUUUUAAAAUUUAAAUUUAAUUAUAAAAAUAUACUUUUAUUUUUUUGAACAUUGAAACGAGCUUUUUAGGUAGAUCGAGUUGGGUCAAAAACGGGUUUGGACUUGAAAAUUUUUAGAUUAUUUUUAAGAGAAUAAUAAUAUCAAGGAGUCUAAUAAUUAAAAAUUUUAAAUUAAAAUUUUAUUGUUUGAAAUCUUCUAAUAACAUAAAAAAAUUAAACUAAAGUUUUUAAAAGAAUUUAGGGUAAAAUGCACCAUUCGUCACUCAACAAAGGGUCAAUUUUCAUUUUGGUCACUAAACUAAAAUAAGAUACAAUUUGGUCACUAAUGUUUCUAGAAAAAAAAUUUUGGUCACCCGACUGUUAAGUGGCACUUACUUUAGCUGGUAUGAUAACAAUUUUUGUCACAUUCCAAAAAUCAAGUUAGUAGAAAUUGGGUUAGUGAAACCAAGAGUGGUCACAUCCUAUUUUUGAGUUAAGAUUGUGAAAAUUACGUUAAGUAAAUUGAUUUAGUUAAGUGGUUAAGUGCUUUAGAUGUGUGUUUAAGGUUUUGUGUUCAAAUCUUUCCCCUUAAAUUUUCAUUGUAUUGUCCUAACUUCCAUCUCUAAACAUCUAGCUUAUAUAUUAUUUUUGUUCAAUUGAUUAUAAGAAUGAGUUUGCUCGUUUAGUGGUAAGGCUUUAGUUUACUUAGAGUUCUUAUGUGUGUAAAUUGGAAUUAUUUUUGUUUUUAAACUCUGAGAAUUUUUUUAUAAGGAUAACUAAUCAAAUUGAGUGGGGAAGUUUUCCACUUUCCUACAAAAUUUCCCCAAAAUUUGCCUCAUUCUGUUGUCCACUUCUUGCCACAUUGUUCACGUUUUCUUUUCCCUUUUUUUUUCCAUCUAAUGAUUUCUAUUUUCUUUUUGCUUUAGUAGUUUUGCUGCCUUCCUUUCUCAUCUUUACUCUACUAUUUUCUUUUAUGUUAUUCUAUUGGUAUGCUAUUGAAUCUCUGUUAUUCCUUCGAGUAAGUGUUGGUUAUUUGUUUUAUAUAAAUGUGGUGUUGGGUUAAUCUUUCAAGUGAUUGAUGGUUUCAAGUUUGAUCUUUGCAAUGUGUUGACAUUUGUUAAUUCUGCAUGUGCAUUAGGAUGAGAUUUGUGUUUAGGAGGAAGUGUGGGAGUUUAAUUCAUUUUCCAUAUUUGGUGGCUCAACCACAUAUAUUUUUGCAUUUGGCGAUGAAUCACCUAAUGAUCUGGCAACUAGGCUGCGAAUAUUUUGAAAAGUUUCAUACCGGCACUAAGCAGUGUGUAGGGUUUGAUGGGUAUUUAAUACCCUAUAUGGUGUGUAGGGAUAGUCAGAGAUGGUGUGUAGCGGAUCGGAGUGGGAUUGUAAUCUACAUUUAAUAUGUUCUGAUUAUGUUUCUGUAUAUGAUAUAUGUCUGAUGGACUUCCUAAAGCAUGUUUGAAAAUUAUAUCUGAUAUUUUUACUCUUAUAAGUUACACAUUGAGCUUGUAAGCUCACUCUCAGUUCCUCUUAUUCUUAAGUAAUCCUUAGACUUAGGUGGGUCGGUGCGACUGGAGCUCGAUUAAUUACUUCUUGUUAUAUUUGUGAUUUUAAUCUUGUUUAUUCUGUUUUGGUUUUGAACUAUUUUUAAGUUUAGGUUUAUUUUUGUUUUAUUUAUUUAUUUAAACAUUUUUGGCUGGUUUAAAUUCAAUCUGCAAAAUGUUAAAUUAUAUGGCAAAAAAUCGUGUUUUCAAAUUUGGACUCAAUUAAGAAUUUUCACUGCAAACAUAAGUGGUUUAUGAGUAAAUAAUUGAAAAUUUUAUCGAAAAGGUUAAGAAGGAUAUUUUCCCCAAAUAAACUCGAAUUUUACUUAAUAAGAGCUAGCAUUGUUUUAUAAGUUGAACGGAUUCUAGAUUUUCAAAUAAAUUGUAAUAACAUCUCCAGAUUUGCCCAUAACGUCUAGGCCGGAUUUGGGGUGUUACAGAGCCUAUAAGCUCACUUAGUGUUUCUAACUUCUCAAUUAAUCAACAUAUUUAGGACCAAACGACGUGCAGAAGAUCAGAUUGAGUUCUCAAUUAUUUAAGUAUGAUGGUUCAUGUUUUUAAAUUAUUCUGGACAGUCUGAUUUUUUUGGGGGGGUUGUAAAUCUUUUUCCGGAUUUUGCUUUGCUUAGUUGGAUUUAGUAAUUAUUACUUAAAACUACAAGAUUUUAUGUUUUACAAAUUAAGUCAUGGUUUUCAAAUUUUACUACUCUAAAAUUUCCACUACAAAAUAAAAUAAUCACUUAAGUGUUUUUCUAUAACAAAAUAAAUUGUUUUAAUGAUUGUUUUCUUAAAAACUAAAAAGCGAUUCGCCAGAAUUAAUAUUGUCAAAACACACAAUUUUAAAUUUAUUUUCUAGGUUUUUAAACAAGUUAAUGUAAUUCCUCCAGAUUCGGUCAUAACGUAUAAAUCAGGUUUGUGGCGUUACAAUUUUUGUUCUCAAUUUAUAUAUAUAUUUAUCAAUUUGACCCUGCUUUUAUAUAAAAAAAUUAAAAUCAUUUAUAAAAUAGAACAAUGUAUAUAAAAUUCUAGAAAAAUAAAAUCUUGAAUAUGUUGUCGAAGAACGAAAAUGUAUGAGAAAUAAAGAAAAGUAUCAUUCAAUAGAAUCCAAUAACAAAUUAGAAACAAAAUGAAAUUAAAAAGUUCAUUUUCAUGCUCUUGAAGAACGUCUAGGACUGAUAUUAUAGAGACUUAUAAAAUCGACCCGACUGUCAUUUUUUUGGUCAAAAGAAUACAAAAUAUACCACAAAAGUUUUUUCAAACUCAGUUCAAAUUUUAAUUACAUUUAAAUUAUUUUUCAAAACCCAAAUUGUAAAAACAAUAUGUGUUUCUUCUUCCAUGGUUGAGUUGGGCUUAGACAAGGUUUUUAUGUCACAAGUUGUUCCAACUCCAAUUCAAUUUAAAUAAUAAAAAAUAUUUUUAAAAUUUAAAUUUAAUUAAGAGUAUAAAAAUAUUUUUUAACAUUGUAUUAUUUUUUGAACUCUCAAAUGGACUUUUCUAGGUUGACUGAGCUUGGCUAAAAAUGGGUUAGGCUUGAAAAAAUUUUAGAUUAUUUUUAAGAGUAUAUCAAGGAGUCUAAUAAUUACAAUUUUUUUAAAAGGUUUUAAUAACACUAGAAAUCUUAUCACACGCAUAUAUCUUACUUUGCAAAUAAAAUAGUAUUUUUGGUAAUUUUCUUAUUGAGUUGGGACCCGAUUGAUGAGUGACACAAACUCAGUAAAAUGUUUAAUACAUGGUAUAGAUAAAACAAUUCUAAACUAAAAUUUUUAAAAGAAUUUAGGGUAAAAUUCAACUAUGGUUAAGUUUUCAUUUUGGUCACUUAAUUAAAAAAUGUUACAAUUUGAUCACUAAUAUUUUCGAAAUUAUUUUCUUUUUGUCACCCGACUGUUAAGUGGCACUUGUUUCAGGUGGUAUAAUAAUAAUUCUAGUCAUCAGUUUUUAUAUUUUCUAUCAAUUUGACUCUGAUUGUGUAUAAAAAAUUAUUUAAAAAACUCAAAAUAUUUAUAAAAUAGAAAAAUGUAGAUAAGAUUUCUGGAAAAAUAAAAUCUUGAAGUUGUUGAAUAACUAAACUGUAUGAAAAAUAAAGAAAAUUAUGAUUUAAUAAAAUGCAAUAACAAAUUAAAACAAAACAAAACAAAGUUACAUUUUGCACCUUAUACUUGUUCCUAAUAGCUAAUAUUCACAUAGUUUUUCAAUUCAGUCCAUUUUAGUGAUAAAUUCACUAAAUUCUAGUUAUAGCUAAACAUAUAGAUGAAAUCAAGUACAAAUUACACAUAAUAUAAAACCAGAUAGUAAGUUUCAUAUUUAAUGUCACACCCUAAUACAACUCAUUCACUUGUAUAUUUAAUUUCAAGUUGUAUAUUGAAUACUGACAACUUCAACAAUGCAAAAAAUUUAGUAAUGGGGUGCGAAUAACUAUACCUAAUGCAACUCCUUUACUUGUAUAUUUAAUUUCAAGUUGUAACUUAUAAUUAUGCAUUCUUAUACCCUGCCGUCCCAACUAUUAUUAUUAUUAAAUAUUAUUUAUUGCCAACUUCAAUGAUUUUGUUUUGAUGUCCAAGGUCUAUCCCCAAAUUUCAAGCAUCCUGUCAAGCUAAUUUUCUUUCAUUUGCUUAAUCCAUCACAUGCUUUUCUUUGCUUGAUUCAUGACUUUGCAAUUUCACACCCUAAUACAACUCAUUCCUAAUACAACUCAUUGACUUGUAUAUUUUAUUUCAAGUUGUAACGUAUGAUUAUGCAUUAUUAUACCCUGCUGUCCCAUACUUUUCCAUUAAUUAUUAGAUUUAAUGAUAAAUUUAGCCUUUAACAUUAGAUUAUUUUAUUAAAAUGGCCCUAAUUGUGUUUUUGAGGGUUUUUUUUUUUGCUUAUCAACCUUCGUUCUUUUUUUUUUAGGUAUCUGAUCAGCUGAACCGCUAAAGCGAUUGAAAGCUUGGUAGAUUAUUAUGUUCCGAUGCUACAAAUUCAACUUUGGUUUCCUUACUUCAUUAGACAGUUUCAUUAUAGUUUGCCUAUGUGUAGAAAGCUUAGGAUACGACACAAAAUAUGCAUAACAUUCUAUCCAACAUUAGAACGGUACAAAAAAAAAGUUAGUUAUUAUGAUGGAAAUGUCAUCCUUGUUCCUCUUAACAGCUUCCUUAGUUAGGUGCUUUGCUGCAGAUCGAGCAUCCUUAAUGCCUUUGAUAGCAUCGACAGCUUCUUGGUAACGGACCAUUAAAUCUCAGGUUCAACAUGUAGGUUCAAUAAAAGAAAAAUGUGAUUAGAUAGGGCUUACCUUCCAUAAACCAUCACUAGCCAAUAUUUUAAGGUCGGUAUCAUCGUCGGUUGUUUCAAUGCUCACAUCUGGCUCCGAAGUAAGAUGUUUCUUUAAACUCUUGUCACCAAAUGCUCUUGCCACCGCCAGCUGACCAUCAACAGGCACGACAUCCCCUGAAACAAAAACAAUAUCAGGAAAAGAUGGUGUAACCUUGAGCGUCAUCCCCAAAAGAUCAGGCACCCAUUACCUGGAAUCCAAUAUAUAUUUUUUUGGACCCAUAUCAUGGUUUCAAACAGGUCAUUAGAAAAUUUUGUAAAACCUUAAAAAGAAUAACCAGUACCACACUAAGGUAUCUCUUGUUCUUAAAAAGAAUAAACAGUUCAUUGAAUAACUAAAUUGUAUGAGAAAUAAAACAAAUUACCAUUCAAUAAAAUCCGAGAACAAAUUAAAAACAAAAUAAAACCAAAAAAAGCUUCCUCAUUGUUUCUCAAAAUCAAAUUAGUAAUAUUAUCAAGUUGAGUUUCAUGCCCUUGAAGAACAUCUAGAACUCAUAUUACCAAGUCUUAUGAAAUUGAUCCUAAUGCCAUUUUUUUAGUCAAAAGAAUACAAGAUAUAUAACUAAAUUUCCUUUUUCAAACUUAAUUCAAGUUUUCAUUACAUUUAAAUUAUUUUUCAAAACUCAAAUUAUUAAAAUAAAUUAUAUUUAGAAACAAAAUUUUAUAACGUAAAAGCUAUGUCAAGAAACAUAGAACAAAUAAUUUUGCUUAAUGUUUUUCUACGUUUUUUACUAAAGAACGUGUAUUGGAUAUUUCGAUACAGAUAAUAUAAAUAAAUUUUGUACGGCUUAAAAACAAUUAUCUCUCAUUUUCUCUCACUUUAUUUAUUUUUGAAUAUUUUAUCUACUUUUAUUUAAUUUUUUAUUUUAUAAUGUUCUAAAUUUUUUUAAAAAAAUUAAUUUUUACCACUUUAUAUAUUAUCAAGAUCAAAUUGACUAAAAGUAUAAAAUUUGAGGAUUAAAAUUGUUAUUAUAUCAAUUAAAAAAGUGUCACUUAACAUUUGAGUGACAAAAAAAUAAUUUCAAAAACAUUAGUGAUGAAAUUGUAACUCUUUUAAUUAAGUGACCAAAACAAAAAUACCCAUAGUUUAGUGACUAAUAGUGUAGCCUUUUUUUGGUAAAAUGAAAAUUUGACCCUAAUUUUAUAUAAAAAACUCAAAAUUAUUUAUAAAAUAGAAAAAUGUAUAUUAUUCAACAUAGGGUUUUUUAUCCAAAUCAUACAAAAAUAAUAAUUAAUGACGAAAAUGAUAUGGAAAAUAAAUUAAUUACAAAAACAAGUCAUUUGUUUCGAUGUUCUGCUGGUGUUGUCUGACAUAUUGGCAACACCAGACUAAAAUGUGAUGACCAAAAAUAUUCAAAGACUUGAUAUGUAAAUUUCUCAUUUUGAUUAUCUGUUGAAAAUAAGCUCUAAGGGUGUUGUGUGACAGUGUGGCGGCUCAAAAUCUUAAAUAGUUUUAAUACUUGCAAAAUCAAUACUUCAUCCAAUACAUUCACAAAUUUUCAUUGGUUUUAUUUGUUUUGUUUUAGCUUCUUCUUUUUUUAAUUGUUUUAUUUUUAUUUUUAUUUUACUUUUUUUCCAUUUAUUAUCUUUUGAAUUAUAAUUUUAUUUUUAUGGUUGUUUCUAAAGUUGUAACCUUUUAAUCUUCUUCAGUAUUUGUGUUUAGUUUCUUGUUAGUUUGCUCAAAACUAUGCACUACACCUUCAGUUGCCUACAAUUCCAGUUUUGCAAUUUUAUAUAUAUUAAGGUAGUUUCAAUUUUCUCCCUCUCUUAUGAUAUUCUACUUAGUUUGUGUUUAUAUCUGGUUGUACAUUGAGCACAAUGUACAUUUUAAGUGUGGGGAGGUUAUUUAUAUAAUUAUUAGAAAAUUCUUGAAUUAUUUGUGGUACUUAAGUAAUUUUCUCAUGCUUCCAUUAGAAUGAAUUUUUAUCGAUUUGAGAUUUUUAUUGAUAUUGUUUUGGAUUAAUUUGUAGAUACUUGUGUAUUGGUUGAUUUAAACUUUAAGACAUAAGAGAAUCAAGCACGAUAAGUUAUUUUUUACAAAACAAAUUUCAGUUGUUUCCCUAAAUUUAAGUAUUAUUUUGAAGUUUGAGAUUUGCAAGUUUGACGUCAAAAACUAUGAUUUUUUUUUGAGAUUUUGAGAUUUUCAGCCACUAAGUCAGGUAAUAAGACUGAAGCUAUGAUUUCCUCUGCUGAUUAUCAACAGUUUUAGAUUUCAAGACUGGAUGAUCAGCAGACAUAAUCUACUUUAGAUAGAAAUUAAUACCAAAAGAGCUACCCAGAAGCAAUAUAAUGUUGAAAUCCCAAACUGUUGAACAUUUUACCUCUUUAAUGUUAAAACUCAUUGCUAAUACAACUCAUUGACUUGUAUAUUUAAUUUCAAGUUGUAUAUUCAAUACUGACAACUUCAACGAUGCAAAUCAUUUAGUAAUGGGGUGCGAAUAACUAUACCUAAUGCAACUCCUUUACUUGUAUAUUUAAUUUCAAGUUGUAACUUAUAAUUAUGCAUUCUUAUACCCUGCCAACUAUUAUUAUUAAAUAUUAUUUAUUGCCAUCUUCAAUGAUUUUGUUUUGAUGUCCAACGUUUAUCAUAACAUUUCAAGCAUCCUGUCAAGGUAAUUUUCUUUCAUUUGCUUAAUCCAUCACAUGCUUUUCUUUGCUUGAUUCAUGACUUUGCAAUGAUUGUUUCUGAUUAUCUGCUAUUCUUCGGAGCUAGCUUUGUAAGACAGUCAAGGAAGAAGUGAACUUCACUGCUUCAUUUUUAGUUCUAUUCUCUCGACACUUUUCAGCCACUAAGUCUGGUAAUAAGAUCUGAAGCUAUGAUUUCCUCUACUGAUUAUCAAUAGUUUUAGAUUUCAAGACAAGAUGAUUAGCAGACAUAUUCUACUCUAGAUUGAAAUUAAUACAGAAAGAGCUACCCAGAAGCAAUAUAAUGUUGAAAUCUCAAACGGUUAACAUUUUAGCUCUUAAUAUUCUGUAAUGAACUGUUGCACACUUGAAUCUAGCAUUCUAUAUACAUCGAGAGCUUAAUUCUGGUGACCAGAAUUUCAUCAUGUUCCUGUCUGCCACCCAUCCAUAGCUCCAUCUAAUAAACGCCAUUGCUUGAAACUUGCUUUCAUGUUUUCCUUUUCAUGCUUACACCGACAUAUCAAUACUUCAUAAAAUAUCCAAUCCAUUCAAAGAUUUUCAUUCUCUGCUACUGUUAUAUAUGAUUGCAUUACAGGGACAUAGCAAUGGAGUAUGUAGAGCUUGUUGUCAGCAUUGCAAAUUGUCUCGGAACUCCUGUUUGUAAAUAUUUGCAAUAUCACAGAAAGCUGAACGAUUAUGUGAGAAACUUCAAGAGGAUCAGAGAUGAAUUGAAUUGCAAAAUGGAAGAUAUAGAGCUGUAAUUGAAAGCAGAGCUUCUUUGUCCUCUGGGGAAGAUACCGAAGAAGGGAGUUGAAAAUUGGUUGAAAGCUAUGAAAGAGAUAAUUAGGGAAGCACAAGUUGUUGAAAACAAAGUCAGUAACGGGAGAUAUCUCUGUCGUGCUUGCAACGGGAAGCUGGUUGAUGAAAAGACUCAAGAAAUGGAGGAAUUUCUUGAUAACUCUCCUAAUGCCUCUGGAGGUCUUGCCAUAGAUGGUCUAAGUGCUGGGUUGCCGCUGCCAACAUCAGAACUAGUUGGAGAAGAAGCUGUCAGAAAUGAGAUUUGGGCAUGUUUGAUGCAGGAGGAGGUGAGCAAGAUUGGGGUUUGGGGGAUGGGCGGUGUGGGUAAAACCACUAUCAUGAAGCACAUCCACAAUGAUAUUUUGAAACAACAUAGAUUCGAAAGAGUAAUCUGGGUUACCAUAUCAAAGGAGUUCAAUGUAAUGAAGGUACAAGAUAAUAUUGCAAGUGCGUUGAAGGCGAAAGAAUAUUUAGACAAAGAAGAGGACAAGCUCAGACGAGCAGCAAUCUUGUCAGAAAUGCUGAAGAACGCAGGAAAGCAUGUUCUAAUCCUAGAUGAUGUGUGGGAUAAAGUCUCUCUAGAGGAAGUUGGGAUCCCAGAGCCGAGUGGCAGCUCUGGCUGCAAGUUGGUAUUGACAACCCGUUCGGAGCAUGUCUGUAAGUAUAUGGGUUGUAAGGUGAUAAAAGUGAAGCCCCUUUUAGAAGACGAGGCAUUGAUACUAUUCUUGAAUAAAGUUGGACCUAACAUAGUUCAAAGUCCAACUAUAAUGCCAACUCUGAAGCUUGUUGUCAAGGAAUGUGCGGGUCUACCUCUUACAAUUGUCAUGGUAGCUGGUACCAUGAAAGGAGAAUAUAACCCUCGUAUUUGGAAAAAUGCACUCAAAGAUUUGAAAGAAAGAAUAGGGAAAGUGGAAGGAGUAGAAGCUGAGGUAAUCGAGCGCUUGAAAUUUAGUUUCGAUCACUUGAAAGAUGAGAAAGUAAAAGAUUGCUUCUUGUAUUGUGCUUUAUAUCCUGAAGAUUAUGAAAUUCAUAAGGUUGAACUAAUCGAGUGUUGGAUUGCUGAGAUAUUCAUAGACGAGAUGGACACUAGACAAGAAAUGGAAGAUGAAGGCCUUACUAUUUUGAAAAGGUUGGAAGAUAACUGCUUGUUGGAAAAUAAUACCACUCAAUUUGGUUUACAUGGUAUAAAGAUGCAUGAUGCAGUGAGAGAGAUGGCAUUGUUGAUCACAAGAAUGAAUCCUCGAUAUAUGGUACAAGCAGGCUUGCAAUUAGAAGAGUUACCAAAAAAGGAGAAAUGGAGUCCGGAUAUUGAGAAAGCAUCGCUUAUGUGUAACUACAUAUCAGAAAUUUCCAUAGAUGUGCUGCCCACAAAAUGUUAACUGCUCACAACCUUGUUAUUGCAGGAGAACCCUAUAAAGAAGAUCUCAAUUUCUUUCUUCACAAACAUGCCUUGUCUUAGUGUUCUCAAUUUGUCCUCUACAAAGAUCAAAAGUUUACCAAAUUCCAUCUCUGAACUAAAGAACCUCACAACAAUGUUGCUUCGUGGCUGUCGAGAAUUAAGAGAUCUGCCAUGUCUUUCGAUGCUUCAAGAAUUGAAGAAGUUGGGUCUUUGUUGGACUAAAAUUGAGGAAGUCCCUGAAGGAAUGGAUUUGCUGAUAAAGCUAAGAUAUCUUGAUCUUGAAGUGUUCACUCUGAAAGAGAUACCCGCUGGACUUUUACCAAAACUUGUUCACCUUCAGCAUUUGAGUUUUGAUGUGGACAAUGAAAAAACAAGUCUAAAAGUAGAGGAGAUGGAACCAUUGAAGAAGUUGGAGUACUUUACCGGACGUUUUGAAGAAUUCGGUGAAUUGAAUAAGUUCAUCUCCUCAAUGCAACAAAGUAAGAAAAAUCUCAUCAAGUACUCUUUACACGUUGGCUCAUAUAGUAUGGGUUGUGAAAGGGGUAAAAGUGUAUCAAUUGUGUUAGAAAAAAACAGCAGCAACAAUGAACAACAAAGAGCAUAAGCUCAUGAAAACAGCAAGCAAAAAUUGAUAGGCUAAAAAAUAGCCGAAUGAGAAAGUCCACACUUUCAUUUCCAUUACAAAAUAUAUAAGAAUUACAAAAAUGGAAUGUUUACCUAACAAUUUCCACUAAAUUUGGCAACUUGCCAAUUAAUAAUUAAAAAGAUGAAAGCAUUAUAACUAUCAUUAUGAAAGCAUAUUAGUUAUCAUUAUGAAAGCAAAAGAUGAAAGCAUUAUAGCUAUCAUUAUGAAAGCAUAUUAGCUAUUAUUAUGAAACCAAGUUGCAUAUCAACUUGUUUCAAUUAUAGCUAUCAUUACAAAUAUUAAAAAUAAACAAAAUAAACAAAAUGCACCAAGUUGCUCCUUUGUUGCUUUACAGUCCAUGUUCAACACUCCUCCUUGGACUGUAGGCAACAAACACCAAUUGAUUUCCUUAGAAAUUCAAACCUGAUUGUGCCAAGAGGCUUUGUCAAAAUGUCAGCCAAUUGAUCUUGUGAGCUGCAAUGUAUUAGACUCACUUCUUUGGAUUGGACAACUUCUCGAACAAAGUAAAACUUGAGCUUAAAAUGUUUGGUUUUGCCAUGAAAAACAGGAUUUUUAGAGAUGGCAACUGCUGACUGGUUAUCCACCAAAAUUUCAGUAGGCUCGAGCUGUUCUUCAUUCAAAUCACAUAGCAACUUCCUAAGCCAAAUGGCUUGAUUCACUGCUGCAGCUGCUGCUAUGUAUUCGGCUUCAGCAGUAGACUGAGCAACAGUUUGUUGCUUCUUUAAACUCCAACUGAAAACUCCCGAACCAAGUGUAAAGAAGCAGCCUGAAGUACUUCUCAUAUCAUCAACUGAUCCACCCCAGUCACUAUCUGAGUAGCCAGUUAAUUUCAGCUCACUUCCUUUCUUGAACAUUACACCAAACUUCAAAGUACCUUUGACAUACCUGAGUAUCCUCUUUGCUGCUUUCAAAUGAGUUGAAUUGCAGCUGUGCAUGAAUCUAGACAGUAGACUAACUGAAUGCAUAAGGUCAGGUCUGGUUGCUGUCAAGUAAAGUAAACAUCCAAUCAGGCUUCUAUACUCCUUUUCAUCUACCUUUUCUUCAUUUCCAAAGCUGCUUAGUUUCUCUCCCACAGCUAAUGGUGUGCUCACUGGUUUGCUGUUUUCCAUAUGAAACUUAGUGAGAAUUUUCAAGGCAAAUGCAUGUUGGCUGAUAAAAAUGCCUUGAUCAGACUGGUCUACUUCCAUACCAAGGAAGUAAGUCAUGAUUCCCAAGUCUGUCAUGUCAAACAUGUCUUGCAUAUUCUUCUUGAACUCCUGAAUCAAAUCGACCCUGCUUCCAGUCACUAAUAGAUCAUCUACAUAUAUUGAGACAAUCAGCAAAGUCUCAUCUGUGAACUUCUUUAUAAACAAAGUUGGCUCACUCAAACUUUUCUCGAAAUUGAGCUUAGACAGGUAAGCAUCUAUCCUGUCAUACCAGGCUCGAGGAGCCUAUUUUAGUCCAUAGAGUGCCUUCUUCAGCUUGUAAACCUUGUCCUCCUUUCCUUGGACUUUAAAUCCAUCAGGCUGUUCAACAUAAAUCUCCUCUUUAAGGAAGCCAUUCAGGAAAGCUGACUUGACAUCAAGCUGAUGGACCUUCCACUGUUUCUGUGCAGCCAAAGCAAACAGGAGCUUUAUGGUGUCCAGCCUUGCUACUGGAGCAAAUGUCUCCUCAAAAUCAAUGCCAAACUGUUGAUUGUACCCUUUCACCACAAGCCUUGCCUUGUGCUUGUUCAAAGAGCCAUCAGCAUUGAAUUUGGUCCUGAAAACCCAUUUGACACCUAUGACCUUCUUCUGAUCAGGUCUGUCUACCAGAUCCCAAGUGUCAUUCUUAUGGAUCAUGUCGAUUUCAGCCUCCAUAGCCUUCUUCCAGCUCUUGCUUCUUGCAGCUUCUUCAUAGCUUGAAGGCUCAACAAUGGCCACAUUGCAUCUUUGGUAGAUAUCAGCAAUAGACCUGGUCCCUCUCACAGGAGUAUCAUCUAUAUUGGCAUUACUGACUUCAUUUUCUGCCAAUUCCAGAUUGUUGUCAAUCUGCUCUUCUUCAAACUGACUUGUGUUAGAGCCAUCUAGACUCCAAAACCUUCCUUCAUCGAAUUUGACAUCCCUGCUUACCAAAAUCUUCUUGGUUGAAGGAUCAAAUACUCUGUAGCCCUUCUUGCAGCUACUGUAGCCAACAAAUAUACCAGGAACUGAUCUCUUCUCAAGCUUGGUUCUUCUUUCUGCAGGGACAAGUACAAAACACAUGCAACCAAACACUUUUAAAUGGGAAACUGUUGGUUUAAGAUCAUACCAUGCUUCAAAAGGAGUUUUAUCAUUUAAAGCAUGUAUUGGCAGCCUAUUGAGCAGGUACACUGAGGUGUUGACACCUUCAGCCCAAAAAAUGUUUGGAAGCUUGCUUUGAAACAACAAACACCUGGUCAUGUUCAUCACUGUUCUGUUCUUCCUUUCACAUACUCCAUUUUGCUGAGGAGUAUACACUGUGGUCAAUUGAUGAUGAAUCCCAGCCUGCUCACAUAGCUUCUGAAAUCUUUCAGACAAGUAUUCAGAACCAUUGUCUGUCCUCAAGGCCUUAAUCCUGCAGCCUAUUUGAUUUUCUGCCAAUGCCUUGAACUUUCCAAAAACUUCAAACACUUCUGACUUUUGUUUCAUGAAAUAAACCCAGCAAAAUCUGGUCAGAUCAUCAAUAAACAGUAUAAAAUACUUACUGCCAUUCAGUGAAGGAGUCUUCAUUGGUCCACAGACAUCUGAGUGCACCAAUUCAAGUCUUUCUCGAGCCCUCCAUGCUUGGUUUACUGGAAAAGGCAACCUGGCCUGUUUACCAAGCUGACAUACUUCACAAACAGACUCAUUUACAUCAACCUUAAUCAUGUCCUCUGUCAAACUCAUCUUGUGCAGCAAAUUGAGUGACCUGAAAUUGACAUGGCCAAAUCUUCAAUGCCACAGAUCAGCAUUGUCAACUGAACUUGUAUAGGCUCUUCUCUCAAGUUGGCUCACAUCAAACAUAAAACACCUAUCUGCCAUGGGUGCUGAAACAACUUCUCUACCAAGAGUAUCAUUAAUAACACAAGAAUCAUUCUUGAAAACUAGAGAGUAGCCUUUCUUAACCAGCUGACCUACACUAAGUAGAUUUUGAUCUAUUUCAGGUACAUAAAGCACAUCUGAAAUAACCUUGUUACCUGAACUGGUGUUGAUCACAACAUCACCUCUGCCUUUAGCUUCAAUCAGAUUCCCAUUGCCUAUUCUGACCUUUGAAGCAAAACUCCUGUCAAGAUCCUUGAACAGGCUCUCAUUUGAUGCCAUGUGAUGUGAGCAGCCACUAUCCACAAGCCAACUGCAUUUGGAUUUGCUUGUGGUUGUAGAACAUGAGGCAGUGAAGACAUGCUCCUCCUGAGCUUGAAGAUCUUCAGCAGUCUUGGCUUGUACUGGCAGAGUUUGUGACUUUUCUUGAUUUCUACAAAUCUUUUCAUGAUGACCAUACUGCUUGCAGCUCUUGCAUUGGAUGUCUGGUUUGUUCCAGCAAUACUUCUCCAAAUGGUUAGUCUUCUUGCAGUGAACGCAUGGUGGAAACCUCCUUCUACCGACAUCUUUCUUUGAUCUUUCCCUCUUUUCAAACCAAGGCUUCUUAUAUUAAAAUUAUGUUAAAAUAACUAUAAAGAUUUAUUUCCCCUAUAUAUAAACAUUUUCUUAUUCUUCCUUAAAAAUUAACAUGAUUUUAUCUUACUAUUUAUGUAUAUAUAUAUUUACGUCUCAAAAUAGCCUUCUAAAAUAUUUAUUUUAAAAAAUAAUUUAUAUAAUACAUAUAACAAUUAAUUAUAAACUUAUUUUGAUAUGAUGUCAAAAUUAAAUAUUAUAAUGGUCCUUUACCACAUUCAACACUAACUUUUAUUUUAUUAUUUUUUAAAAAAAUAAACUUUUAAUUUUACAAUAAAAACCAUACAUAGGCUUCAAAUUUUAAGUUAAAAACAUGGGAUAAUAGUUUACUAUAGCCCCAUCCAUGGGCCCUCGACCAAAGUCGGGUCUAUAUAGAUAAAGUUUUUUAUAAUUCGGGUCAGUCCAACUCAAAUUUAAUUUAAAUAAUAAAAAAUUAUUUUUAAAAUUUAAAUUUAAUUAUAAAAUAAUACUUUUAUUUUUUUUAACAUUGAAACGAGCUUUUUAGGUAAGUCGAGUUGGGUCGAAAAUGGGCUUGGACUUGAAAAUUUUUAGAUUACUUUUAAGAGAAUAAUAAUAUAAUGGAGUCUAAUAAUUAAAAAUUUUGAAUUAAAAUUUUAUUGUUUGAAAUCUCCUAAUAACAUUAAAAAAUUAAACUAAAGUUUUUAAAAGAAUUUAGGAUAAACUACACCAUUAGUCACUCAAAAAAUGGUCAAUUUUCAUUUUGGUCACUUAACUAAAAUAAGAUACAAUUUGGUCACUAAUGUUUCUAGAAAAAAAUCUUGGUCACCCGACUGUCAAGUGGCGCUUACUCUAGCUAGUAUAAUAACAAUUUUUAUCACAUCCCAAAAAGUAGGUUAGUAGAAAUUGGGUUAGUGAAACCAAGAGUGGUCACGUCCUAUUUUUGAGUUAAGAUUGUGAAAAUUAUGUUAAGUAAAUUGAUUUGGUUUAGUGGUUAAGUGCUUUGGAUGUGUGUUUAAGGUUUUGUGUUCAAAUCUUUUCCCUUAAAUUUUUAUUAUUUUUGUCCUAACUUCCAUGUUUGAACAUCUAGCUUAUAUAUUAUUUUUGCUCAAUUGAUAAUAAGAAUAGUUUGUUAGUUUAGUGGUAAGGUUUUAGUUUAUUUAAAGGUCUUGUGUUUGAACCCUAUAUAAGUAAUGUGGAAAUUUUUUUUAUAGGGAUAACUAAUCAAUUUGAGUGGGGAAGUUUUCCAUUUUCCUACAAAAUUUCCCCAAAAUUCUCCUAAUUCUAUCGUCCUCUUCUUGCCACAUUGUUCACAUUUUCUUUUCCCUUUUCUUUUUCCAUCUACUGAUUUCUAUUUUCUUUUUGCUUCAGUAGUUUUGCUGCCUUCCUUUCUCAUCUUUGCUCUAAUAUUUUCUUUUGUGUUAUUCUAUUGGUACGCUGUUGAAUCUCUGUUAUUCCUUCGGGUAAGUGUUGGUUAUUUGUUUUAUAUAAAUGUGGUGUUGGGUUAAUCUUUCAAGUGAUUGAUGGUUUCAAGUUUUAUUUUUGCAAUGUGUUGUUAGGAGAAGAUCGAUAGACUCGUGAAUUGUCUCCAGCAGUUUAUGUCUGGGAAAGGGCUAUUGUUUUUGCAAGGGUAAGUGAUUAAAGUUUUCAAUUGAAGGUUGAUUUGGUUGCUUAGGCUAAGUGUUUAGCAUUUGCAAUUGAAUUAGUGACUUGGAUGUAGCACAUUACUAAUAAUUCUUAGGUUCUAAAAUGUCGGUUUAGGUACUAGAAUCCUCAUAGUGGUGUUAGCAUCGAAAACCGACCAAGUGUGUAACAAAAAUAUUAAAAAAUAGUGAACGGCACGAUGUCAAAAAACCCACUAUCGACGUCACACAGCCAUGUGCCAGGUUAUGUGGGUCAUAUAGGCUGAGUUAUUUGGGCCGUGUGGGCUACACAGGUGUGUGUUAAGCUGUGUGCUAGGUUGUGUAGGCCACAUGGGUUAGGUCAGUUAGGUCGUGUGGGCCCAUUUUUUGUAUAAUCUCGUCAAGGUCGUAUUUGAAGUGUGAUUUGAAAUUCGUUACUUCGUAAGUUCCGAAAUGUGUUAUGUAUGCGUUCUAAAUACAAAAUUUGAUAUUUUAUUUCUGUUAAUGUGAUUUUUGAAGCAUAUUAUUCAAUAUUGACAUUGUACAUGUAACAUUCAAGAGCAUUCUGUGGUAUAAUUUAUGCUUCUGAUCUGUAAUUUGAGAAUCUAUUUAAGCAUGAUUCAUUUAUGUACAUCUUAGUAUGUAAAAUAUUUUGACAUAUGCAUUAGGGUGGGAUGAUGGUGUGAUGGAAGAAGUGUUUUGGCAGUUUAACUGCAUACUGAUGUUUAUAAGCCACCGUUGUUUGGCAACUCGGGAUAACUUAAUUUGUGGUUUAACCACAUAUCUAAUAUGGUGGCUUGACCAGACUUAUUGAUUUUGGCGGAAUACCGCAUUAUUUCUGGCAAUUUAACUGCGCUAUUUUAAAAAGUGAUAUAUGCUUACUUAUUGGUGUGAUGGAUGGAUGGGCUCUUAUAGUCCUAUGUGGUGUGUAUUGGUGGGACGGAGAUGGUGUGUAGUGGAUUGGGAUAGGAUUUAUUUCUGUGUCUGUAUUUGCAUCUGUAUUUGUAUCUACAUCUGAUUCUGCAUAUGAGAUUGCAUCUGUAUCUGAAACUGAAAUUAUAUAUGUAAUUGAAUUGUAUCUAUUUUUGGAAUUGUUACUGUAAUUGAGUCUAUUCUGCCUGUUUGGGUUGAGUUACACAUGUAAUUGUUACUGUAUUUGAGUCUAUUCUGCCUGUUUGGGUUGAGUUACACACUAAGCCUAUAAGCUCACCCAAGUUCUUUAACUUCUCAGGUAAUCGACAUACUUAGGACCAAACGACGUGCAGAAGCUCAUAUUGGGUUCUCAGUUAUUUAAGUAUGAUGGUUCAUGUUUUUAAAUUAUUCUGGACUUUCUAGAUUUUUUUAGGGGUUUGUAAAUCUGUUUCUGUAUUUUUCUUUAUGUUUUGGUUUGCUUAGUUGAAUUUAGUAAUUAUUACUUAAAACUACAAAGUUUUGUGUUUUGCAAAUUAAGUCACGAUUUUCGAAAUUUAAUACUUUGAAAUUUCCGCUACAAAAUAAAGUAAUCAUUUAAGUGUUUUUCUAUAAUAAAAUAAAUAUUUUUAAUGAGUGUUUUCUUAAAAACUGGAAAGUGAUUUGCCAGAAUUAAUAUUGCCAAAACACACGAUUUCAAAUUCAAUUUCUAGGUUUUUUAAAUAAGCUAAUGUAAUUCCUCCAAAUUUGGCCAUAACGUCUAGGCCAGAUUUGGGAUGUUACAAUUUUAGUCCUUAAUUUUUAUAUUUUUAUCAAAUUGAUCCUGAUUUUAUAUAAAAAUUAUAAAAAAACCUCAAAAUCAUUUAUAAAAUAGAAAAAAUGUAUAUAAAAUUCUAGAAAAAUAAAAUCUUGAAUAUGUUGUUGAAGAACUAAAUUGUAUGAGAAAUAAAGAAAAGUAUCAUUCAAUAGAAUCCAAUAACAAACUAGGCACAUAACAAAAUAAAAAAGUUAGAUCAUUACAUACUUCCUCAACGUUUCUCGAAACCAAAUUAGUAAUAUUAUCUAGUUGAGUUUCAUGCUCUUGAAGAACAUUUAGAACCGGUAUUACAGAGGCUUAUGAAAUCGACCCUGAUGUCAUUUUUUAGUCAAAAGAUUACAAAAUAUACCACAAAAUUUUUUCAAACUCAAUUCAAAAUUUAAUUAUAUUUAAAUUAUUUUUCAUAACCCAAAUUGUAAAAACAAAUUAUGUUUCUUCUUCCAUGGUCGAGUGGCUUGGACAAGGGUGUUAUGUCUUGAGCCAUUACAACUUGAAUUUAAUUUAAAUAAUAAAAUAUAUUUUUAAAUUUUAAAUUUAAUUAAAAAUAUAAAAAAAUUUUAAUAUUUUAUUAUUUUCUGAACUCUCAAAUGGACUUUUUGGAUUGACCAAGCUAGGCUAAAAAUGGGUUAGGCUUGAAAACAUUUUAGAUUAUUUUUAAGAGUAUAUCAAGGAGUCUAAUAAUUACAAUUUUUUUUGAAAGGUCUUAAUAACACUAGAAAUCUUAUCACAUGAUUAUGCAUGUGGAAAUCACGUAUUUAUAACACAGACUUGUGUUUAAAAAUAACAUACAAUGAAUACUGAAAAAUAUGAUUUGGAACUAAUUAAUAAUAACACGUGAAAUAUGUAUGAAAUUAAAAUAAAAAUUAGAUUAAAUUGAAAGUAAAACAAAAUCUAAACACAAACAAAUCAUAUUAAGAAUAGUAAAUGAAUACAAAUGUUUAUCAUUGUUUUGUCUUCAAUCCUGAGUUGGUGAUGCUAAAUCAAUAACAUUAUUUACAUACACAAAUAUAUAAAAAUUUAGAACACAAAUGUUUAUCUAUUAUAAAAGCAUGUAUGACAUGUACAUUUCUGACAUUUGUUAAUUCUACAUGUGCAUUAGGAUGAGAUUUGUGUUAAUGGAGGAAGUGUGGGAGUUUAAUUCAUUUGCCAAAUUUGGUGGCUCAGCCACACAUAUUUCUACAUUUGGCGAUGAAUCACCUAAUGAUCUGGCAGUUAGGCUGCGAAUAUUUUGAAAAGUUUCAUACCGACACUAAGCGGUGUGUAGGGUUUGAUAGGUAUUUAAUACCCUAUAUGGUGUGUAGGGAUGGUCGGAGAUGGUGUGUAACGGAUUGGAGUAGGAUUGUAAUCUACAUCUGGUAUGUUUUGAUUCUGUUUCUGUAUAUGAUAUAUGUCUCUUAUUGACUUCCGAAAGCAUGUUUGAAAAUUAUAUCUGAUAUUUUUACUCUUAUAAGUUACACAUUGAGCUUGUAAGCUCACUCUCAGUUUCUCUUAUUCUUAGGUAAUCCUUAGACUUAGGUGGGUCGGAGCGACUGGAGAUCGAUUAAUUAUCUUCUUGUUAUAUUUGUUAUUUUAAUCUGGUUUAUUCUAUUUGGUUUUGAACUGUUUUUGGAUUGUUUUUAACUUUAGGUCUAUUUUCGUUUUGUUUAUUUAUUUAAACUUUUUUGGUUGGUUUAAAUUUGAUCUACAAAAUGUCAAAUUAUAUAGCAACAAACCGUGUUUUCAAAAUUGGACUCAACCAAGAAUUUUCGUUGCAAACGUAAGUGUUUUACAAGUAAAUAAUCGACAAAUUUAUCAAAAUGGUUAAGAAGGAUAUUUUUCCCAAAUAAACUCGGAUUUUACUUCAUAAGAGCUAGCAUUGUUUUAUAAGUUGAACGGAUUCUAGAUUUUCAAAUAAAUUGUAGUAACAUCUUUAGAUUUGGCCAUAACGUCUAGGCCGGGUUUGGGGUGUUACAGAGCCUAUAAGCUCACCCAAUGUUUCUAACUUCUCAAUUAAUCAACAUAUUUAGGACCAGACGCCGUGCAGGAGAUCAGAUUGAGUUCUCAAUUAUUUAAGUAUGAUGGUUCAUGUUUUUAAAUUAUUCUGGACAUUCUGAUUUUUUUCGGGGGUUGUAAAUCUUUUUUCGGAUUUUGCUUUGCUUAGUUGGAUUUAGUAAUUAUUACUUAAAACUACAAGAUUUUGUGUUUUACAAAUUAAGUCAUGGUUUUCAAAUUUUAGUACUCUAAAAUUUCCACUACAAAAUAAAGUAAUGACUUGAGUGUUUUUCUAUAACAAAAUAAAUAGUUUUAAUGAUUGUUUUCUUAAAAACUGAAAAGCAAUUCGCCAGAAUUAAUAUUGUUAAAACACACAAUUUCAAAUUUAUUUUCUGAGUUUUUAAACAAGUUAAUGUAAUUCCUCCAGAUUCGACCAUAACGUAUAAACCAAGUUUGUGGCGUUACAAUUUUUGUCCUCAAUUUAUAUAUAUAUUAUAUAUAUUUAUCAAUUUGACCCUGGUUUUAUAUAAAAAAUUUAAAAUCAUUUAUAAAAUAGAAAUAUAUAUAUAUAAAAUUCUAGAAAAAUAAAAUCUUGAAUAUGUUGUUGAAGAACUAAAAUGUAUGAGAUAUAAAGAAAAGUAUCAUUCAAUGGAAUCCAAUAACAAAUUAGAAACAAAACGAAAUAAAAAAGUUCAGUUUCAUGCUCUUGAAGAACAUCUAGGACUGAUGUUACAGAGACUUAUAAAAUUGACCCGGAUGUCAUUUUUUGUCAAAAGAUUACAAAAUAUACCAUAAUUUUUUUUCAAAGCCAGUUCAAAUUUUAAUUACAUUUAAAUUAUUUUUCAAAACCCAAAUUGUAAAAACAAAAUGUGUUUUCUUCUUCCAUGGUUGAGUUGGGUUGGACAAGGUUUUUAUGUCACUAGCUGUUCCAACUCGAAUUCAAUUUAAAUAAUAAAUUUUUUAAAUUUUAAAUUUAAUUAAGAAUAUAAAAAUAUUUUUAAUAUUUUCUUAUUUUUUGAACUCUCAAAUGGACUUUUCUGGGUUGACUGAGCUGGGCUAAAAAUGGGUUAGGCUUGAAAAAAAUUUAGAUUAUUUUUUAGAGUAUAUUAAGGAGUCUAAUAAUUAUAAUUUUUUUGAAAGUUUUUAAUAAAACUAGAAAUCUUAUCACAGGCAUAUGCGUGUGAAAAUCACGUAUUUAGAAUACAUAUUUGCGUUUAAAAAGAACAUACAAUAAAUAAUGAAAAGUAUGAUUCGGAACUAAUUAAUAAUAACACAUGAAAUAUGUAUGAUAUUAAAAUAAAAAUUAGAUUAAAUUGAGAGUGAAACAAAAUUUAAACACAAAAACAAAUGAAUAUUAAAUGAAUACAAAUGUUUAUCAUUGUUUUGUCUUCAAUACUGAGUUGGUGCCAUGUUCAUUUGUGACGCUAAAUCAAUGACAUUAUUUACAUAUACAAAUAUAUAAAAAUUUAGAACACAAAUAUACUUAUUAAAGUUUCAAAUGAAAACCUUAAAUUGUUUUAGUUACAAUGUAAAUGAAAAAGCUUUAUAUGCUUGGUGUCCCCUAGUUCAAAUAUCAUUAUGGGUAAAUUUUUAUUGAUUUAUAAAAAAAUAUAUAAAAUGAUGAAAACACCCUCAUAAACAUAUAUCUUACUUUGCAAAUAAAAUAGUAUUUUUGGUAAUUUUCUUAUUGAGUUGGGACUCGAUUGAUGAGUGACACUAACUCAGUAAAAUGCUUAAUACAUAGUAUAGAUAAAACAAUUCUAAACUAAAAUUUUUAAAAGAAUUUAGGGUAAAAUUCAACUAUGGAUAAGUUUUCAUUUUGGUCACUUAACUAAAAAAUGUUACAAUUUGAUCACUAAUGUUUUUGAAAUUAUUUUCCUUUUGUCACUCGACUGUUAAGUGGCACUUGUUUUUGUUUGUAUAAUAAUAAUUCUAGUAAUCAAUUUUUAUAUUUUCUGUCAAUUUGACCUUGAUUUUGUAUAAAAUUAUAAAAAAACUAAAAAAUAUUUAUAAAAUAGGAAAAUGUAUAUAAAAAACUCUAAAAAAUAAAAUCUUGAAUAUGUUGUUGAAUAGCUGGAUUUUAUUGAGAAAUAAAGAAAAUUAUCAUUUAAUAGAACGUAAUAAUGAAAAACAAAACAAAACAAAGUUACAUUUUGCAUCUUAUACUUGUUCAUAAUAGCUAAUAUUCACAAAAAUUUUCAAUUCAGUCCAUUUUAGUGAUGAAUUCACUAAAUUCUAGUUAUAGCUAAACAUAUAGAUGAAAUCAAGUACAAUUUAGACAUAAUAUAAAACCAGAUAGUAAGUUUCAUAUUUAAUGUCACACCCUAAUACAACUCAUUCACUUGUAUAUUUAAUUUCAAGUUGUAACAUAUGAUUAUGCAUUCUUAUACCCUGCUGUCCCAUACUUUUCGAUUAAUUAUUAGGUUUAAUGAUAAAUUUAACCUUUAAUGUUUGAUUAUUUUAUUAAAAUGGUCCUAAUUGUGUUUUUGAGUUUUUUUUUUGCUAUCAACCUUUGUUCUUUUUUUUUCACUCUUCUUUUUUAAAUAGAUUUAAUGAAAGUACCUUAAAAAAGUGAAAUUUCAUAUGUCGAAUAUUUUUAAUGAGAUAUAAUUUAUUAGUUAGAAAAUCCAAUAAGAUAUUUAUAUUCUUGUGAAAAAAAUAAUACAUUAAAGUGAAAAAAAACUUAAUUUAAAGAAAAUAAAUGUAAUUAUUUUAAAAAAAUUAACUCAGUAGAAAAACUUUUCAGUAAACAAACAUAUGAAAGAUUAAAAACUUUUGAAAGAAAAAAAAUUGAAACAAAUGCUGAUGGUAAAGAAAAGCUCAAAAAUAGAAUUAGGGCCAUUUUGACAAAACAAGCAAAAAUUAGUGACCAAAUUUAUCAUUAAACCUAAUUAUUAUUAUUAUUAUUACUAUUAUUUAAUGCCAAUUAUAAUGGGUGACAGCAAAGAAAAGAGUCAAAAAAGACGGAUUUCUUAUUCAUGUCCACAACAUUCGUCUUUUUAUACAUGUAAUUAUUCAUUAUUUUCUCUUUCUUCUUCUUCUUCACAUACUUUCCCAUUAAUUCCUAUCACAAUUUUGCUUAUUUCUAUUUUCACCUUCUUCUUCACUCUUGUUAAUUUCUUUUCAUCUCCAAGGUCUAUCACUAAUUUUCAAGCAUCCAGUCAAGGAAAUUUCCUUUCAUUUGCUUCAUUCAUGACUAUACAAUGAUUGUUUUUUAUUAUCAGCUACUGUUAUAACAGCUUGCUUUGUAAGAUGGUCAAGGUAAUAAGAUCUGCAGCAAUGGUUUCCUCUAGUGAUUACCAACAGUUUUAGAUUUUAAGACAGGAUGAUCAGCAGACAUAAUCUACUAUAGUUAGAAAUUAAUACCAAAAGAGCUAUACUUUGUAAGAUGGUCAAGCUAAUAAGAUCUGAAGCAAUGAUUUCCUCUACUGAUUAUAGAUUUUAAGACAGGAUGAUCAGCAGACAUAGUUUACUAUAGAUACAAAUUAAUACAAAAAGAGCUACCCAGAAGCAAUAUAAUGUUGAAAUCUCAUGCUGUUGAACAUUUUACCUCUUCAUAUUCUGUAAUGAACUCUUGCACACUUGAAUCUAGCAUGUUAUAUAGUUUGAGGGGUUGAUUCUGGAUAUACAAUGGUGACCAGAAUUUCAUCAUGUUUCUGUCUGCCACCCAUCCAUAGCUCCAUCUAAUAGACGCCAUUGCUUGAAACUUGCAUUCAUGUUUUCCUUUUCAUGCUUACACCGACAUAUCAAUACUUCAUAAAAUAUCCAAUUCAUUCACAGAUUUUCAUUUUCUGCUACUGUUAUAUAUGAUUGCAUUGCAGGGACAUAGCAAUGGAGUACGUAGAGCCUGUUGUCGGCAUUGCAAAUUGUCUCGGAACUCCUGUUUGUAAAUAUUUGCAAUAUCACAGAAAGCUGAACUAUUAUAAGAGAAACUUCAAGAGGAUCAGAGAUGCAUUGAAUUGCAAAAUGGAAGAUAUAGAGCUGCAAUUGAAAGCAAAGCUUCUUCGUCCUCUGGGGAAGAUACCGAAGAAGGGAGUUGAAAAUUGGUUGAAAGCUGUGAAAGAGAUGAUUAGGGAAGCACAAGUUGUUGAAAACAAAGUCAGUAAUGGGAGAUAUCUCUGUCGUGCUUGCAACGGGAAGCUAGUUGAUGAAAAGACUCGAGAAAUGAAGGAAUUUCUUGAUAAUGCUCCUAAUGCCUCUGAAGGUCUUGUCAUGGAUGGUCCAAGUGCUGGGUUGCCACUGCCAACAUCAGAACUAGUUGGAGAAAGAGCUGUCAGAAAUGAGAUUUGGGCAUGUUUGAUGAGGAGGAGGUGAUCAAGAUUGGGGUUUGGGGGAUGGGCGGUGUGGGUAAAACCACUAUCAUAAAGCACAUCCACAAUGAUCUUUUGAAACAGCAAAGAUUCGAAAGGGUAAUCUGGGUUACCAUAUCAAAGGAGUUCAAUGUAAUGACGGUACAAGAUAACAUUGCAAUUGAGAGAACUGAAAUUGUGGAGAUUACGAAAUUUGAAGAGCAUUUGCAGCAAAAAUGGAGUGAUGGUUUGUGAUUCUCUCCAACUUAUCCUGAUUAUUAGAUGUCAUAAACUGGAGAGAAUUCCUCCAUUUGUUCCCCUUGUUGGCAAUGGGCAGCCAUUUGGAUAUGCUCCACCUUCUCUUACCAUCACGUCAAGCACAGAUUGGUGGGAAUCGUUGGAGUGGGAUGACCAUCCAAACUUUAAAAAUGUUCUUCAACCCCUUUGGAAGGAGAAGAGGUAUUGUUAGUUAUUUGCUUAAGGAACGUUAGUUUGAUUUCUUGUUUAUUUGAAAUUCAAUAAAUUUGUUUCACAGUUAGAGCAUAUCCCUAUUUUGAAGGGAAUUGUUAGUAUUCUGAUUCUCAGAAUUGAUAUUUUUGGAAACAACCUACGUUGUAACUCAGCUAUUUAAAAGGCUGAAUACUGAAUAACUUAAAAUAUACAUAUAUACAAAUAAAAACUAUUCUCUGCAGUUUCUUCUCUGUUAAAGCUUUAAACUCUUUCUUGUAUUGCUGCAACUGCAUUUUUAUUAUUAUUUUUUAUUCCAUUUUCUUCAUUUGAAUCUUACAAUUGGUAUCCGAGCUAUUUUCUUAAGGGAUCUGUGUGUGAAAUGGAGACCGAAACCAGCUUUUCUCAAAUUGCUCCUCCUGUUUUUGAUGGUCAGAAUUAUCAUUUGUGGGCAGUAAAGAUGGAAACUUACCUUGAGGCUUUGGAUCUUUGGGAGGCCGUGGAAGAGGAUUACGAAAUACCUCCGUUGCCGAACAAUCCUACCAUGGUCCAAAUCAAAACUCACAAGGAAAAGAAGACCCGAAAAGCUAAGGCAAAAUCAACUCUGUUUGCUGCUAUUUCAACAAACGUUUUCACAAAAGUUCUCACUCUCCGAUUAGCAAAAGAAGUGUGGGACUAUCUCAAAGAAGAAUAUGAAGGAAAUGACCGAAUACGAGGAAUGCAAGUGCUAAAUUUAAUACGGGAGUUUGAAUUGCAAAGGAUGAAAGAGUCAGAAACAAUCAAAGAGUACCAAGACAGAUUGUAUGAAAUUGCCAACAAGGUAAGGUUACUUGGCACUAAAUUUCCAGAUUCUAGAAUUGUUGAAAAAAUUCUUGUAACAGUGCCUGAAAGAUAUGAAGCUUCAAUAACCACCUUGGAAAAUACAAAAGAUAUGUCUAAACUCAGUUUGGCAGAAUUGAUGAAUUCUUUGCAAGCUCAAGAACAGCGAAGACUCAUGAGGCAAGAACAAAUAGUAGAAGGAGCUUUGCUAGCUAGGCACCAGGAAGGAGGAAAGCACAAGAAGAAUACUAAGAGAAAAACACAAGUAACAUCUGCAGCAAAUUCUUCGAACACUCACACUCGAGGUAAGGGUAGAAAAUCAAAGAAAGACUAUCCGCCUUGUCAGCACUGCGAAAAGAAAGGCCAUCCACCGUUCAGAUGUUGGUGGAGACCAGAUGCUAAAUGUACCAAAUGCAAUCAACUUGGACAUGAAGCCGUGGUUUGCAGAAGCAAUAAGUUGAAGCUUGAAGAAGUCCAUGUGGCUGAUCAAGACGAGGAAGAUCAGAUAUUUGUCGCAGCAUGUUUUUCAACUAAAAGUUCUUCAGAAAGCUGGUUGAUUGACAGUGGUUGUACAAACCAUAUGACUCUGGAUAAAACUCUCUUCAAGGAUUUGAAGCCGAGAGUCAUGAAGGUCAAAAUUGGAAAUGGUGGCUAUAUUUCCGCAAAAGGGUCGGGAACCGUGGCAUUUACAACAAGUUCAGGUACAAAAACAAUCUCAGAUGUACUUUAUGUUCCUGAAAUUGAUAAAAAUUUGUUGAGUGUUGGCCAGCUUAUAGAAAAAGGAUUUAAAGUAUCCUUUGAAAAUUCCUAUUGCUGCAUUUAUGAUGUUGCUGAAAAAAGAGAUUUUAUGGGUUAAAAUAAGGGGUAAAAGUUUCUCAUUUGAUCCAAUGGAGGAGGAGCAAAUAGCCUACGUCAACAAAGUUUGCACUACGGAAAUUUGGCACAAAAGGCUUGGUCACUGUCAUCUUCAAAGAAUGCUGAAAAUGAAGAAGAAAGACAUGAUAAAAGGAAUGCCAGAACUUGAUGAUCAUCUUCCAACUUGUGCCGCCUGUCAAUUCGGUAAACAAAAUAGGCUGCCGUUUCCGAAAUCAACUUGGAGAGGUUCUCAAAAGUUGCAACUAAUUCAUACUGAUGUUGCCGGACCACAAAGAACACCAUCUUUACAAGGUAGCAUUUAUUGUAUUAUUUUCAUUGAUGAUUUUACAAGAAUGUGCUGGAUUUUUUUCUUGAAAUUCAAAUCAGAAGUGGCUGGUGUGUUUUGGAAGUUCAAGAAAAUGGUAGAAAAUCAAAGUGGCUGCAAAAUUCAGGUGUUGAGAUCCGAUAAUGGGAAUGAGUAUACUUCGGCAGAAUUCAAUUUAUUUUGCGAAGAAGCUGACAUUAAACAUCAGCUUACUGCUUCAUACACUCCGGAACAAAAUGGGGUCAGCGAGAGAAAGAACAGGUCCGUAAUGGAGAUGGCUAGAUGUAUGUUGCAUGAAAAGAAGUUGCCAAAGACAUUUUGGGCAGAGGCAGCCAACACGGCAGUUUUUUUACAGAACCGACUUCCAACCAAAGCUUUGGAAGACAAGACUUCAUUCGAAGCUUGGUACGGUUAUAAACCUUCACUUAGCUUUCUUAAAGUAUUUGGAUGCAUAUGUUUUGUUCAUGUUCCAAAGGUUAAACGUGACAAACUUGAUAAAAAGGCAAUUCCUAGCAUCUUCGUGGGAUAUAGUUCAGUUUCAAAAGCCUACAAGGUUUAUCAUCCUCAAACCGAAAAAUUGACAAUUAGCCGAGAUGUACAUUUCAACGAGGACGAGCAGUGGGAUUGGAUGAUUUCAUGAAAAAAAGAGAUGUCUCAAGAACCGAAAGGUGCUUUUGAAACAACCGACGAAUGGAUGAUGAUCCUCCAGUUAGAGGUACAAGGCUACUUUCAGAUAUCUAUCAAAGAUGCAAUGUGGCAGUUUGCGAACCAGCCAGCCAUGAUGAUGCAUUAAAAGAUCCAAAAUGGAGGAAAGCAAUGGAGGAAGAAAUGACAAUGAUUAACAAAAAUGAGACAUGGGAGCUGGUAGAAAAGCCUGAAGGGAGAAAAGUUAUUGGAGUCAAAUUGGUGUUCCGAACAAAGCUUAAUGCCGACAGCUCCGUCAACAAAUACAAAGCAAGGCUCGUCGUUAAAGGGUAUGCUCAAAUUUAUGGUGUUAAUUAUUCUGAUACGUUUGCUCCUGUUGCAAGAUUAGAUACGAUCAGAUUGUUGCUUGCAAUAUCGGCACAAAAAGGCUGGAAAGUGUUCCAAUUAGAUGUCAAAUCAGCGUUUUUGAAUGGCGAAUUACAAGAAGAAAUAUACGUGGAGCAACCUGAGGGAUUUGUGAAGCAAGGCGAAGAAGAAAAAGUUUACCUGCUCAAAAAGGCUCUCUAUGGCCUAAAACAAGCUCCAAGAGCUUGGUACAGCAAGAUCGAUGCUCAUUUGUUAAGUCUUGGCUUUGUUAAAAGCUUCUAAGAAUCCACUCUUUAUGUGAAACAUAAAGAAGUAGAUACUCUCAUUGUGUCACUAUAUGUUGAUGAUCUUUUGGUGACAGGAAAUAAUACAAGGCUGGUUGAGAAAUUUAAACAAGAAAUGAUGCAAGUGUUAUGGCUAAAAAAGAUAAUGUGUGACUUGCAUAUGGAGCAGAAAAACGAUACUGAGAUUUUUGUUGACAAUCAAGCAGCUAUUGCAAUCUCAAACAAUCCAGUAUUCCAUGGGAAGACCAAGCAUUUCAACAUCAAACUUUACUUCUUGAGGGAAGUACAACAGAAUGGUGAAGUUACUUUGGUUUACUGCAAGUCUGAAGAACAACUAGCAGACUUAUUUACAAAGUUGCUUCUAGCCAACAUGUUCGAGUAUCUAAGGCAGAGAAUUGGAGUUUGCAGUUCCUUAACCAAGGAGGAGUGUUAGUUAUUUGCUUAAGGAACGUUAGUUUGAUUUCUUGUUUAUUUGAAAUUCAAUAAAUUUGUUUCACAGUUAGAGCAUAUCCCUAUUUUGAAGGGAAUUGUUAGUAUUCUGAUUCUCAGAAUUGAUAUUUUUGGAAACAACCUACGUUGUAACUCAGCUAUUUAAAGGGCUGAAUACUGAAUAACUUAAAAUAUACAUAUAUACAAAUAAAAACUAUUCUCUGCAGUUUCUUCUCUGUUAAAGCUUUAAACUCUUUCUUGUAUUGCUGCAACUGCAUUUUUAUUGUUUUUUUUAUUCCAUUUUCUUCAUUUGAAUCUUACAGGUAUGAACUAUGAACCAUUUAUGGUUUAGUUUAUUUUUUUAUUUUGAUAAAUCUAAUUUCUCCAUUUUAAUACAAUUUCAGGUAUAUUUUUUAUGUUAAUGAAGAGUAAGAUGAAAGGGUUGGUGGGAAAGGAGGAGGGGGAGGAUAGUGCAAAAGAGAGGAGAAAAGGAAUGACGGAAGGAAGAGGUUAAGAGGGUCCACAUUGUAAACAUUGUCCCUCUCUUGCCAUUCCUUCUAUUCUCUUUUUCUUAUAAUGUAAAAGUUAUGCCAAGUAACUGAAGAGGUAAAAAAACAAAUAAAUUUGCUUAAUAUUUUUUCUAUGUUUGUUUUGGAAGAAUGAGUAUUUGAAUAUGGAUAAUAUAGAGAAAUUUGGUAGGGUUUAGAAAUAAGAUCAAGAUGAAAAAUAAAAUAUAAUUUAAAUAUCAGUUGAUAAAUUAAGUCUAUUCAAAAUAAUGGUAUUUUAGAUAGCAAAGGUAUUGGAAAUUUAAAGUGAUAAAUUACCCUUUUAUCAUUAUAAGUAAAUACCAGAAUUUCUUUUUAAAUAAAAUAAAAAAUAUCAUUAUUUCUUCUUUCAACAACCAUUCUAUUCUAAAAAAAAUAUCAUUAUUUCUUUUAGUGCAUUAAGGGGAAUUAUGAUUAUGGUAUGUUAGACAUCAGAAGAACCUAUAUAUUCUUAAAAGUAAAGAUAUGAAAAAGCAGAGUGUUGAAAUGACUAUUCAAUGACAUUUAAAAUAAUAUAUGGGUGUCCAAAAUUCAGAUUCAAUGGCAUAAGCAAAGCAAAUAACAAAGACAAUGUCACCACAGAAACUGUAAACUAAAUGAAAUAUCGUGCAAGGUUGAUCCAGAGAUAAAAAAUAAAAUCUUUAUUUAAAGUUCAAGGUCUUUGAAAUGAAGAUACCCAAGCAAGCAACAAGGUAUCUUCCAAAGCAAUACAUUGCAAAUGAUUCAUAGCAAUCAUGUAGAAUCGAACAAUCAACACUAACUGAUGGAUGCACCAAUGAUACAAACUGUUAAAAUAAUCCAGGUUAAUAAGACUGAAAAUAACAUAUAAUUACACUAAAUGCAUGGUGCAAAAUUAACAUGUUGCAUGUUGUGCCAAAACUAUACUCAAAACUUCAAUAGUAACCUAAGUUGAAUAUAGGUCAAUUUUUUUUGUAACAUAAAUAUGCUACUGCUGGUUUUUACUAAUUCCUAGCACAUAAGUUGCUGAACAGCUCAGUUUAACAAGAAGGUUUAACAGUGUUACUCAAUUGGACUAAUUUCGUUAUCUAUGUUUGUAUGAAAUUUUGCCUACAUACCAAAUCCUUUAAAAUGUUUUACUAAUUUUGAAUAAUAUUAUAAGACAUUGGGGUGAUAAAAAUUAAAUACAACUUUAUGUUUUUGUUAUACCUAAUUAAAGUAUUUUACCAGUAUAUUAGACAUUCUUAUACCCUAGUUUCCCAUACUUUCCCAUUAUUAUCGUGAUGAUGAUAAUGAUGAUGUAACAAUUGAGCACUAAGAUCACUGUAAUACUUGUUUUAAUUGGUAUAAUAAUAAUUUUAGUCCUUUUUUUUCUUAUAUUUUUUAUCAAUUAGACUCUGAUUUUGUAUAAAAUCAUUUAAAAAAAUCAAAAUUUUAAAAAUAUAAAAAUGUUUAUAAAAAUUAUAGAAAAAUAAAAAUAUAGAGAAAUUUUGUAGGGCCCAAAAACAAUUAUCUCUCAUUUUCUCACUUUAUUUAUUUUUGAAAUUUUUAUCUACUUUUAUUUAAUUUUUUAUUUUAUAAUAUUCUAAAAUUUUAAAAAUAAUUUUAAUUUUUUACCAUUUUAUAUAUUUUCAAGAUCAAAUUGACUGAAAGUAUAAAAUUUGAGGAUUAAAAUUGUUAUUAUAUCAAUUAAAAAAGUGUCACUUAACAUUUGAGUGACAAGAAAAAAACAAUUUCAAAAACAUUAGUGAUGAAAUUAUAACUUUUUUAAUUAAGUGACUGAAACAAAAAUACCCAUAUUUUAGUGACUAAUAGUGUAGCCUUUUUUUGGUAAAAUGAAAAUUUGACCCUGAUUUUGUAUUAAAAAAACUCAAAAUUAUUUAUAAAAUAGAAAAAUUAUAUUAUUCAGCAUAGGGAAUUUUUACCCAAAUCAUAUAAAAAUAAUUAAUUAUGAAAAUGGUAUGGAAAAUAAACUAAUUACAAAAAUAAAGCAUUUGAUAUAAUGUUCUGUUGGUGUUCCUGACAUAUUGGUAGUACUAGAUUAAAAUGUGACAACCUAAAAUAUUCAAGGACUUGAUGUAACGCCCCAAAAUUUUAAUUUUGAAUAUUGUGAAUGUGUAACAUAAAUAUCUGUCAACUUUAGUAGUUAUAUGUUCUAAAAGUGUUCGGGAGGUCCCAAGUUCAAGUCAAGAUUUGGGCAAAUUUUGAUAUGUAAAUUUAAAAAAUAUUCAAAGACUUGAUAUGUAAAUUUCUCAUUUUGAUUGGCUGUUGAAAAUAAGCUCUAAAGAUGUUGUGUGACAGUGUGGCGACACAAAAUCUUAAAUAGGGUUAAUUUCUUUGUAAACUAUCAUUGUUUAUUAUUUUGUUUUUAUCUCCCUUCAACACCAAAAUUACAAAAGUUUCCUACCUAUUAAUCCAGUUCAAAUUAUGUCUAGCAUAACCGUUAACAUUAUUGUUAGUAAUUUUCUUUGACUCAUAUAUAUAUAAUAAAUUUUUCUAAAAUUUUUCUAAUUAUAAUUUUAUAGGAUACCGUAAAUUAAAUUGAUAAUAAGAAUAAUUAUAAUGCUAUCUGUAAUGGCAGAAGACAGCAAAGAAAAAGGCUAAAAGAAAAAGUAAUAAAAAUAGGAUUCCUUACUAAUAAUUCUGCCUUUGUGGAUCCUACCACUGACUUCAUAAUUUCCCUGUUUUUAUCUUCACUUUCUUCUUACUUCUUACUUCUUCUUCACUGCUUUUAAUUUGUUUCGAUGUCCAAGGUCUAUCACAAAUUUUGAAGCAUCCUGUCAAGGUAAUUUUCUUUCAUUUGCUUAAUUCAUGACAUGCAUUUCUUUGCUUUUGAUUAUCUGCUACUGUUAUAGCAGCUAGCUUUGUAAGAUUGUCAAGGAAGUCAACUUCACUGCUUCAUUUUCAGUUCUAAUCUCUCAAAACUUUUCAGCCACUAAGUCAGGUAAUAAGAUCUGAAGCAAUGAUUUCCUCUAGUAAUUAUCAACAGUUUUAGAUUUUAAGAGUGGAUGACCAGCAGACAUAAUCUACUAUAGAUAGAAAUUAAUACAAAAACAGCUACCCAGAAGCAAUAUAAUGUUGAAAUCUCAAACUGUCAACAUUUUAACUCUUAAUAUUCUGUAAUGAACUCUUGCACACUUGCAUCUAGCAUUUUAUACACAUCGAGAGCUUGAUUCUGGUGACCAGAAUUUCAUCAUGUUUCUGUCUGCCACCCAUCCAUAGCUCCAUCUAAUAAACGCCAUUGCUUAAAACUUGCAUUCAUGUUUUCCUUUUCAUGCUUACACUGUCAUAUCAAUACUUCAUAAAAUAUCCAAUUCAUUCACAGAUUUUCAUUCUCUGCUACUGUUAUAUAUGAUUGCAUUGCAGGGACAUAGCAAUGGAGUACGUAGAGCCUGUUGUCGGCAUUGCAAAUUGUCUUGGAACUCCUGUUUGUAAAUAUUUACAAUAUCACAGAAAGCUGAACAAUUAUGUGAGAAACUUCAAGAGGAUCAGAGUUGAAUUGAAUUGCAAAAUGGAAGAUAUAGAGCUGCAAUUGAAAGCAGAGAUUCUUCGUCCUCUGGGGAAGAUACCGAAGAAGGGAGUUGAAAAUUGGUUGAAAGCUGUGAAAGAGAUUAUGAGGGAAGCACAAGUUGUUGAAAACAAAGUCAGUAACGGGAGAUAUUUCUGUCGUGCUUGCAACGGGAAGCUAGUUGAUGAAAAGACGCGAGAAAUGAAGGAAUUUCUUGAUAACUCUCCUAAUGCCUCUGAAGGUCUUGCCAUGGAUGGUCCAAGUGCUGGGUUGCCACUAGAAACAUCAGAACUAGUUGGAGAGGAAGCUGUCAGAAAAGAGAUUUGGGCAUGUUUGAUGCAGGAGGAGGUAAGCAAGAUUGGGGUUUGGGGGAUGGGCGGCGUGGGUAAAUCGACCAUCAUGAAGCACAUCCACAAUGAUCUUUUGAAAGAACAACGAUUUGAAAGGGUGGUUUGGGUUACUAUAUCAAAGGAGUUCAAUAUUGUGAAGUUACAAAAUGAUAUUGCAAGUGCAUUGAAUGGAAAGAUGCCCGAAGAAGCAAACAAGGUAAGACGAGCAGCAAUCUUGUCCGAAAUGCUGAAGAGAGCAGGAAAACAUGUUCUAAUCCUAGAUGAUGUGUGGAGUGAAGUCUCGUUGGAAGAAAUUGGGAUCCCUAAGCCAAGUAGCAGCAAUGGGUACAAGUUGGUGUUGACAACCCGUGUGCAGCAAGUUUGUAAGUCUAUGGGCUGUAAGGUGAUAAAAGUGAAGCCCCUUUCAGAAGAAGAGUCAUUGAUACUACUCUUGAGUGAAGUUGGACCUAACAUCGUGCAAAAUCAAACUUUAAUGCCAACUUUGAAGCUUGUUGUCAAGGAAUGUGCAGGUCUGCCUCUUACAAUUGUCGUCAUAGCUGGUACAUUGAGAGGAGAAGAUGACCCUCUUAUUUGGAAAAACACACUCAGGGAAUUGAAAGAGAGAAUAGGGAAAGUGAAAGAAGGGGAAGAUAAAGUGAUCGAGAGUUUGAAAGUUAGCUUUAAUCACUUAAAAGACGAGAAAAUGAAGCAUUGUUUCUUACAUUGCUCAUUAUAUCCUGAAGAUUUUCAAAUUGGAAAGGAUGGGCUAAUUGAGUGCUGGAUUGAAGAGGGAUUCAUAGAUGAUAUGACUACAAGACAAGAAAUGAAAGAUAAGGGCCAUGUUCUUUUGAAGAAAUUAGAAGAUAAUUGCUUGUUGGAAAAUGUCUCGAGUAAAAGAGUGAAAAUGCUUGAUGCAGUGAGAGACAUGGCAUUGUCGAUCACAAGAAUGAAUCCUUGAUAUAUGAUACAAGCAGGUUCGCAAUUAUAAGAGUUACCAGAAAAGGAGCAAUGGAGUCCGGAUAUUGAGAAAGUGUCACUUAUGUAUAACUCCAUAUUAGAAAUUUCCAUAGAUGUGCUGCCCACAAAAUGUCAACUCUCACAACCUUGUUAUUGCAGGGUAGCCCUAUAAAGAAGAUCCCAUAUUCUUUCUUCACAAACAUGCCCUAUCUUAGUGUUCUCAAUUUGUCCACUACUAAGAUCAAGAGUCUACCAAAUUCCAUCUCUGAACUAAAGAACCUCACAACAUUGUUGCUUUGUGGCUUCGAGAAUUAAGAGAUCUGCUCCAAAUGAACCAAAUCCACUCAACCUAUUACUGAAACUUCAAGGAAAAUGUGAGAGCAUAGAUUAAUUAUUUUUUCAUAAGUUAAUUGCACCAAAUAUUUAAAUUAUUACCUGCAUUCUAAAUUAAUUCAUUAAAUUUUAAAUCAUUUUAGUUACAUUUCUAAACUAAAGAGAAUAUAUCAAUUAAGUUUUUCUUUUUUUAAAACCAUUAAUUUAAUGAUAAAAGGACAUCUUCAGUCACUCUCAAUUUUAAAAUUGAGUAAAUUAGUCACUUUUAAAAAAAUUGGAACAAUUUAAUCUCUGUCAAUUUUGAAAGUGAGCAACAAAGGACAAUUAAUCACGAGGUUCAUGUCUUUCAUCAAUUGUGCAUAAUUUUGAUUGGUACAAUAACACAUUUAGCCCUUGAUGUUUACAUAUUUUGUUAGUUUGGUCUUAAUUCUAAAAAAAAUCAAUAAAUUCAGUCUCAACAUUUACACAUUUACGAAAAUAUGACGGGCUAAAUUUGUUAUCAUAUCAAUCAAAUUUAUGUAAAAUUGAUGAAAAACAUUAAUAUUGUGAUUAAUUGCUCACUUUCGAAAUUAGUAGGGAUUAAAUUGCUUCGAUUUGUUUAGAGGGACCAAGUUACUGAAUAUCAUAACUGAAAGGGACUAGAGAGGUUGUUUUACCUAGUUUAAUAAUUAAAUGACAUGUUAAAUCUUAUGUGACAUAAUUUAAAAUGAAAAUUUGAAAAAAAGAAGAAGGAAGAUUGUAAAAAUAGUUGUUUUAAAAAUCAUGGCUUUGAAGUUUUUACAAAUUUUUUAUUGCUCAUUUUUUUAAAAUUUCAGUUUUAUUUAAUUUUAGUUUCUUAAAAAUUUUCAUUUUAAAAUUAGCUAUAUAAAAUUUACCGUGUCAUUUAAUGAUUUUAAUAGUAAAAUGACAUGAUUAAUAUAACAUCAAUAGUUUAGAAAUGUAAUUAGAUAAGUUUGAAGUUUGAAAAUAGAUUUAAAAUAAUGGUCAUAAUUUAGGGGUGGUUGAUGUAAUUAACUCAUUUCUAAUGGUACUAAUAAUUAAGGCUGCUAUAGGACAAAGUGAAAAAGUGGAAAGCAGGGUUAAAAUAUGACUCAAAGACUCACCUUUUUCUAAGUUUGCCAUUACCAAACGAUGAAGCAAAAGAAAUGAAGGGCCAUUACCAGAAUUUCAUCAUGUUUCUGUCUGCCACCAAUCCAUAGCUCCAUCUAAUAAACGCCAUUGCUUGAAACUUGCAUUCAUGUUUCACUUUCAAUCAUUUUCGUGUCCACCUUCAACCAUCAGCCAUCACUCACCAUUGCUUAAGCUAUUUUGCAUUUUAGACCAUAAAUUACUGAGUUGAAAACUCUAGUGUCCUUCUGCAACCUUUUUUGGUCCAGGCAGGGCAGGCUGGGCUCAAAAAUUUGGGUCGACCUUGAAUAAAACAUUUAAACCCAUUUUUCAUAUUAGGCCAAGCUUGAGUAAAAAUAACAGUUAGCAAUACCUUUGUUGGAACAAUGGCAGCAGCAAACAUCAAACAAAGUUGCAAAACAGAAUUUGCAAAACUGAAGCAAGAAGAAUCGAAGCAAAGAAGAAACAAGCAAGCAAAGCAGUGAACAAAGUUGAAUACUCAGCAAAAUUGUAACUGUAACACUUUUCAUUCAAAAUUUGAAUAUAUAAAAGGUUACAAUUUUUGAAUCAUUUGACAGUUACCUAAUGACAUAACUGCUCCCACUUAGCUAAACUAAAACAUGCUUAAGUCAAAUACAAAAUAAGCUGACAUAUCAGCUUUUACAUCAUCAAUCCAAUCACUAGCUUAUUCCUACUUACUUUGUAAGCUAGUUACAAGAGAACAAAACUAAAUAACAUUAAAACAAAACAACAAAAACUGGUUGCUUCAUUUGGUCCAAAAAACCAGUCUUGCGCACCAAGCAAAAUGAGCUGAGCUCGAUAGCUGCUGCUGGUCUAAACAGUAGCUUGCUGCUGGCUUCAUGUUGCACUGCAGUCCAGCUCUCAACACUCCUCCUUGGACUGUAUGCAACACAUUCCAAUUUCACCUCUCAAUGAUUCAAAUCGAGCAGCCCCUAAGGGCUUGGUCAGUAUAUCAGCCAAUUAUGUCCCUGAGCUGCAAUGCACAAGGCUGACUUCCUUUGCUUGUUCAGCCUCUCGAACAAAAUGCAGUUUAAUUUUAAAAUGCUUGGUUUUACCAUGAAACACAGGGUUCUUGGCUAUGGCAACUGCUGAUUGGUUGUCCACCCAAAUUUCAGUUGCAUCAGCUUGUGUUUCAUUGAGAUCCUGAAGCAGCUUCCUAAGCCAAAUGGCCUGAUUGACUGCUGCUGAUGCAGCAAUGUAUUCUGCUUCAGCUGUGGAUUGAGCAACUGUUUGUUGCUUCUUUGAACUCCAGCAAAACAUGCCCGAUCCAAGUGUGAAGAAGUAUCCAGAGGUACUCUUCAUGUCAUCGAGGGAUCCUGCCCAGUCACUAUCAUAGUAGCCUUCUAGUUUUAGUUUCUUCCCACUUUCGAACAUCACACCAAGGCUAGCUGUGCCUUUGAUGUAUCUAAGAACCCUUUUUGCAGCCUUCAAAUGUGUCUCAUUACAGCAAUGCAUGAACCUCGAUAGCAGACUGACACCAAACAUGAUGUCUGGCCUGGUUGCUGUUAGAUACAACAGACAACCUACUAGGCUUCGAUAGUGUCUCUCAUCAACCCUUUGCUGAUCACCACUACUGGUCAACUUUUCUCCAUGAGCCACAGGUUUACUGACUACUUUACAGUUGUGCAUGCAAAAUUUGCCUAAAAUCUUCAAAGCAAAUGUGUGUUGGCUGAUGAAGAUACAUCGAUCAGACUGGUGAACUUCCAUGCCAAGGAAGUAAGUCAUGAUCCCCAAAUCUGUCAUCUCAAACACUUGCUGCAUUUGAACCUUGAACUCAUCAAUGAGCUCAACUUUGUUCCCUGUCACUAACAGGUCAUCCUAUACAAGGAGACAAUCAACAAGGUUUCAAAUUCUGACCUCUUAACAUAUAGAGUAGGUUCACUAAGGCUCUUUACAAAUCCAAGCUUGGUCAGGUAAGCAUCAACUCUGUCAAACCAGGCCCUUGGUGCCUGUUCCAGACCAUAGAGGGCCUUUCUCAACUUGUACACUUUGUCUUCAUGUCCAGCAACUUCAAAACCUUCAGGUUGCUCGAUGAAGAUCUCCUCCUUGAGAAAACCAUUCAGGAAUGCUGAUUUAACAUCCAAUUGGUGAACUCUCCACUGCUUCUGAGCUGCUAAAGCAAAUAGUAGCUUGAUUGUGUCCAGUCUUACCACUGGAGCAAAGGUCUCCAAGAAGUCCACACCAUACUGCUGACUGUAACCCUUCACCACAAGCCUGGCCUUGUGCUUGUUCAGUGAGCCAUCAGUAUUGUACUUGGCCCUGUACACCCAUUUAACCCCAAUAACCUUCUUAUGUUAUGGUCUGCUCACCAGUUCCCAUGUUUCAUUUUUAUUGAUCAUUUCCAGCUCAGCUUCCAUAGCAUUCAUCCAGCUUCUGUCCUUGGCAGCCUCUUCAAAGUCUGAGGGCUCAAUCACAGCAACAUUGCACCUCUGGUAGACAUCAGCUAAAGUUUUGGUGCCCCUCACUGGUGUAUCAUCAACAGCAUCUUCACUUGGUCUCUCUUCUGCUGAUUCAAUAACCAAGUCUAACUGGUCCAAUUCAGACAAGUCAGCCUCAACAUCAUUCCAAUUCCACACUUUUUCCUCAUCAAACUUUACAUCCCUACUGACUAAAACCUUCUUUGCUGUAGGAUCAUACACUCUAUAGCCCUUCUUGUUGCUGCUGUAGCCAACAAAGAUUCCUAGAGUAGCCCUGCUCUCGAGCUUGGUCCUCUUUUCCACUGGAAUAAGAGCAUAACACACACAGUCAAACACUUUCAAGUGUGUUACCACAGGUUUGACUCCAUGCCAGGCCUCAAAAGGAGUCUUAUUCUUGACUGCUCGAGUUGCCAGUCUGUUGAGCAGAUACACUGAGGUGUUGACUGCCUCAGCCCAAAACUGACUUGGAAGCCUGCCUUGAAACAAGAGGCACCUGGCCAUGUUCAGCACAGUCCUAUUCUUUCUCUCACAGACUCCAUUCUGUUGAGGAGUAUAGACUGUUGUGAGCUGAUGGUGAAUCCCAGCACUGUCACAAAGCUUCUGAAAUCUCUCAGACACAUAUUCAGAGCCAUUAUUAGUCCUCAAGGCUCUAAUUUUACAGCCUGACUGAUUUUCAGCAUAUGCCUUGAAUUUGCAGAAGGCUUCAAACACUACUGACUUCUACUUCAAGAAGUAGACCCAGCACAACCUAGUUAAAUCAUUAGACCCAGCACAACCUAGUUAAAUCAUCUAUGAACAGGACAAAGUACCUGUUCUCAUUGAUUGAAGGCAUUCUCAUAGGACCACAGACAUCAGAUUGCACCAAUUCGAGCUUGUUUUGAGCUCUCCAAGCACUGUCAGCAGGAAAAGGCAGUCUAGCCUGCUUACCAAGCUGACAAACCUCACAAACAUUCCCACUAACCUCAAUUUCUGAAAUGUCAUCAACUAAAUUCAGCCUAUGUAGCAGAUCAAGAGAUCUGAAAUUGGCAUGGCCUAGUCUCCUAUGCCACAAGUCAGUGCUGUCAGCAAGGCUGAUGUAUGCCUUUCUUUCUACUUGGCUAACAUCCAGCAUGAAGCAUCUAUCAAUCAUAGAGACUGAGAUUAACUCCAGACCAUUCAUGUCUUGAACAGUACAGCAACCAUCCUUAAAAACCAAUGUAUAGCCCUUUUCAACUAAUUGGCCUACACUAAGCAAAUUCUGGUCUAAGUCAGGUACAAAAAGCACAUCUGAGAUCAGCUUGUUACCUGAACCAGUGCUAACCAGCACACUACCCUUGCCCUUAGCCUCAAUCAGCUUGCCAUCUCCAAUUUUGAUCCUCGAGUGGAAGCUUCUGUCUAAGCCCUUGAACAGCUUCUCAUCUGCUGCCAUAUGGUGUGAGCAGCCACUGUCUAGUAACCAAUCGUUGCUGGCCUUUGUUGUGCCAACAAAACAGGUUGCUGUGAACACAUGCUCCUCCUGAGCUUGCAUGUCCUCAGCUGGUCUAGCUUGUUGUAGAGCAGCCUCCCUUGGUUUGCCCUUGCACACCUUCUCCACAUGGCCAAACUGCUUGCACUUUCUGCACUGAAUAUCUGGCCUAAACCAGCAAUACUUUUCUGAAUGUGUUGUCUUCUUACAGUGAACACAUGGUGGGAACACCCUUUUUACUUCAUCUCUUCCUGACUUGACCCUUCUAUUAUGCCAAGGCUUCUUGUCUUUUGCACUCACACUCAAGCCUUCACUAGCUUUAGCCUGGAAGGCGGCUUCAGGAUUCUCCUCCUGCCUAUUUGCCCUCCUUUGCUCAAGUGCAUACAGGGAGUUUAUCAGCUCUGAUAAUGAAAUGGCUGAUAAGUCCCUCGAGUCCUCAAGUGAAGAGAUUUUUGACUCGAAUUUCUCAAGGAGAGUUGUGAUGACCUUUUCAACAACUCUGCUCUCUGUGAAGUCCACUCCCAGGAGCCUAAUGUUGUUGACAAUGGCCAUUAUCCUAUUUGAGUACUGCUUGAUGGUUUUAGACUCCUUCAUCCUCAAAUUUUCAAAGUCUCUCCUGAGGUUGAUCACCUGCUGUUGCCUUGUCUUGUUUGUGCCCAUGAACUCCUCUUUUAGCUUGUCCCAGGCCUGCUUUGGUGUGUCACAGGCCAUGAUGUGAGUAAAGAUCACAUCAGACACUCCAUUUUGCAGACAGGCCAUAGCCUUGUGCUUCUUGGCUCGUUCCUCAGCAUGCUGCCUCAUCUGUGCAAUGGUGGGAUUGGCUCUCAAUGGAGGUGGUUCAACAUCAUUCUCGAUCACACUCCAAAGAUCAUGUGCCUAGAGGUAAGUCUUCAUUUUAACUAUCCAAAUGUGAUAGUUCUCUCCAGUGAACACUGGUGGAGGUGGUGGAGUGAAACUCAUCUUGCUAGACUAAGUUUAAGUGCUUCGAUCCUUUUUAGUUUUAAGCUUUGCUAUUGGUUUUGAUUUGAACUCAACAGAAUGCAAACAAAGGCCCCUCAAAGAUACGGGCUCAUGAUACCAUUUAUUGGAACAAUGGCAGCAGCAAACAUCAAACAAAGUUGCAAAACAGAAUUUGCAAAAUUGAAGCAAGAAGAAUCGAAGCAAAGAAGAAACAAGCAAGCAAAGCAGUGAACAAGUUGAAUACUCAGCAAAAUUGUAACUAAACAUUAACGCUUUUCAUUCAAAAUUUGAAUAUAUAAAAGGUUACAAUUUUUGAAUCAUUUGACAGUUACCUAAUGACAUAACUGCUCCCACUUAGCUAAACUAAAACAUGUUUAAGUCAAAUACAAAAUAAGCUGACAUAUCAGCUUUUACAUCAUCAAUCCAAUCACUAGCUUAUUCCUACUUACUUUGUAAGCUAGUUACAAGAGAACUAAACUAAAUAACAUUAAAACAAAACAACAAAAACUGGUUGCUUCAUUUGGUCCAAAAAACCAGUCUUGCGCACCAAGCAAAAUGAGCUGAGCUCGAUAGCUGCUGCUGGUCUAAACAGUACCUUGUUGCUGGCUUCAUGUUGCACUGCAGUCCAGCUUUCAACAACCUUGUCUAAGCCUGAGCCAAAUCCGGCCUAUGAGAUAAACCAUUCAGUAUGAGAUAAACCAUUCAGAUUGAACUACCGGUAACAUUAUGAGUUUCUGGUCCAUCCUUCAUGAGGAUGCAAAGAACAAAAUUAACUAACCUUUGCCACUAUAGAAUGUUUGUUCAACUAAAUAAAAUAAAGAUUGUCCUAUAACUCUAGUUCCAUUCAAGUUAAAACUUCUUCAGGCAAGAUAAUAGUAACAUAAUGCUAAAAGAACCAGCACAACCACCACAGCAGGAGCUGCCCAUAUCCAAUAGUUCAUCGACUUUUUCUGUUUCAGGAUGGCUUUUGGGAGGGACUCGGUUCUUUUGGUUCAAUUCCUGUACCUACUAGUAUUCUCCUUUGGUACUUUACCCUUCAUUGAAACGGUAGCAGAAACAGGUGCAUCAGUAUUAACAUCGACCUUCUCGGGUUCUGAAUCUUGUGCCACAGCUUCAAUCGGUUCUUCGGGAUUCACAGCAUUUGUCGAUCCUGCCACCUUCUUCUUAGCUCUCCUUUCACGCUCCUGAAAAAAAGAUCGAAAGAGUUUCAGUUUCAACCCACAAACUAAUAACCGAUAAAGUGAAACCAGAUAAGGAAGCAAAUGAUUUCCUUGAGCUUCUUUUCGGCUUCCAUUUGAGCUCUUCUAGCUGCUUUGGCUACUGCUUUUUCAGCCAACUUCUUUUUUCUUUCCAUGGCUUGCUUUGCUUUCGCUAUUUCCUCUUCUCUCUUCAAUUCUUUCAAUUCUUUCAGUUUUGCUGCAUUCGACUCCAUUGCUAUAGUCUGGGCAUCUUUUGGGGCCUUUUUGACUAGUUUAGUAUCUCUUUGGGGACCUGAUUUGACCUCUUCCUUUGGUUGUCUUACACUAGGUCUCAGAAUUGUUUCAGUUUCAGAAUCCACUGGUUUCUCGGGUGCAACCAGUGGUUUCUCAUCAGGAUUCCUUAUCCGACCAUCCCGACUCUAUAGCCGACUGUCCAGGGAUGGCAGAAUUCUUUUCUCAUAAUCAUCCCUGAAGGCUUUAUUGCCAUUCCAGAGAGCCAUAAACUUCUCAACCUAAAUUUAUAAAGCAAAUGAGAUACAUUGGAAGUAACAUUAACAAGCAGUCUCAACAAACCUCCACAAUUGAUAACUCCUCAAGAGCCUUAUAUCUUCCUGUGCAGCAAGCAGUUUGGCGUUGUGUACAAUGGUACGGCUCUGGUAAAAGUGAAAAUUUUGAAAUUUUGAGAAAGAAAGUAAUUAAAACGAUUCAUUAGUAACAUCAUGCACAGGAAUAUUGGAAGUAGACAUAGUAUAUAUCAUUUAAUAUCUUAAGCGAUACUAGUUAUUCAUGCAUAAAUGAAAAUGUUCCGACAUGGUAAAGUAUUAUACGAAACAGAUAUCUUAAGAGUUGAAGCAAAGAAAAGGCUAUACCCCCUAAUCAAUUUGUUUCCUCAGCUCCUGAAUGUAUUCAAAAGCUUUGUCCCUCUUCAAGGUCAUAGCUUUCAGCUCAUUUUGUAAAGACUCGAUUUUAGUCUCAGUUUCAUCCAAUUUAUCUUUAAUUUGCUUUUUUUUUGGACCAGACUGCAUGCUGCUCCUUCCUUACUCCAUUCAAAUCAACACCCAUAAGCUACAAUAAACAAAUAUAGCAUUUUUUUUAGUGUAACACAAUGGUGCUCGAUAUUCACAGAAAAAAAGAGGAGCAAACUCCGAUGGAUAAAGGCAGAAAAUAGAAUUAUCUUACUUUAACUUGAUCUUGAAUGUCUUCUUUCUGGCCUAAUGAAUCUUGAGUCUUUGAUCUCAUUGCAGCAUUAGCAAUAACUUUCUCGCGGGUUCCCUCCAGGUGUUUGAUUGCUUUAAGGAUUCGCUUCUCCUCACUCAACGAGAUGCUUUCAUGCUGAAUGCGAUAUUGCAAGCUAUGAAUCUGCAAUUCAUAAAUUCCAUUGAAGUGACUAAGGGAGAAAAAGAAAAGCAUUAACUGCGGCAGAAAACAAUGAAUAAAUCUAAAUGCAGUUAAAGUUUAUAGAAGUAUCAUACAAUAAAAUCGAGCUCUUCCUCGGAUGCACAUAAACUAAGUCGAUUAUCAACAUCUUUAUUAUUGCGAAGCUUGCCUAAAGCCUGCUGCAGUGGUUCUAUUUCCCUUUUUUUCUCAUCUAAAAUCAUCUUAAAUUGCUCAAAAUCAACAUUCAGCGCUCUCACUUGCGAAAGCAUCUCUGAUCGUUCUGCCUGCAUUAGCAUAAAGAUAAUCACAAUUUAGCCAACUGACAGCGCCAUUAUUUUUUACUUCUUUCACAUUUUUUCUCAAAUUCUGAAGGCAAACACAACAAUAACGAAUCAUUAUACCAAUAGCAUAUCUGUAAGUGUCAUUACAUUUCGAGGACAUACAUUUCGAACAUUCAAAUAAAUGCUUCCGGGUUUAAUUCCCCUACAUCCAUCAUAUUACAAAAAGCACACCGUAAUGACAUAAUGAUAGGGCUAAUAAUUAUCUUAAAAGUAUGACAAUUAAUGGCUACCAUGCUAUACAUCUAAUUGAAAUUUAUAACUUUUCACUCACCCUUUUUGCUUUUAAUUCAUCGGUAAGCUUAAACCUGGCUUUUUUCCACUUUUGUAUCUCUUUAUCAGCCUGAUCAAGUUUGGCUUUUAUAGCUGGAUCUUCGUAGAAGCGAUACCUAAUAAAAUGAAAAGAGUGGAUCUGCUUAGGUGCAGGCCACUCGUCGACCGCAUCCUUCCGAAAGUCGGGAUCGGAUGCACCAUCCUUUUCUUCCUUAUCUGGUUCCUCACUAUGUGAAUCAACAUCAAUGGGGUUAUUAUAAACUGGAUCCUUAUCCAGUUUCCCAUUUUCAUGAAGAAAUGAUUUGUCUACUUCAGUCACUUUGUCAAUAGACAAUUGUGCCAGGCCUGAAUCAACAACCUCAACACCCAUUAAACACAAAAUUGAGCUACCUGAAAACAUCCAAAAACAAAGAUUAUGAUACCAUAUAACAACAAAUAUAAAUAUAAAAUAUUAUUUCAUUCAUAAAAUAAAAAUUUUAAAACCAGACACCUGAUAGACAUGUAUAAAACAAUAUAUAUUAAAUAAAUAAAUUUUAAAGAACAGUGUAGCCAAUACAAUUUGAAAUGGUGCAAUCUAAAGUCAUUCCUUUAGCUAGUUUUCUCAUUAAUCAGAUCAAAAGAGUGAACAAACAGUAGAAUUGCAAAAAUAUAUGUAUAUAUUCUAAAUAAAUGAUAAACUAUAAUGGAGAAAAACAAUAAUCAGAUAAAAUCUAGAUCAAAAACUAAAUUAUAAGUACAUUAGCUCAUGCUAUAACAAAAGAUCAAGCCUUUAUCCGUCAAGAAAAUUAACAUGCAAAAUCAUAUGACACUAAUGGAAAAGAAGGGGGAAAGAAACCCAGAAAUUUACAAACAUGAGAUAAAAUGAAAAAAAAAACCCAGAAAUAAAAAUAUGAGAAAUAAUUAUGUAGUUUGUAAGGCUAGAAAGUUUACAUUUUUAAAAUGAAAACGUCAAAAUAGGAUGUUUUUGUUGUCUAGAGAGGCAAUAGAUAUAGAGGUUUUGAGGUUCUGGAUAAAAAAAAAACUUCAACUUUUUUUAUUUUACAUUGGCGUAAUGCCCAUAUUUUAUGAAUUCUAGUUGUUAAACAUGUCAAGUAAUUUGAUUUGGCAUGGUGGUUAAGUGCCUUGAAUGUUUGUUUUAGGUCUUGGAUUCAAUGUUUUUUUUGUUAAAUUUUUCCUAUUUAUUAUGGUAUUAUGUUCAACUUGAGCCUUAGGGCUUCUCUUAUUUUCAAUGAUGAAUCUACUGAUUCAGUGGUAAGAUUUUAGCUUAUCACCAAUUAAAUUUUAUAAAAUCUGCUAAGUGAAAUUUAGAUUAACAUAAAUCUUUUUAUUUAUUUAUUUUAAUUUAAUUUUACUAAAUCUCUAUUUUCACUCAUUGUUUCAACCGUUUACACUCUCACCCCACUUCGUACGCUACUUUCUUUUGUUUCCCUAUUCUGUCGUUUUAUCUUCUUUUCUCUACCUUUUUUCUCCUCUUUGAUUGUUCUUGAAUACUAUUUUUUAUUUUGUGAGUUCUGUCACUUGGAUCGUAUUCUGUUUGCAGUGUAAGUUUCAUUUGGUUACUUUUGUUCUCUUCCCAUUAAUAGUUUAGUUUUAUUUCGUUUCUUGAACAAUUUGAGUUUGUGUUGGUAUUUUCUGUUCAUUAUCAUGAUUAGUAUUUUUGUGGUUCUCGAUUAGGCAAAAGGUGUGAGAAUCCUAACCCUCCAACAAAGUAGUCACAAUUUUCGACGUUGGUUUGAGAACUAAGUAUUUGAAUUCUAUUUUAGGGGCUGAAAUUUUGAUUCAACGAUGUUAUUUUCAAUAAGUAUUGUUAGUUAAUCCGUGUGGUUUGAUGAACGUUUAUAGGAUUCGUGAGUUCCAAUUGAGCGGUUGAUCAAACCAACAAUAGGUGUAUGAAAUUAACCUGAAAACUCAAUCGAAACUCGAGAAAAUUAAGGGCCAUACGAAUAUGUGUAUUUUGGCCAAUUUUAAGCCCCAAUUAGGGGCUGAUUAAAGGACUCAAAUAUUAGUCCAUAGCCAUCAUAUAAGCCCAAAAAAAUGUAAGUUUUAGUAUGUAUAUAUACAUGGCUAAGCUUAGGAGGUAUGUUAAGUAGGUUGUAUACAAAUCACAUGCUAUGUUAUGUUCCUUAUAAAAAUAUGUGUAUGCAUGUCAUACGACUUAUGAUAUAUGUAUUUAUGAUAUUAUAAUUAUGAUUAUGCCUAUGUUUUGGGAUGGGUUAUGAUAUGAUGAAGUAUUAUAUGGUAGUUUUUACUACAACCAUGGCAACUAGACCAUAAAAUGUCUAUCUGACAGCUUAGUUGCAUAUUUAUGAGUGGCAUACCGUCACAUAUUGGUGUGAUUGGAUGGAUGGACUCUUAUAGUCCUAAUUAGUGAUAUUGCUUGGACGGAGAUAGCAUGUAGCAGUUGGAGGUAUGAUAUCAUAUGAUAUGAGAUAUGAUAGGAUAAGAUAAGAUAUGAAACAAGCUAUAACAUGAUCUGAAAAUCGAUAUGAUAUAAGAUAUGCUUCGAUAUGCUAUGAUACAUUCUGAUUUUGUAACGCCCCAAAAUUUUUAAUUUUGUUAUUGUGAAAAUAUGAUACAAAUAUCUGUCAACUUUAAUGGUUAUGUGUUUUGGGAGUGUUUGGAAGGUCCAAAGUUCAAGCUUUUGCUUGGGCAAAUUUUGGUAUUUUGAAUGAAUUAGGCUUUACUCUUAUUCAGUAGGCUUUUAUUUGAUUGCUGGGUAAAUUACAUUAGAAUGAGCUUAUUGGUCUAAUGGUUAAAUGGUGUGUUAUUAAGGUGGAGGUCUUGUGUUUGAAUCUCUAUGUAAGCAAGAGUAUUUUUUUUUUGCUCAGAUUUCGGGAUAGAGUUGUGUAAUAGGGAGAUUCUGAGUAGUGGAUCCUUAGUGGGAAUUAGGGGAGAAUAUUAAGGGAUUUUGGGGGUUAUCGGGAUUUUAAUUUAUUUUUUCCCAUAAUCGAACUCUCUUUUCCAAAAAAAUUCUGCCGUAUAUUCUUAUCCCUCUCCUCUUGCCAAAAUUCUCUGAGUUUUUUCAUCUUUCUCUUCUUUUUCUUCUUCUUGAUUUCUCCCUAAUCCAUUUAUUUUCCUUCGUUUUCGCACGCGGUUACUGCUCGCUUAGUUUCAGUAAGUGUUUCUCUUCGUUUCUGUCAUGAAUCUCCUAGCGACUGAAGUGGUAAUAUUUUUCUCUAUGAUUUGGACGUAGGGGGAGGCUCGAACUGGUGAAUUCAGUAUUCUCAUCUUAACAACAGUUAAACGGAGGGUUAUCGUUGGUUGUAAGUUGAGUUUUUGUUCGUUCUUGGUUGUCAAUUCGCUUGUAAAUCCAUUAAAUUGAUGUUGAGUAUCUUGAUUAUAGGUUUUGGAGUGCUUGAGGACUGUUUUAGCAUCAAACAAAACCAGGUGUGUACCCAAAACGCAAAAAAAAAGGAUUAGGUGAAAAGUCAAAAUUGCUUGCUAUUUAGACAAUAACAGUAGGCUAACUUUGAAAAAUCGACAUAAAUUGUGAAAAUCGAAUUAGAGGAUGAAAAAAAUAUGGAAUUAAAUUUUAUUUAGUCUAGUUUCUCAUAAAAGAAACAGUGUAAGUAGUUGAAUUCUAAAUCGUGAGAUAUAAUAAACUUUGUGAGACAAUGUCAGAAUGAAUUUAGGUUCCCCUAUUCUGACUUUGGAAAAUUAUCAAAACUGGGAGAAAAAUAAUUAGGGGUUAAAAUUUACAUGUUUAAAUUAUUAACGAGUCUGUUUUCAAUAGAAACAAAUGGGAACUUCAUCCAAAUUUGUACUAAGAGGUAAUUAAUUUUUAGCAAAGAAUGGUCGAAGUUGUCAGACAACAGAAUAAGGGUAAGUUUGAAGAUUUUACUGUACUUAUUGGCUGAACCAAAAAUUCUAAAAAUUUUAUGGUAGAAAGGUAUCUGAGUCUAUUUUCAAAGAUAUUAAGUGGAUUUUAAUUCGAAAUUCUAUAGCUCAAGAUAUAAAUAAUUUAGUAAUAGUGACUCAAGUAGACGGCUUUAAAGGAACACAUAAGUAAAUAGUGAAAAACAUAUAUAAAUAUUUAGCUAGCACGGGUUACAUUAAAAAUGGAUCACGCGGCCAAAGCCAAUUUGGGCUGAAUAAGCCACAUGGGCGUGUGAGCCCAUUUUUCUGAAAAGUUCUGUAAGGUUGCACGGGUCGCCCAAGUCGAUUGUGGAUCUACUGGAGGGUCGGUAAGCUCUACUUAGAACCCUAUAUGUGUGAUCUAUCUGACUGAUUUCUAUACUGAGCAUGACUAAUGAUAUCUGAAUGUAUGUACUAUUAAUUGCAUAAUGGCAUGACAUAUUUUGUAUGUUGCAUUGCAUCGGGGUGGGUUGAUGAUAUUUGGAGGAAGUGUCUGAAAGGCUAUUAAGCCUGUUAUCUGGCAGCUUAGCUACAACCUUUUGAUUAUAUGCUGCAUUUCGGUACAGCAUGGUGUGUAGGGAUGUGUGGCUUGAUUUAAUCCCCACAUGGUGUGUAGGGUUCGACGGAGAUGGUGUGUAGAGGCUAGUGGGUAGGAUUCUAAUUUACUGUAUCUGCAUUCUAUAUCUGAUAUGAGUCAAGGCCCUAAUGUAUUUUUGAGACUGUAUCUGAACGGGCUAAGGUCCAAAUUGAUUAUGUUGAUCAUCUAUAUGCAUGUUUUCUGUGAGGAUUACACACUGAGUUUGCGAAAACUCACCAGCAGAGGACUCGACGGUGGACACACGUAAAUUUUGGACUGUUUUCCGUUAAUGCAUAGAAUUUAUUACUUAUUUGAGGUUUUUGAUGUAUCUUCUGGACUAUGGAUUGGUUGGCUUUAAAUUUUGGGAUUUUAUACUAUUUUUUAUGGGUUUUUUUUUAAAUUACAACUCCACAAAACACGGUUUUUUUUCUAAAAAACUAAGGAUUUUCGUAAAUAGAAAUGAUUUUCCCUAAAUUAAUUGGUUACAAAAGUUUUCGCUAACAGACAAAUUUUAAAGCAAAUCAACAAGUUUUUUUUCUGAAUUAAAUAAAAGCUAACUUACUGUAAUGAUUUUUAAACUCGACAAUCUUGUCUUCAAAUCCCUUUCCAUGUGACAUCGCCAGAUUCGGCCAUAAUGUCUAGGCCGAGUUUGGGGUGUUACAAAAUUAAUCAUACUUGAUUGGAUUAUGAGAGUGACUUUUAAUGAAAGAUAAUAUGUGAAGAAAGAAGAGAACUAAAAGGGAAAUUGCACCAAAAUAUAAAAAUAAAAAAAUAAUGGCAGAUUGCUUCAAAUGCAAUAGACGCAAGAAUGUGCUAAAUUGUCUUUUUAAAUUCAAAGUGUGUAUUCAUGCCACAAUUAAAAACCUUUAUAUACCGAUCCCAGAGAACCAAUUUCACAUGAUUAUACUCCUAGAAUCAUGCUUAACAAGCAACCACUAAAUCAAAAUUUUCUAAAUAUAGAAUUUGUCAAAGUAAAAAAUCUAAUAUUUUUUAUCAACCCAAAAAUAAUUUUGCAACUUUCAAUUCAACCCCCCAACUUGUUUUUUGUUCCAAUUUAGCUCGAUCUGUUUGUUUUUGAACUUCAGCACUCCAAUUGUGUCCAUGAUAAAAUUCAGGCAAUAAAUCAUAAGUUUAGUAGAAUUCCAUUAAAAAGUUUACCAAAAUUGGGUAUAUUAAAUAUAAAAAAUUAACUUGCUAUCAGAUUUGGAACUAAUUAAUUAUAACAUAUGAAAUAUGUAUUAUAUUAAAAUAAAAAUUAGAAUAAAUUGUGAGUAAAACGAAAUCUAAACAAAAAAACACAUCAGGUUAAAAAUACUAAAUGAAUACAAUUGUUUAUCAUUGUUUUGUCUUCAAUCCUGAGCUGGUGUUGUGUUUAUUUGUGACACUAAAUCAAUAACAUUUUUUAAUAAAUAAAAAAUUAUAAUACAGAUAUACUUAUUAAAGUUUAAAGUGAAAAGUAAAAAGUAAAAAUUGCUUUAGUUCAAAAGUAAAUGAAAAAUAUUUAUAUGGAUGGUGUCCUUAGUUCAAAUCUUAUAAUGGAUAAUUUUUUAUUGAUUUAUAAAUAUAUAAAAAGACUAAAACACCCUCAUAAUCAUAUAUCUUACUUUGCAAAUAAAAUUUUGAAUAUAUUGUUGAAUGGCUAAAUUGUAUGAGAAAUAAAAGCAAUAUUUAUCAUUCAAUAGAAUCCACUAUCAAUUUAAAAACAAGACAAAACCAAAUUAGUAAUAUUAUCAAGUUGAGUUUCAUGUCUUUGAAGCACAUCUAGAGCUGAUAUAACAAACGCUUAUGAAAUUGAGCUUGAUGCCAUUUUUUAGUAUCAAGAAUACAAAAUAUACCACCAAAUUUUCUUUUUCAAACUCAAUUCAAAAUUUUAUUACAUUUAAAUUAUUUUUCAAAACUCAAAUUAUAAAAAUAAAUUAUAUUUAGAAUUUUAUCUUUUCUUAUAAUGUAGAAGUUAUGUUAAGGAACAUAAGAGGUAAAAAAACAGAAAACAAAUGAUUUUGCUUAAUUUUUUUUUGUUCUAUAUUUCUUUCGAAGAAUGGAUAUUAGAUAUUUCGAUAUAGAUAAUAAAGAGAAAUUUUAGAGGGUUUAAAAAUAAUUAUCCCUCAUUUUAUUAAUUUUUGAAAUGUUUAUUUACUGUUAUUUAAUUUUAAAUUUUAUAAUGUUCUGAAAUUUUAAAACAAUUUCAAAUUUGGGUACAAUGAUAAUUUAAAUUUCGGCUAUUUCUAAAAACAGUAAACACCCCGUCAAUAAACCACAAUUUGGAUUUAAAAGUGUAACUUAUGAAGGAAUUUAUAUGUACUUGAAUAGAUUUAUUCACAUUAUUCACGUCUUACAAACAUCAUAUGUAAGAACAACUAUAUUUUUUUACAGGAUGCCGACUAGUAUAUUUUAUUUCAAGUUGUAACAUGUAAUUAGGCAUUCUUAUACCAUACGUUCCCAUUAUUAUGAUGCUGCUGCUGCUGAUGUUGUUGUUACAAUUGAGCACCAAGAUGACUGCAAAAAUUGUUAGUAAUGUCCAGAAUGAAUGGAAAGGACAUGGCAGAUUAGUGAAUUAUUACAGAUACAACUGCUGAGAAUCAAAUACCCAAAAUGCCAACUAUAAUGGCAGAAGCAAAGGAAAAGUAAAAAAAAGAUGGGAUUCCUUACUUAAUACUUCUGCCUUUCUACCCACAACAUUCUUUCUUCUUUCACAAAAUUUCAACCUACUUUUCUUUCCUUUGCUUCUUUCAUUACAUGCUUUUCUUUGCUUAAUAGUUCUGCCUUUCUAUCCACAACAUUCUUUCUUCUUCACUGUUUUUAUUUUGUUUUCAUCUCCAAGGUCUAUCACCAAAUUUCAAGCAUCCCGUUAAAGGUAAUUUUCUUUCAUUUGCUUCAUUCAUGACAUGCUUUUCUUUGCUUCAUUCAUGACUAUGCAAUGAUUGUUUUUUAUUAUCUGCUAGCUUUGUAAGAUAGUCAAGGAAGUCAACUUCAAUGCUUCAUUUUCAGUUCUAAUCUCUCAACACAUUUCAGCCACUAAGUCGGAUAAUAAGGUAAUGAUUUCCUCUACUGAUUAUCAACAGUUUUAGAUUUUAAGACAGGAUAGGAUGACCGGCAAACAUAAUCUAUCAUAGAUAGGAAUCUCAAACUGUUGAACAUUUAUUCCGUAAUGAACUGUUGCACACUUGAAUCUAGCAUUUUAUAUACAUUGAGAGGUUAACUCUGGUGACCAGAUUUUCAUCAUGUUUCUGUCUGCCACCUAUCCAUAGCUCCAUCUAGUAAAGGCCAUUGCAUUUAUGCUUCCUUUUCAUGCUUACACAAACAUAUAAAAAUUAUUCAAAAAUCCUAUACACUAACAUAUAUGAUUGCGUUGCAGGGGCAGAGCAAUGGAAUACGUAGAGCCCGGUGUUGGCGUUGCAAAUUGUCUUGGACCUCCUGUUUGUAAAUACUUGAAAUAUCACAGAAAGCUAAAUGAUUAUGUGAGAAACUUCGGGAGGAUCAGAGAUGAAUUUAAUUUUAAAAUGGAAGAUAUAGAGCUGCAAUUGAAAGUAGAUCUUCUUUCUCCUAGGGGAAAGAUACCAAAGAAGGGGGUUGAAAAUUGGUUGAAAGAUGUGAAAGAGAUGAUUGCGGAAGCACAGAAUGUGGAAAAUAAAGUCAGAAACGGGAGAUAUCUCUGUCGUGCUUGGAACGAAAAGCUGGUUGAUGAAAAGACUCGAGAAAUGAAGGAGUUUCUUGAUAAAGCUCCUAAUGCCUCUGAAGGUCUUGCCAUGGAUGGUCCAAGUGCUGGGUUGCCACUGCCAACAUCAGAACUAGUUGGGGAGGAAGCUGUCAGAAAAGAGAUUAGGGCAUGUUUGAUGCAAAAGGAGGUAAAAAAGAUUGGAGUUUAGGGGAUGGGCGGUGUGGGUAAAACCACGAUCAUGAAGCACAUCCACAAUGAUCUUUUGAAAGAACAAAGAUUCGAAAGAGUAAUCUGGGUUACCAUAUGAAAGGAGUUCAAUGUAAUGAAGAUACAAAAUAAUAUUGCAAGUGCAUUGGAGGCGAAGGAAUAUUUAGACAAAGAAGAGGACAAGCUCAGACGAGCAGCAAUCUUGUCAGAAUUGCUGAAGAAAGCAGGAAAGCAUGUUCUAAUCCUAGAUGAUGUGUGGGAUGAAGUCUCUCUAGAAGAAGUUGGGAUCCCUGAGCCGAGUGACAGCAAUGGCUGCAAGUUGGUGUUGACAACCCGUUCGGAGCAUGUCUGUAAGUAUAUGGGUUGCACGGUGAUAAAAGUGAGGCCCCUUUCAGCACAACAGGCAUUGACACUAUUCUUGAGUAAAGUUGGGCCUAACAUAGUGCAAAGUCAAACUAUAAUGCCUACGCUAAAGCUUGUUGUCAAGGAAUGUGCGGGUCUACCUCUUACAAUUACCGUCGUAGCUGGUACAUUGAAGGGAGAAGAGGACCCUCUUAUUUGGAAAAAUGCAUUCAGGGAAUUGAAAGAGAGAAUAGAAAAAGUGGAAGGUGUGGAAGCUAAAGUGAUAGAGCGUUUGAAAUUUAGCUUCGAUCACUUAAAGGACGAGAAAGUGAAAUCUUGUUUCUUACACUGCGCAUUAUAUCCCGAAGAUUUUGGAAUUGAAAAGGAUGAACUAAUUGAGUGCUGGAUUGACGAGGGAUUCAUAGAUGAUAUGGGUACAAGACAAGAAAUGAAUGACAAGGGUCAAGUUAUUUUGAAGAAGUUGGAAGAUAAUUGCUUGUUGGAAAAUGUCUCGAGUGAAAGAGUAAAAAUGCAUGAUGCAGAGAGAGACAUGGCAUCGAGUGAAAGAGUUAAAAUGCAUGAUGCAGUGAGAGACAUGGCAUUGUCGAUCACAAAAAUGAGUCCUCGAUAUAUGAUACAAGCAGGUUUGCAAUUAGAAGAGUUACCAGAAAAGAAACAAUGGAGUCCGGAUAUUGAGAAAGUUUCACUUAUGUAUAACUCCAUAUCAGAAAUUUCCUUAGACGUGCCGCCCACAAAAUGUCAACUGCUCACAACCUUGUUAUUGCAGCAUAACCCAAUAAAGAAGAUCCCAUAUUCUUUCUUCAUAAACAUGCCUUGUCUUUGUGUCCUCUAUUUGUCUUAUACGGAGAUCGAGAGUUUACCAAAUUCCAUCUCCGAAUUAAAGAACCUCACAACAUUGUUGCUUCGUGGUUGUUCUACAUUUAGAGAUCUGCCAUGUCUUUCGAUGCUUCAAGAAUUGAAGAAGUUGGAUCUUCGUGGGACUAAAAUUGAGGAAGUCCCUGAAGGAAUGGAUAUGCAGAUAAAGCUAAGAUAUCUUGAUCUUGGAGUGCACACUCUGAAAGAGAUACCCGCGGGACUUUUACCAAAACUCGUUCACCUUCAGCACUUGAGUUUUGAAGUGGACAAUGAAAAAACAAGUCUAAAAGCAGAGGAGAUGGAACCAUUGAAGAAGUUGGAGUGCUUUACCGGACGUUUCGAAGACAUCAAUGAAUUGAAUAAGUUCAUCUCCUCCAUGCAACAAAGUAAGAGAAAUCUCAUCAAGUACUCUUUACAGGUGGGCUCAGUUAUUCUGGGUGGUGUAAGAGAUAAAAGAAUAACAAUUGGAGGAGUCCAGAAUUGGGAAGGUGAGUUAAUUAUGCACCCAAUUGAAAUUCAAGAGUUGAUUAUUUUUUGUUGCCACUAUUUGAGAAGCUUAGUCGAUGAUAAUUCUUCCUUCAAAAAUGCGGUUGACUUGAGGGUUUGGAGGAUUUGGGUGUGUGAAGGGAUAGAGUGUGUUGUUUCCCUGUCCUCUUUUGCCUCUUCUUCCGCUCAUCCAUUUCAGAGCCUCGAGGUGUUAGAUCUUAGAAAUCUGCCAAAGUUGAGUGCCCUUAUUAUGAAAGAUGAAGGAAUUGGUUCAGCAACAACAUCAACAUCGGCUCCGUCUGCCACCUUUUCCCAUCUUAAGCGAAUUGAAGUAUGGAGCUGCUCAAGUAUGAAGACGUUGCUUCCACAUUGGUUGCUUCCAAACCUCCAAAACCUGGAAGAAAUACAUGUGGUUGUUUGCUGGCAGCUAGUAGAAAUAUUGGGAGCAGCAACAUCAGAAGUUGAAGAAAAAGGGAGUGAUGCAUUAAUCAAAUUCCAUCUUCCCAAAUUGAGAAAGUUGGAAUUGUGGGGAUUACGAAAUUUGAAGAGCAUAUGCAGCAAAAGUGGAGUGAUGGUUUGUGAUUCUCUUGAGUUAAUCGAUGUUACUAGUUGUGAUAAACUGAAGAGAAUUCCUCCAUUUGUUCCCCUUGUUGGCAAUGGGCAGCCAUUUGCAUAUGCUCCACCUUCUCUUACCAUCAGGUCAUGGAAAGAAUGGUGGGAAUCGUUGGAGUGGGAUGACCAUUCAAACUUUAAAAAUGUUCUUCAACCCCUUUGGAAGGAGAAGAGGUUUGAACCAUUUAUAGUUUAGAGAAAGAUGACAGGGUUGGUGGGAAAAGAGGGGGGAGGAUAGUGCAAAAGAGAGGAGAAAAGGAAUGAUGGAAGGGAGAGGUUAAGAGGUUCCACAUUGUAAACAUUGUCCCUCUCUUACCAUUCCUUCUAUUCUCUUUUUCUUAUAAUGUAAAAGCUGAAGAGGUAAAAAACAAAUUAAUUUGCUUCAUAUUUUUUCUAUGUUUGUUUUGAAAGAAUGAGUAUUGAAUAUAGAGAAAUUUGGUAGGGUUUAAAAAUAAAAUAUAAUUUAAAUAUCAAUUAUUCAAAAUAAUGGUAUUUUAGAUAGCAAAGGUAUUGAAAAUUUAAAGUGAUAAAUUACCUUUUUAUCAUUAUAAAUAAAUACCAUAAUUUCUUUUUAUGCUGAAAUUUUUUUUUGAAAAUUUAUCAAUUUAUAUUGUUUUUUACAAAUAGAAAGGAAAACGCGUCUUAUAGGACAUGUUUUCUCUGAUCUUCCAGAGAAAACAUGAGACGCGUUUUAUUCUCUUUACUAAAAAGCGCUUUGUAGGAGCAACUAAGGACAAUUAAUCACGACGUUUAUGUCUUUCGUUAAUUGUGCAUAAUUUUGAUUGGUACAUUAACACAUUUAGCCCUUGAUGUUUACAUAUUUUGUUAGUUUGGUCUUGAUCCUAAAAAAAAUCAAUAGAUUCAGUUUCAACAUUUACACAUUUUCAAAAAUAUGACGGGCUAAAUUUGUUAUCAUAUCAAUCAAAUUUAUGUAAAAUUGAUGAAAACAUUAAUAUUGAAAUCAAUUGCUCACUUUCGAAAUUGGUAGGGAUUAAAUUGCUUCAAUUUGUUUAGAGGGAUCAAGUUGCUGAAUAUCAAAAUUGAAAGGGACUAGAGAGGUUAUUUUACCUAGUUUAUAUUGUUUUUUACCAUUCCCUCUCUUAUAGAAUGUUUGUUCAACUAAAUAAAAUAAAGAUUGUCCUAUAACUCUAGUUCCAUUCAAGUUAAAACUUCUUCAGGCAAGAUAAUAGUAACAUAAUGCUAAAACAACCAGCACAACCACCACAGUAGGAGCUGCCCAUAUCCAAUAGUUCAUCGACUUCUUACGUUUCAGGAUGGCUUUUAGGAGGGACUCGGUUCUUUUGGUUCGAUUCCUGUACCUACUAGUAUUCUCCUUUGGUACUCUACCCUUCAUGGAAACAGUAGCAGGAACAGGUGCAUCAGUAUUAACAUCAACCUUCUCGGGUUCUGAGUCUUGUGCCAAAGCUUCAAUCAAUUCCUCGGGAUUCACAGCAUUUGUCAAUCCUGCCACCUUCUUCUUAGCUUUCUUUUCACGCUCCUGAAAAAAAGAUCGAAAGAGUUUCAGUUUCAACCCACAAACUAAUAACCCAUAAAGCGAAACCAGAUAAGGAAGCAAAUGACUUCCUUGAGCUUCUUUUCAGCUUCCAUUUGAGCUCUUCUAGCUACUUUGGCUGCUGCUUUUUCAGCCAACUUCUUUUUUCUUUCCAUGGCUUGCUUUGCUUUUGCUAUUUCCUCUUCUUUCUUCAAUUCUUUCAGUUUUGCUGCAUCGACUUCCUUGUUCUUUUGCAAUUUUCCGGAUACCAAAAUUUCCUCUGCUACAACACUAAUAUCUGACAAAGGAUUCGACUCCAUUGCUAUAGUUUCGGCAUUUUUUGGGGCCUUUUUGGCUAGUUUACUAUCUGUUUGGGGACCUGAUUUGGCCUCUUCCUUUGGUUGUUAUUGGGAAUUAUCCAUAUUUAUGGAAAGUCAAAGAUAUGGGUAUCAAAUAUUGGAAAGUCAAAGAUAUGGGUAUCGAGAUAUUGGCAUUAUAAAAUCUGAGAUAUUUGCAAUAUAUGGUCCCUAAUUGUAAAGUGACUUUGCAAGUUGAUCCCUGAACCUCAACUAUAAAUAGGCAUAACCAUCUCUCAUUCUGUAUCUCAAACUUGCCAUUCUCUACUUAAGGCAUUGUUUUCUCUCUCUCUCUUUGUAAAUUCUCACUUGUAUUUUGGAGUGAAAUAUAUUUGGUAGUGCCCGAGGACGUAGGCAAAAUUUGCUGAACCUCGUUAAAUUCUUGUGUUCUUUAUUGUAUUAUUCUGCAUGAAUUGUGUGUGUGAUUGUAGUGAUUUAUUGUGCUAUUAAAUUACGAUUGAGGGAUAUUCUGGCUAGGAAAGACCUGGUACUUAAGCGAUCCUUGCGAUCCACCUCUCUUUCCUGGGAAUUGAACUUAGUGUGAUUUUUUAGUACAAUAAUUUUACUCUUUUACACGCUUCCGCACAACAAUUGGUAUCAGAGCUAGAUUCGUACUUGGGGAAUACGAUCGUUCACGGCACUGUUCACGUACUGUAGUUGGGAUUGAGGAGAAAAAAAUGGAAAAGUCAUCGUCAAAGACUACUAUGACCAAUGCGAAAUUUGAAGUAGAUAAAUUUGAUGGUACCAAUAAUUUUGGUAUGUGGCAAUGUGAGAUCCUGGAUGUCUUAUGUCAGCAAGAGCUGGAUAUAGCCCUUGAAGAAAAACCUGACAAGAUGGAUGACAAGGAGUGGGCCAAGAUCAAUAGACAGGCAUGUGGAACAAUUCGCCUAUGUUUGGCCAAAGAGCAGAAGUACUCUGUCAUGAGGGAGACAUCAGCGAAGAAGUUGUGGGAUACACUGGAAGAAAAGUUUCUAACAAAAAGUCUUGAAAAUAGGCUUUAUAUGAAAAAGAAACUUUAUCGAUUCACGUAUGCACCCGGUAUGUCGAUGAAUGACCAUGUGAACUCAUUCAAUAAAAUUUUAGCAGACUUGCUAAAUUUGGAUGAGAAAUUUGAAGAUGAAGACAAGGCAUUACUGUUGUUGAAUUCUCUUCCUGAUGAAUAUGAUCAUCUUACCACCACAUUGCUUCAUGGGAAGGAUACAAUCACAUUUGAUGCAGUCUGUAGUGCGUUGUAUAGAUCUGAGACUCGAAAGAAAGAUAAAAGAGAUCACAGAGAUACAACCGCAGAAGUCUUAACAGUAAGAGGUCGUUCACACAACAGCAAAUCUGGUAGAAGGGGAAAGUCCAAAGGGAGACUUGCCAAAGAUGAAUGUGCCUUUUGCCGUGAAAAAGGGCAUUGGAAAAAGAAUUGUCCUAAGCUACAAAAGGGCAAGGCUAUUUCUAAUGCAUGUGUAGUAGAGCAUGAUGAGGAGUCAGACUUUUGCUUGGUUGGCAUGGCAAUGGCAUGUCAUACAGAUGAGUGGAUUUUGGAUUCGGGAUGUACUUACCAUAUGUGUCCUUAUAAGGACUGGUUUUCUAGUCUUAAAGAACUAGAAGGUGGAGUUGUUUUUAUGGGCAAUGAUAGCGCUUGUAAUACAAUGGGAGUAGGUACAAUCUAAUUGAAGAAUCACGAUGGCUCAAUUCAAGUCUUGACAGAUGUUCGCUACAUACCUAGCUUGAAGAAAAAUCUUAUCUCAUUAGGGGUCCUAGAAUCUAAAGGGCUCACAAUCACUUUGAGAGAUGGAUUACUAAAGGUAGUAUCUGGGGUAUUGACGGUGAUGAAAGGCACAAGAAGGAAUAAUCUGUACUAUUUAAAUGGAAGUACAGUUAUUGGAUCAACAUCAACAGUUUCUACAAAAGAUGUAGAUUCAGAGGCUACCAGAUUAUGGCAUAUGCGAUUGGGACAUGCUGGUGAAAAAGCUUUGCAGACAUUGGUGAAGCAAGGCUUAUUGAAAGGUGCAAAUUCUUGCAAAAUGGAAUUCUGUGAACAUUGUGUUCUGGGCAAGCAGAAGAGGGUAAAAUUUGGUCUAGCAAUUCACAAUACAAAAGGAAUUCUGGACUACGUUCACAGUGAUGUGUGGGGACCUACCAAAGUAGCUUCUUUGAGAGGUAUGCACUAUUUUGUUACUUUUGUUGAUGAUUAUUCAAGAAAAGUAUGGGUGUAUCUAAUGAAAAGAAAAAGUGAAGUUUUGGAUGCAUUUCUGAAAUGGAAAAAGAUGGUGGAGACUCAGACUGGUCGAAAGGUCAAACGACUUCGAUCAGAUAAUGGUACUGAGUACAAAAACGAUCCAUUUCUACAAGUAUGCCAAGAUGAGGGCAUUGUGCGACACUUCGCUGUUCGGGAUACACAACAGCAAAAUGGGGUGGCAGAACGAAUGAAUCGAACUAUACUGGAGAAAGUUCGAUGUAUGUUGUCCAAUGCUGGAUUGGGCAAAGAAUUUUGGGCUGAGGCAGUUACAUAUGCGUGCCAUCUAAUUAACUGUUUGCCAUCAGCUGCAAUAAAUGGAAAAACUCCUAUGGAGAUGUGGACUGGUAAAUCUGCUACUGAUUAUGAUUCUUUGCAUGUAUUUGGUUCCACUGCAUAUUAUCAUGUAAAAGAAUCUAAGUUAGACCCAAGAGCAAAGAAAGCAUUAUUCUUGGGUAUAACUGAUGGAGUAAAAGGAUAUCGUCUCUGGUGUCCUGAUACAAGGAAGAUUGUUUUCAGUAGAGAUGUGACUUUUGAUGAAUCAACCAUGUUGAAGUACAAGGAUUCACAAAAGGAAGACAAAACCAGUAGUACUUUGCAGCAGGUGGAGCUUGAAAAGGUUAACGAUGAUCCAGCUAAUAUUGAAGGGACAAAUGAUGAAGAGGUUCCUACCCAAGAAUCUCUACAGCAACAAGAUUCAAUUGUAUAUAGAAGGCCAAGAAGAGAGAUUCGUAAGCCUGCCCGCUUUGAUGAUAUAGUGGCCUAUGCACUUCCAAUUACAGAUGAUGAUGUUCCUUCUACUUACACAGAAGUAAUAAGUAACCCUGAUGGUGUAAAGUGGAAGCAAGAAAUGAAUGAAGAAAUGCAGUCUCUUCAUAAAAAUAAGACUUGGGAGUGGGUGACACUACCCAAGGGAAAGAAGGCAAUUGGAUGCAAAUGGGUAUAUGCAAAGAAGGAAGGAUUUCCUGAUAAAAAUGAAAUUCGAUACAAGGCUAGAUUAGUAGCAAAGGGUUACGCUCAGAAAGAAGGAAUAGACUACAAUGAAGUGUUUUCUCCAGUUGUGAAGCAUUCGUCUAUUCGGAUUUUGCUAGCCUUGGUUGCGCAAUAUGAUCUUGAACUAGUUCAGCAUGAUGUGAAGACCGCGUUUUUACACGGUGAUUUGGAAGAGGAAAUCUAUAUGACUCAGCCAGAUGGAUUCAAGGUUGCUGAUAAAGAAAAUUGGGUUUGCAAACUGACAAAGUCGCUUUAUGGAUUGAAACAAUCUCCAAGGCAGUGGUACAAGCGAUUUGAUUAGUUCAUGAAAGGGCAAAGGUAUACAAGAAGUAAAUUUGAUCAUUGCGUGUAUUUUCAGAAGCUACAAGAAGGAUUUUUCGUAUACUUGCUCUUAUAUGUUGAUGAUAUGUUGAUAGCAUCUAAGAGUAAAGUUGAAAUUGAGAGAUUGAAGACUCAACUCAACCUUGAGUUUGAGAUGAAAGAUCUAGGAGAAGCUAAAAAGAUUCUCGGCAUGGAAAUAUGGAGAGAUAGAGCUCAUGAUAGAGUUAGCUUGUCUCAGAAGCAGUAUUUGAAAAAGGUACUACAGCAGUUUGGCAUGAACGAGCAGACAAAACCUGUAAGUACCCCGUUGGCUUCUCAUUUCAAGCUUUCUGCACAACUAUCUCCUUCGACGAAUACGGAACGAGAAUACAUGUUGCAAGUUCCGUAUUCUAAUGCAGUGGGUAGCUUGAUGUAUGCAAUGGUGUGUACAAGACCCGACAUUUCACAGGCAGUUAGUAUAGUGAGCAGGUAUAUGCAUAAUCCUGGAAAAGGACAUUGGCAAGCUGUGAAAUGGAUUCUACGAUAUAUUCAUAAGACCAUGGAUAUUGGAUUACUGUUCAAGCAGGAUAUUACACUUGGUAAAGGUGUUAUUGGGUACGUUGAUUCUGAUUAUGCCGGUGAUUUGGACAAACGAAGAUCAACCACUGGUUAUGUGUUUACUCUUGCUGGAGGACCAAUAAGUUGGAAGUCUACACUGCAGUCUACAGUUGCGUUGUCAACCACAGAAGCUGAAUACAUGGCUGUAACAGAGGCUAUAAAGGAAGCUAUUUGGUUACAAGGUAUGGUUAAAACCUUGGGAUUGGUUCAGGAGCAUAUUAAUGUGUAUUGUGAUAGUCAAAGUGCUAUUCAUUUAGCAAAGAAUCAAGUCUAUCAUGCACGUACAAAGCAUAUCGAUGUACGUUUCCACUUUGUGCGGGAAAUUAUUGAUGGGGGAAAAUUCACCUUCAGAAGAUUAAGACUGCAGAUAAUCCCGCAGAUAUGAUGACCAAGGUGGUAACAACAAUCAAGUUCGAACAUUGUUUGAACUUGAUCAAUAUUCUGCAUGUUUAACAAUUGAAGAAGGCACUAUCAAGUGUUGUUGACAAAGGCAGAGAGAAUUGUGUGAAGAUAAGAUUACUCGAAUCAAAUCUUCAAGGUGGAGAUUAUUGGGAAUUAUCCAUAUUUAUGGAAAGUCAAAGAUAUGGGUAUCAAAUAUUGGAAAGUCAAAGAUAUGGGUAUCAAAUAUUGGAAAGUCAAAGAUAUGGGUAUCGAGAUAUUGGCAUUAUAAAAUCUGAGAUAUUUGCAAUAUAUGGUCCCUAAUUGUAAAGUGACUUUGCAAGUUGAUCCCUGAACCUCAACUAUAAAUAGGCAUAACCAUCUCUCAUUCUGUAUCUCAAACUUGCCAUUCUCUACUUAAGGCAUUGUUUUCUCUCUCUCUCUUUGUAAAUUCUCACUUGUAUUUUGGAGUGAAAUAUAUUUGGUAGUGCCCGAGGACGUAGGCAAAAUUUGAGAGAUUGAAGACUCAACUCAACCUUGAGUUUGAGAUGAAAGAUCUAGGAGAAGCUAAAAAGAUUCUCGGCAUGGAAAUAUGGAGAGAUAGAGCUCAUGAUAGAGUUAGCUUGUCUCAGAAGCAGUAUUUGAAAAAGGUACUACAGCAGUUUGGCAUGAACGAGCAGACAAAACCUGUAAGUACCCCGUUGGCUUCUCAUUUCAAGCUUUCUGCACAACUAUCUCCUUCAACGAAUACGGAACGAGAAUACAUGUUGCAAGUUCCGUAUUCUAAUGCAGUGGGUAGCUUGAUGUAUGCAAUGGUGUGUACAAGACCCGACAUUUCACAGGCAGUUAGUAUAGUGAGCAGGUAUAUGCAUAAUCCUGGAAAAGGACAUUGGCAAGCUGUGAAAUGGAUUCUACGAUAUAUUCAUAAGACCAUGGAUAUUGGAUUACUGUUCAAGCAGGAUAUUACACUUGGUAAAGGUGUUGUUGGGUACGUUGAUUCUGAUUAUGCCGGUGAUUUGGACAAACGAAGAUCAACCACUGGUUACGUGUUUACUCUUGCUGGAGGACCAAUAAGUUGGAAGUCUACACUGCAGUCUACAGUUGCGUUGUCAACCACAGAAGCUGAAUACAUGGCUGUAACAGAGGCUGUAAAGGAAGCUAUUUGGUUACAAGGUAUGGUUAAAACCUUGGGAUUGGUUCAGGAGCAUAUUAAUGUGUAUUGUGAUAGUCAAAGUGCUAUUCAUUUAGCAAAGAAUCAAGUCUAUCAUGCACGUACAAAGCAUAUCGAUGUACGUUUCCACUUUGUGCGAGAAAUUAUUGAUGGGGGAAAAUUCACCUUCAGAAGAUUAAGACUGCAGAUAAUCCCGCAGAUAUGAUGACCAAGGUGGUAACAACAAUCAAGUUCGAACAUUGUUUGAACUUGAUCAAUAUUCUGCAUGUUUAACAAUUGAAGAAGGCACUAUCAAGUGUUGUUGACAAAGGCAGAGAGAAUUGUGUGAAGAUAAGAUUACUCGAAUCAAAUCUUCAAGGUGGAGAUUAUUGGGAAUUAUCCAUAUUUAUGGAAAGUCAAAGAUAUGGGUAUCAAAUAUUGGAAAGUCAAAGAUAUGGGUAUCAAAUAUUGGAAAGUCAAAGAUAUGGGUAUCGAGAUAUUGGCAUUAUAAAAUCUGAGAUAUUUGCAAUAUAUGGUCCCUAAUUGUAAAGUGACUUUGCAAGUUGAUCCCUGAACCUCAACUAUAAAUAGACAUAACCAUCUCUCAUUCUGUAUCUCAAACUUGCCAUUCUCUACUUAAGGCAUUGUUUUCUCUCUCUCUCUUUGUAAAUUCUCACUUGUAUUUUGGAGUGAAAUAUAUUUGGUAGUGCCCGAGGACGUAGGCAAAAUUUGCUGAACCUCGUUAAAUUCUUAUGUUCUUUAUUGUAUUAUUCUGCAUGAAUUGUGUGUGUGAUUGUAGUGAUUUAUUGUGCUAUUAAAUUACGAUUGAGGGAUAUUCUGGCUAGGAAAGACCUGGUACUUAAGCGAUCCUUGCGAUCCACCUCUCUUUCCUGGGAAUUGAACUUAGUGUGAUUUUUUAGUACAAUAAUUUUACUCUUUUACACGCUUCCGCACAACAGUUGUCUUGCACUAGGUCUCAGAAUUGCUUCGGUUUCAGAAUCCACUGGUUUCUCGGGUGCAACCAGUGGUUUCUCAUCAGGAUUCCUUAUCCGACCAUCCAGACUCAAUAGCCGAUUGUCCAGGGAUGGCAGAAUUCUUUUCUCAUAAUCAUCCCUGAAGGCUUUAUUGCCAUUCUAGAGAGCCAUAAACUUCUCAACCUAAAAGGAAUAUAAUAGAUAAGCGAGCGGCUAAUUAUAAAGCAAAUGAGAUACAUUGGAAGUAACAUUAACAAGCACUCUCAACAACCCUCCACAAUUGAUAACUCCUCAAGAGCCUUUAUAUCUUUCUGUGCAGCAAGCAGUUUGGCGUUGUGUACAAUGGUACGGCUCAGGUAAAAGUGAGAAUUCUGAAAUUUUGAGAAAGUAAUUAAAACGAUUCAUUAGUAACAUCAUGCACAGGAAUAUUGGAAGUAGAUAUAAUAUAUAUCAUUUAAUAUCUUAAGUGACACUAGUUAUUCAUGCAUAAAUGAAAAUGUUCCGACAUGGUCAAGUAUAUAUCAUUUAAUUUCCUUUUUUUGGACCAGACUGCAUGCUGCUCCUUCCUUACUCCAUUCAAAUCGACACCCAUAAGCUACAAUAAACAAAUAUAGCAUUUUUUUUUUUAGUGUAACACAAUGGUGCUCUAUAUUCACAGAUAAGAAGAGGAGAAAACUCCGAUGGAUAAAGGCAGAAAAUAGAAUCAUCUUACUUUAACUUGAUCUUGAAUGUCUUCUUUCUGGCCUAAUGAAUCUUGAAUCUUUGAUCUCAUUGCAGCAUUAGCAAUAACUUUCUCACGGGUUCCCUCCAGGUGUUUGAUUUCUUUAAAGAUUCGCUUCUCCUCACUCAANNNNNNNNNNNNNNNNNNNNNNNNNNNNNNNNNNNNNNNNNNNNNNNNNNNNNNNNNNNNNNNNNNNNNNNNNNNNNNNNNNNNNNNNNNNNNNNNNNNNNNNNNNNNNNNNNNNNNNNNNNNNNNNNNNNNNNNNNNNNNNNNNNNNNNNNNNNNNNNNNNNNNNNNNNNNNNNNNNNNNNNNNNNNNNNNNNNNNNNNNNNNNNNNNNNNNNNNNNNNNNNNNNNNNNNNNNNNNNNNNNNNNNNNNNNNNNNNNNNNNNNNNNNNNNNNNNNNNNNNNNNNNNNNNNNNNNNNNNNNNNNNNNNNNNNNNNNNNNNNNNNNNNNNNNNNNNNNNNNNNNNNNNNNNNNNNNNNNNNNNNNNNNNNNNNNNNNNNNNNNNNNNNNNNNNNNNNNNNNNNNNNNNNNNNNNNNNNNNNNNNNNNNNNNNNNNNNNNNNNNNNNNNNNNNNNNNNNNNNNNNNNNNNNNNNNNNNNNNNNNNNNNNNNNNNNNNNNNNNNUUGAAACUUGCAUUCAUGUUUUCCUUUCAAUGCUUACACUGACAUAUCAAUACUUCAUAAAAUAUCCAAUUCAUUCACAGAUUUUCAUUCUCUGCUACUGUUAUAUAUGAUUGCAUUGCAGGGACAUAGCAAUGGAGUACGUAGAGCCUGUUGUCGGCAUUGCAAAUUGUCUCGGAACUCCUGUUUGUAAAUAUUUGCAAUAUCACAGAAAGCUGAACGAUUAUGUGAGAAACUUCAAGAGGAUCAGAGAUGAUUUGAAUUGCAAAAUGGAAGAUAUAAAGCUGCAAUUGAAAGCAGAGCUUCUUAGUCCUCUGGGGAAGAUACCAAAGCAGGGAGUUGAAAAUUGGUUGAAAGCUGUGAAAGAGAUGAUUAGGGAAGCACAAGUUGUUGAAAACAAAGUCAGUAACGGGAGAUAUCUCUGUCGUGCUUGCAACGGGAAGCUGGUUGAUGAAAAGACUCGAGAAAUGAAGGAAUUUCUUAAUAACGCUCCUAAUGCCUCUGAAGGUCUUGCCAUGGAUGGUCCAAGUGCUGGGUUGCCACUGCCAACAUCAGAACUAGUUGGAGAAGAAGCUGUCAGAAAUGAGAUUUGGGCAUGUUUGAUGCAGGAGGAGGUGAGCAAGAUUGGGGUUUGGGGGAUGGGCGGUGUGGGUAAAACCACUAUCAUAAAGCACAUCCACAAUGAUCUUUUGAAAGAACAAAGAUUCGAAAGGGUAAUCUGGGUUACCAUAUCAAAGGAGUUCAAUGUCAUGAAGGUACAAGAUGAUAUUGCAGAUGCUUUGAAGUUGAAGGAAGGUUGGCCCAGUGGAGACAAGCUCAGACGAGCAGCAAUCUUGUCAGAAAUGCUGAAGAACGCAGGAAAGCAUGUUCUAAUCCUAGAUGAUAUGUGGGAUAAAGUCUCUCUAGAGGAAGUUGGGAUCCCCGAGCCAAGUGGUAGCAAUGGCUGCAAGUUGGUGUUGACAACCCGUUCGGAGCAUGUCUGUAAGUAUAUGGGUUGUAAGGUGAUAAAAGUGAAGCCACUUUCAGAAGAAGAGGCAUUGAUACUAUUCUUGAAUAAAGUUGGACCUAACAUAGUUCAAAGUCCAACUAUAAUGCCUACUUUGAAGCUUGUUGUCAACGAAUGUGCGGGUCUACCUCUUACAAUUGUCGUGGUAGCUGGUACCAUGAAAGGAGAAGAUAACCCUCGUAUUUGGAAAAAUGCACUCAAAGAAUUGAAAGAGAGAAUAGGGAAAGUGGAAGGAGUGGAAGCUGAGGUAAUCGAGCGCUUGAAAUUUAGCUUCGAUCACUUAAAGGACGAGAAAGUGAAAUAUUGUUUCUUACAUUGCGCAUUAUAUCCCGAAGAUUUUGGAAUUGAAAAGGAUGAACUAAUUGAGUGCUGGAUUGAAGAGGGAUUCAUAGAUGAUAUGACUACAAGACAAGAAAUGAAAGAUAAGGGCCAUGUUAUUUUGAAGAAAUUAGAAGUUAAUUGCUUGUUGGAAAAUGUCUCGAGUGAAAGAGUAAAAAUGCAUGAUGCAGUGAGAGACAUGGCAUUGUCGAUCACAAGAAUGAAUCCUCGAUACAUGAUACAAGCAGGUUUGCAAUUAGAAGAGUUACCAGAAAAGGUGCAGUGGAGUCCGGAUAUUGAGAAAGUGUCACUUAUGUAUAACUCCAUAUCAGAAGUUUCCAUAGAUGUGCUGCCUACAAAAUGCCAACUGCUCACAACCUUGUUAUUGGGGAACAACCCUAUAAAGAAGAUCUCAAUUUCUUUCUUCACAAACAUGCCUUGUCUUAGUGUUCUCAAUUUGUCCUAUACGAAGAUCAAAAGUUUACCAAAUUCCAUCUCUGAACUAAAGAACCUCACAACAUUGUUGCUUUGUGGUUGUUUUGAAUUAAGAGAUCUACCAUGUCUUUCGAUGCUUCAAGAAUUGAAGAAGUUGGAUCUAAGUCGGACUAAAAUUGAGGAAGUCCCUGAAGGAAUGGAUAUGCUGAUAAAGCUAAGAUAUCUUGGUCUUCAAGUGUUCAGUCUGAAAGAGAUACCCGCUGGAAUUUUACCAAAACUCGUUCACCUUCAGCACUUGAGUUUUGAAGUGGACAAUGAAAAAACAAGUCUAAAAGCAGAGGAGAUGGAACCAUUGAAGAAGUUGGAGUGCUUUACCGGACAUUUCGAAGACAUCAAUGAAUUCAAUAAGUUCAUCUCCUCAUUGCAACAAAGUAAGAAAAAUCUCAUCAAGUACUCUUUACAUGUGGGCUUAUCUUAUAAGAAAAAUUUCAUGAAGUACAUCUUACCUAUUUCCCUUUAUAGAAGAGAUAAAAGAUUAACAAUUGCAGGAGUCCAGAAUUGGGAAGGUGAUUUAAUUAUGCACCCAAUUGAAAUUCAAGAGUUGAAUAUUUUAAAGUGCGACUAUUUGAGAAACUUAGUCGAUGAUAAUUCUUCCUUCAAAAAUGCGAUUGACUUGAGGGUUUGUAGGAUUUUGGGGUGUAAAGGGAUAGAGUGUGUUGUUUCGUUGUCCUCUUUUGCCUCUUCUUCCGCUCAUCCAUGUCAGUGCCUCGAGAUGUUGUAUCUUCAAGAUCUGCCAAAGUUGAGUGCCCUUAUUAUGAAAGAUGAAGGAAUUGGUUCAGCAACAACAUCAACAUUGGUUCCGUCUGCCACCUUUUCCCAUCUUAAGGAAAUUACGAUAUACAGCUGCUCAAGUAUGAAGACGUUGCUUCCACAUUGGUUGCUUCCAAACCUCCAAAACCUGGAAGAAAUAUCAGUGGAUCGUUGUGAUGAGUUAGUAGAAAUAUUGGGAGCAGAAACAUCAGAAGUUGAAGAAAAAGGGAGUGAUGCAUUAAUCAAAUUCCAUCUUCCCAAAUUGAGAGAGUUGUCAUUCCAGAAAUUACCAAAUUUGAAGAGCAUUUGCAGCAAAAGUGGAGUGAUGGUUUGCGAUUCUCUCCAACUUAUCCAAGUUCUAGACUGUUAUAAACUGAAGAGAAUUUCUCCAUUUGUUCCCCUUGUUGGCAAUGGGCAGCCAUUUGCAUAUGCUCCACC
rnacentral:lncRNA from 1 species